rnacentral:lncRNA from 1 species
UUAGAAAGGAGUUGUAAUUGGUAAUUUCAAUCAUUUCGAUCGUCUAGGGUUCUACAUUUCGAUCGCCUAAUCGGUAAUUUCCUUUAUGUUUUUCAAGUCAAUUCGAUUAUCUAUCAUCAUGAAGAAAAUAAGGCAGAGUUAAUUAGUAGUUUAGAAUUUCAAUUCUGUUGAUAGUUGCGUUGACUGACCCUAUUCUCCUCCACUUUCACAAAUCUUCUCCCUUCACGACCUACAUUCAGUUUUCACAAAUUUUCUUCCCGACCAAAUCCUUAAUCUUCUCCGGGAAUCUCUUCUUCAUGGUUGUUGCUGCCUUGCUGGAAAUCUCUUCUUCGGGAACCCCAUCUGGAAAUCUCUUCUCUGGUAUUUAUUUGUUGAUCUUGUUUCUACAUAUUAUUUGGGUGAAAAGAAAAUCAUACGGAUGUUUGAUCCUGUUUAAUGUUUAUACAAAUAAUACGAUGGUGAUGGAUUUUAUUGAUGUUUGAUCCUGUUUUAUAUUUUACGAUGAUGAUAUAAAAAAAGGAGUAGAAAAAUCUAUAUUUCUACUGGAAUUGGGUUCUAUUGUGAUUUUUCUACUCCGGUUUAUAAAAUCUAUAUUUCUAUUGUGAUUAUUUUUUUGUGGUCUAUAUGACAUUCAAAGAGAAUAUAUGAACUGAAUAUCAUCAUAUUCGGUGGAUUGAAGAUUAAUGUGUUCAAUUAUCUUUUUUUUUUCUGUUUAUAAAUUGUUCUUUGAUAUUAUUCUUCUUUCUUAUCUUUCUGUUUAUUUUCUGUUUAUAAAUUUUUUUUAGGUUAGGGAUUUUCAUUCACACACACACACACCUUCGGGAUUUUCUCUCUCUUCGUAUUUCGACUUUCGUUCGACCUCCGGAAGAUAAAAACCCGACUCCUUUUCCCUCCCACCCCCUUUCUCCCCGCUGCUGUCGUCCGGCGAGUCCCCGGAGCUCCCGUUCGUCAUAAAACACUGAGAUCGGACGGUUUAGACCUCUCUGUGUUUUGAACGGAUCUGGUUGGAGUUGCGGUUCCUCGAUUUCCGGAGGUAUGGUGGUGUUUUGAUUCUUUUGGUUCGCAUUGGUUUGUUUUCGGUUGUUUUUUGGUAAAGAUUGCGGAUUUAUUUGGACAAGGAGAGAAUUUUUUGAGUUCGGUUAGGUUUUUUGGAUGCGUGUGUGGAUUAUGGUUGUUGAUCGUGAUUUUUUUUAAAAGAGCUUUGGUCGACGUCAGAUGGUUGUUUUGGAAUUCCGUGUUGGUUUUUGUUGAUGUGUUAGUUGCAUGUAGCUUGGAUAUAUGGUUGGUUCUUUGUUUUGUAGACCUUUGUUUGUUUGUUUGUUCACUGGAUACUUGUCAUCCUUUUCUGAGAGAGUCAGAGCUCGGUUUGAUAAUUGGCAAUUGGAUUUAGUUGUUUAUAGCCAUGAAUUGAUCACAAAUUCACAAUCAAUAUGGAAAUGACUGUUUUAAAAAAUAUCAUUUCUGACCUCCUAUUAUUAUACAAUAAUGUACACACCUCAUUUUCAUAGCAACAUUUUCAAAACCUCAUUCAAAUUCUAGUGUUACAGUUAUUAUAGUAUCAUGUAACCAUUCAGUAACUCCAAGAAGACAAGAACGAUUUCAGCACUUUUCUUCCUGUCUUCGAUUUUUAUUCUACUCUCCACUCGUUUAUUCUUUAUUUUUUAACUACUUUUCUUUCGUUUUUUUGAGUUUAUACCAAAAUAUAAAAAUUAUAAGAUGAUCAUAGUUGUAACUUGUAAAGGGUCAAAAUGCAAUUAUAAGGUAAUUUUCCCAUAAAUCAAAACCUUCUCUUUCAAACCCUGAUUUCUCACCGUCCGGCGAAAUCAUUUCUUCCUCAGUUGACGCCUUGACGGUUCCCCUGAUCUCUCGCCCGGAAUGACAACUCCCAGCGGACUUAUCUUGGCUGAACAGAUCAUCAAGAGUCAUUUUGGAUCGAUCGUGGCUGUAAGAAUUCCGACUUCUGACUGUUAAAGCAUCUACCGAUUUUUAUUGUAUUGUUUUUUUUGUUGGAAUCUUGUUACUACUGUAGAAGGUGUGCAACUGUCUUCUGCAUCAUGGUUCUUAUACCUUCCGGGAUGUCAUCCGCCUCACAGAGUUGGAACCUAAGAUUGUUAAAAAAUGCUUGAUUGUUCUCAUCCAGCACAAUUGCGUUCAGGCCUACUCGCUCUCAAGAGCAGGUCGGAUAAAAACAAGUUUUUUUUAUUUUAAAUGUGGACUCUCCUUUCUUUUUUUGUUUAUUGUGGUUUCUCCUUUUCUUAUUUGGUAAUUGGUUUUAACUUUUAACAGAAGGUGUCUCCAAGACGGUAACAAUAUAUAUGGUUAUUUUCGACAAUAUUAUUCAUCGUAUGCGUUUUCCAAAGUUUUUGAAGAUUGUGGAAGAACGCCUGAAUUCUCAGGUUAUUAUUUAAAAAAAAACUCUUUUUCUGCAGUUUUCCCAUGUUUGUAACUAUGCAUUCAAUCCAAUUAUGAUAAAUCUUUUGCACCACUCAUUUUAUUUUAAAAAUAGAUACUGUAAUUCUGUAAAGAUAAACAACUUUAAGUUUUCAAUUUGUCAAGAAAAUGCAUGGAAAUGGAAAUUCAUCUUACACUUAAGUUUUUAAACUUACUGGCUAGUCGUUAUAAUUUUAGAGAAUACAAUAUUGAUAGAAUAAUAGGCAUUUAUACACAAUGCGUAUUUUUAUUGUAAGAUGAAUAUAAUAAUAUUGUAACCUGUAAGAAACCAUUAUAAAAUCUCCCUUCUCUGCUUUUUAAUUUUUAUAUGAAUAUAAUAAUAUCUUUUUUUAUUGACAUGAUCAUUUUUUAUGUGGUGUUUAGUGUGAGGUUCUUCUCGAGGCUAUUUUCCAGCAUGGUAGACUUACAUUUGAACAGCUCUCGCAACAUUCAUUGUCAAAAGGUGUGUUAUCUUCAUGCUCAUUAUGAAUGCAAUUGUCUAGUACAUUUCUGCAGUCUGUACCUACAGAGUAUUGUUGAUUGGUUUCAUAGUUUCACUGAUGUUUUUCAUCUACACACCUUGUUGAUCUCAUGUGUUGGCAUGGAAACUUGCUGUCUUUUGAUUGCAUUUACAUUUAAAUUAUUUAAUCCAUUCACGUGAAUGUUUUCAAUGUUUUUUUGUUGUUUUAUUUAUGCAGACAAAGCUAUAGAUCUACAUGCUUUGAAGGAAAGUUUUAAUCGACUUGUUAAAGGACGUUACAUAGAGCGUUGCCCAAAACCCGAGCCUUUUUUAUCGUCAAGUGCAGAAGAUGCACCUCCACCUAGAAAGCGUAAUCAAAAGGUAAGUGGGAUAUGAUAAUAAUAAUAAUACUGCACUGGGUAGUGUACUAGUGAGUACAUUACUUUACAAACUCUAUGCGAGUUUAUUCACUUUUAUGUUGAUGAAUAAUGAUCUUAUUGGGUUCAAUUUUUUCAUUUUUUAGUUUGUUCUAGACACAAUGACAAUGGAAAAGAAAGCUCUGGCCAAUGCAACUCUGUCUGAUGCUGAAAGAUUUUGUGAAAUUACGAACUUUGAAUGUGAUAAUGAUACAUUGGAAGAUAAAUUUAUUGAGGGAAAGGUAAGUUUUUAAAAGGGUCGAUAUAUUUUUUAUUUUACUUUUACAACAUAUUUGAAGUUUUAUUUCAUAGAGGAAUUUUCUAGAAUACUAUCUUUGAUGUUAUUUCGCCAAAGAGACAUUAAUAAGCAAUCUUUGAAGAAAUGAAAGAUUUGAUGUCAAAUUCCAUCACAUGGGAUUUUGAUAGUUGAUACUUACUUACUUAGUAACAGAGGAUAACUGAAUGUAGUUAGCCUCAAGUAUAUAUAUAUGCCUAUCUAUGCAAUAAAGAGAGGAUGCUCAGUAGAUUGUUUUAUCUACAAAGAUGUGUUCAUAUAUAAGAUUAUUUCAUCACAAAUCCUAAAAGAAAAUUUAACACUUAAAUGACUUCGAAGUAACAUGUUUUAUGCACGUAUAUACAUUGAUCAUCAGAAAAGAUUAAAGAUCAGAGGUUGGAGUUUUCAAUUUGCAAUCAAGGAUAACAAUUUGAUUCAAUCUUUUAUCUCAUCCCUUUGCAGAGGAAAUAUGGAUCUCACGAGAUAGAUAAAAAAACUGAAGCAACAAUUGUAGAGAAGGAGGUUCUUUGGCGGGCUAAUUUUCAGAACUUUAUAAAUUUCCUUAGGGCAAAGGUACGGCACUGUGUUUGCUUCUAUUUCUCUUUCCAUUAAUUUCAUUUAAAAUGACAUGGUAUGCAUGCAGUUUUGUGACUUUGUCAUCUCUUUUUAUAAAAUGUCUAUUUUAUUUUGCUUUUAUUGAUUUUGUUUAAAUUGGAAUAAUUUCUUCGGUUUUCUGUACUUAGUACAAUAGUACUUACUAAUUAAGUUUUGAUAUUUUUGGUGGGAAGACUUGUUUUGAAAUAUUUGGAUUUUUAAUUUUUAUCAAUUUUUUACCCAGAUUUUAAAUUGUCAAAUUUGUUGAGUUUCAGCAAGUUCACAAGAUAUAAUUGCUGCUGAUCUAUGAAUAGCCUAUGUAAAUGUUUUUGAACUUUAAUACCCAAAAAAUAACUCAACUCUCCUAGCUUGUGGACAGCGAAUUCUUCAUCCUAUUUUGCAAGCACUUCAUCAACCUUAGCUAUAUAGUCGAUUAAACAACUAUAUAGAAUUAAUCACAUUGUUUGUCGGCAUCCUUGGUACCAACUCCCAUGUGGCAUUAUUAAUGAGCGCAUCAUAUUCUUUCUUCAUAGCUGAUUUCCAUCCUUCAUUCUCCAAAGCUUGCUUGAGUGAAGAUGGAACUGAAAUUUCAGAAGUUGAUAUAGACAGUGCAUACCUAGGAUUAGGUUUCUUAAUCUCUGCAGCUCCUCUAGUGAUGGGGCGCCUCUCAUAAUCAGUUAAUUUUACUGAUUUUGAAAUUGAGAACUCAUCUCCAGAGCUUGAAUCUGAAGAAAUUGGAGAGGAUAUCUGAUCAAAUGGAUUAAUUGGGGAAGAUAUCUGAUCAACUGAAUUAAUUGGAUCUGAAUGAGAUGCAGGAGUGACAUCUUGACUGUGAAUUAAUGGACUGUUUUGAGAAGUACUUCUAUUAAUAGGAUAAAUAGACUCAGGAUGAACAGGCUGAGUAGACUGAGUGUUAUGAACUGAAUCAGAUCUGGUUUCUGGACUUGUGUUCACAUCAGUGCUUGCCAUUGAAUUUUUUGAUUGGGAAAUAUUUUCCACUGAUAUGACAUUCCCUGCAUUCUGAAUUGCUUGAUUAGGAGUCAGAAAAAUAUCGUUUAAUUUUUCACUCAAAGAGAAAUCAUCUUCUCUGAAUAUAACAUCACUGAAAAUAUACACCUUCCCAUCAUCUGGAUUCAUACAUAUGUAACCAUCACAUGUAGCUGGAUAUCCUAAGAAAAUGCAAGGUUUUGAUUUGUCCUGUAAUUUAUUAGUUCGAUAUGGAUGUAAAUUAGGAAAACAUUUACAACCAAAUGCCCUUAAUUUACCAUAUUCCGGAGACUGUUGAAAUAAAGCUUCCAAUGGUGAUUUGCCUCAACUGAGUAGGAUUGCGAUUGUGAAUUGCAGCCAUAAAUGCAUAAUCCCAAAAUUCAGUGGGCAAGCUAACAUGCUUUAACAUAGCAAGUCCAGUGUCGACAAUAUGUCGAUGCUUUCUCUCAACUUUACCCAUCUGUGGGUGAGUGUGAGGAGAAAAACCAGGAUCGGGGAAGCUCUCUCUAACAAACUGAUACCAUAUAAGAGUUUGAGAUGUAAAUAAGUGAGAGAGAUACUCGAUCCCUUUCCAUUAACAAUGAGUAUCAUAUAUAUACAAUUUACUAUAACUGAAUUCUGUUAUACUUAAUACUACAAUAUGAAAAUGGAAUAUUACUAAUUAGCAUAGGAAACCUCCGUCGCAUAAUUGCAUUCACGCAUAGGAAACCUUGAUCUUUUGUGCAUGUUUUAUUUCUAUUGUGUGACCUCUAUCAUGAAUUGCUAAUUCCAUAUUUGUUUGCAUUUUAGGCUUGCAUUUCUUAUAAAAGUUCAAGGUUGACUAAUGAUGCUGGCGUCAUUUUGGAAGCAUUGAUUGAAUGUUGCAGCAAUCAAUGUAAUUUUAAUAUUUCCUUGUAUCUAAUUUUCAUUUUAAAUGUUUAACUUAGUCAUAACCGAUAUAUCUUUUUUAAGCCAAAUUGAUUUUGACUUAUAGAAAUAUUCUUAUACCAUUUAUAUUCAUUUUUCUAUCGAUAAUGCUUGUACCGAAAGCAACCGAGAUGGAGGCUUCCUUUGAUGAAAUUUUUGGACAUAUAGCAAAUCAUCAAGCUCAUAUGACCAAAGAUUACGUUGGGCAGGUGCUUGAUGAAAUUGGCUGCCAACAAUCUAUGAAGGGUAUAGUGGCAUUUUACACUAUUGGUAAUGACUUUUCCUAAACAUAAAAUAUGAAAGCAUCAUUUAGUUUUUAUUCUGAAAGCACUUUGAUUAAUUUUGUACUCUUUUUUUAGACCUGAAAUCAAUCAUUGAAGAUUCUCGAAAAGAAGAGGUACUAUUUUGUUUUCCUUAGCCCAAUCCCAUCUUCUAACUCAUAGUCCGGUACCGACCAAAAGCUUAAUCCUAACAUUCAUGUUGCAGAUGGAAACAAUAAUCCUUCAGAGAUAUGGCAAAUCGGCCUGUAAGAUAUUCCGGUUGUUGAGCACUAAAAAUCAACCAUUCGAAACUGACAAGGUAUUGAUUGAUUUGAUUUUUUUAAAACAAUUUUCAUUUUAUCGAUCAUGAUAUGUUAAAUCUUGCUUACUUCGUGAUGAAUGUUUAAAAAUGUGAAAAUGGUUCUAUAGAUAUCAGACAUGACGUUUGUUGACAAGAAAGAAGCAAUUGCACUCUUUUACAAGCUUUGGAAUGAUAAAAUUCUUCAUAUGGAGGUAUGCAUAACUCUCAAUUGCAUCCUGCAUUCAAUUUCAAUCACCUGAUAUUUUACUCAUUGAUCAAAUGAAGUGAACGCUAUUAUGCCCAGUUACCAAAUAAAUGAGAGAUGUGUAAGCUCAUUGUGUUAUACUGGUAGCCUUAAUCCUUUAACAGGUGCUGUUUCAUGCCCCUCGGUCAGUGUUUAAUUGCCUUUUUAUAGAAUUUGGCAUCAAAGAAGAUGGCAGAUUACCAAUUUCUAUGACUUAGAACAUUCAUUACCUAGGUCCUAGGUAGUCACAAUAACUAUGAUAAUUACAGAACUUUUUGCAAUAUUACAUCAUGAACUUUUUGCAAUUGUAGCCUCAUUUACACACAAACCAAACAUCGUGAACUCUGUUAGUGUGGGUAAAUGCAAAAUAAUUGACUCUCCGAUCUCCACUCUAAUUUUAUUUCUGAAUAUCUCCCUGAUUUAUUUCUAAAAAUACCAAAGAGAUUGAAUAAUCCUAGCUAGUUGCUCUUCCCCCAUUGUUCUUCUAUAUAAAAGAAAUUUAACCCUAUCAGGACUUUCUUAUCCCUUGAGACGUGGUUUACUAAUAAUUUAUACUUUAUAGUUUUAACAUCAAAAUUUUGCAAGGGUCUAUGAAUGAGAUCAGCCAUUACAAUUUCAUCAGUUUUUGUUUGCUUGUUUUAUAUAUUUCAGCCAGUUGGAUCCACAGAUCAGAAGAAGGGGUAUUAUUUAUGGAAAAUAAGUGAAAGUGCAUCUUCAGAUUUUUUCCUGGAAAACAUAUACCAUACAGCUGCUAAUCUCAAUCAAAGAAUAGAUUACCACUACGAAGAAAACAAAGAGGUUUCUUCUUCUUCUUUAACUGUUAAGUUGGGUCAUUUUUUAAUAUUAUAGGUAAUGAUGAUUUAUUUUUGGAAAUCAAAAUCUGUUUUCCAGUUCAUCCUUCUUUCGGCAGAGGACAAAAAGGAAAUGAUCAAAAAUCAACCAGAAAGGUGUAAAGUUUAUCAACAUUAUGUUAAAACAGUGAAGAUAUUGGAAACCUCCCUUUUAAAUCUUGACAAACUCCUCCUGUACUUCCAUGACUUUUAAAUAUUUUUUGUAUGAACUAAAUUAAUAUAUCAUUAUUAAUAUGUAAAAUUCAUAACUCAACCCAAAUAUAAGGAAUUCCUUCCUAAAUUACUCUCAAUCUUCAUUAAAUUCCUGACCACAAAGAAUCAUUUAUAUGGUUGGUCAGGUAACAGGUUGGAUGAAAUUUUUUAUUUUUUUAAAAUAAAAUCGUAAUAAAUAUAUAUCCAAAAAAAUGAUAGGACAGUGAGACAAGUCUAAGGUUAUAAGUGAUAUAACUUAUAAUACAAAUAAGAUCAACCUACACACUUCCUAAUCUCGUUUACACAUCCUCUAAAGGUCCGAUAUUUUCACACAAACCAUAGUCUAUUGAAGACAUCUUCCUUCUCCUCCUCUUCGAAAGAAAGCAAGGGUCAGAUUCGCCAACAUGAUGAAAAAGUAUAGCCACCAUAAGAAUACAGUGAAGAUUUAGUACAUAAUUAGUACUGAUAAUUUAUUGAAAAAGAUAAAAAUUAACGAAACCUGUAGAAAAUACAAAUAAAUCUAUUUCACACUCAAAAUAAAAUUUAUUGACAAAAUUAACAAUAUAAAGAGACAUUUUUUUCAAAAUAAAACUGCCUCAAGAGUUGAAUCUAGCACAAAUUAUAGACUAAGGUUUAAAGUAAAAACAUAAAUAAAUUCAGAAGUUUAACUUUGAAUAUUUCAAGCAACAGGUUCAACAUAACAAUAAUUUCUUGACAAAAACAAGGUACAAGGAUCAAAAUGAGAAUUGAGAUUUAAAUUUUGAUAGAUCAGCCUUCAAUUUGCUCUCUCAAUCUCCUUAUGGUGCUUCUCACAGUUACUGCACUGGCAGUGCUGCAAGAUAGAGACAAGAAAAUUACAACUUUGAAACAAGCAAUUCAAAUACAAGAAAAUAUCAGAAUGGGCAAAACUACUCACUUCAAUGUGUAGGCACCGCCUGCCUUGACCUUGCCACAAUCCUUGCAUCCCCAUAUUCCAACAGCUUUUCGCUUCACUCCAUACUGGAAUAGGAUAAAUGAAGAGCUCUAUAAUAAGUGAUCGAUGAAAAUUUGGAUAAUUGAAUGCAGACUAUUUUUCAAUUACCUUUCCGCAAAACUCGCAAAAGUACUUUGCAUGCUGGGAAACCUCCAUUUUCUUAAUUUGCUUACGCAGACUAGCACCAUAUCUGGUACCUAGAGUAUUCAGAAAAGAAAAAAUGAAUGCAAGCAAUUCAAAAAUGAUCAUAAAAGUAAUGAAUUAGGGAAGUAAUUACCAUAUUUGCCGACAAUUCCAGCUUUCUUUGUGCGCUUUGUCUGAAUUACAAAGAACAUAUAAGUAAUUAUUUAUACCAAAAAAAAAAUAUCAAUCUUCAAAAUAAGAGAAACCCAUUAAAAUAAUGUUAAUGAUGGAUUGAUUGGUGGGUGAAAUCAUUUAUAAAAAAAUCUUUAAUUUUUUUCCAAUACUAUCACAUCGGUUAAUUUCGCACAUCUUAAAACAACAAAAAUAAGCCCAAAUGAGUUAACCUAAUCUUGUUAUUCAUAAUCCUGAAAUAUAAGUAGUCUACAACAUCAGAACUUUCCCAUUGUACAUGUAAAAAAUUAUUCAAAAAAUCAUAAGACAUUAAUGAAUAUCCAAAGGAUUUAGGAUUCUUUUGGAAUUUAGAAAUUUGAUAAUUCCAAAACUUGUUUGAACAACAGGAUUUGUAACGUUUUUAUCAAUGACAUUGUAAAUCAAAGAUGUAGAAAUUAAACAACAAUCAGACAAAAGUAGCGAGAAAUGGUGUAGAACAAAUCAAAGGUGAUGAAAAGUGAAAACAACAACAUCCUUUAAUUUAUCGACGUUGUCAAACACAAAACAAAAAAAAUAAACACGCGAUGCAUCUGAAAUAAGAAAAAAUCUUACGCAACAGCCACAAUCCGAUAAACGAUCAAAUAUCAACAACGAAAGAACUAAAAGAGAUUCAUACCAUUGUCGACUAAAGUAGAUAGGAAAAACAAAAGAUCUACUCCGAUCCGAUGGUGCGACAAGAUUAAGCGGAAGAGAGACGGAGAUAGAACCCUGAGACGGCGGCUUUAGGAUAAUAUACUCGUAGUGUUGUAAACCCUAAUUUACAUAUGAUAAUCAUAAUGGGCUACGAGACAACUUGAUCCAUCAAGAAAUUAGUGGGCCUGACCUGGUCUGAUUUGUUUUCUAUAUAUAUAAUAUGACUUUGAUAAAUUUUAAUGAUUGUAUAAAAUUUUACAUUCACUAAACUACUAAAAAAAAAAUAUAUAUAUAUAUAUACACCAAAUAUGCACGGCACCGUGCCUCACCGGUCACCAAACGGUAUCGUGCCUGGAUAUCGUUCAAUUCACGCGUUCAAAAUCAUGACCGUUCAUUUCUAAAUAUAUAUAUUCUUUUCAUUGAGCUUGUUGUCGUCUUCAUCUAAUUUCUCUGUCGAGCAGGAGGCGAGUUCCCCGGAACUUCAAUCGAGUUCCAAGCGAACUGCAAUCACUCCCGUGGAACUCGCUACUGCAAUCCCACGGACCACAAUGAACUGAUAAUCUCUGUUGUCGAGGGUUGGAGCAGCAAGAUUUCACUAUUUGAGGGGAAUGAAUGAGUUGUCGAGGGUCCUGCGUGUCGGGAACGUCGAGCGGAUUGCAGUCCCGCGGACCACAAUGCUUCAGACGGAGCUGACGCAAAGAUUGCAAUCGCUCCGCGGAACCCAUCGCGAACUGCAAUCUCCGCAUCCUCUGGAACAGUCUUGCCAGAUAAAAGACGUUUCGCGAAAUGCUAUUUGUAAUACUUUUCAAACACGUCUUUUUCUUGCAGAUAUCUAAACAACAUCAUUACCUUGUCAAGAACAUUCUCAACAUCCUCUUCACUGACUCCCUUCAGGCCUUUACGGAGUUUAUUAUCAAUAAACAAGGAAAUAAACUCAGGAGAUCUGAUGUUUAGAUUUAUGAAAUAUUCAAAUGAAGAAUUAAGUGCAUUCUGGAAAAUUUUGUCAUUAUUAAAUGCUUGCGUGAUGAUCUCAUCAGGAUCCUUUAGCUUAUCUUGAUCAGUUACAAGCUUCUUGCCAGUUUGCCAAGUUUUUCAAAAUCUUCUUGGUAGACAGAAGAGCCCAAAUCGGAUAACAAUUUUUAUCACAUUCUUCAUUAGACCUCUGUUUAUAACUCAUUAGACUUCUGUCACCGAACGGUUCCGGAACCCAAUGCUUACUGCAAUCUCCGCGGAACCCAUCGCGAACUGCACUCGCCUGGACAUCGUUCGGAACUGCACUCUCCGUGAACUGCAACCCAUCGCGAACUGCAAUCUUCGCGGAACCCAUCGCGGUUCCACGAUUGCAGUUCGCGAUGGGUGCCGGAACUGCAGCUCGUGAUCACGAUGGGUGCCGGAACUGCAAUCGCAGUUCCAUCACUGCAAUCGAUGUCGGACCUGCAGGAUGUAGUUCCGGCAUCUAUGAAUGGACGACCACCAUUCGUCUAGCAAAAUAACGGUCUGGUGUCGCAAAACGUAUUGCACCAGGUACCGUUCAUGAUGUUUUUCCUAUAUAUAUAAUACCCAUUCGAUGAUCAUCGUGUAUAUAACAGUACGUCCGUUCAAUGUCAAUCGGACGGUCCCGACCAUGGUACAGUAUCCUUUUAUAUGGACGGACUACUACGGUUCCGACCAUGGUACGGUACCGUCCGAUGACCAUCGGUCGAUCAGAUCGUGGUGUAACGGAUGUUCUGAAAAAAUUCUGUAUAUAUAUAUUUUUUUUGAUAAGGUACUUAAUCAUAUAUUAAAAACAAUUAAAAUAUUUUUACAAAGAUAAAAUUAAAAUAAAAAGUUUAAAGUCAAAUAUAAGACAUUGUAGUAGAUUUAAAACACACUUUGAUUAGCCGAGAUUUCCUCCGCUUCUUUCAGGUUUCUUCAUGUUUAGCAUAACAAAAGCAUUUCAGUGUUGAUAAGUCAUUGUCUCAUUUUUGCAUUUGUGUGAUUUCUUAUAACGGUGUUUUUUAAAUCCCCAUUCUGUAGUACGGAUGAUCUGUUUCGUAAUCAUAUCUUCACUUAAAUGAAUGUCAGUAGUUUUCUUGUAUUGCGCUCCUUCCAUAUGCUCCAACUAGCUACUGAUAAAAGUGUCUCAUGAAUUCCCUAGAUGAGAGUUGACUUUUAAUUUAUCGAUUUCAGCACUUAUAGAACUGAAGUCAAUGCAGCUGUUUUGCUGAAUUAAUCCUCUCAAACCCAGUAGACAUUUUCCGAUUAUAUUUCUAGUGUAACAACAUGAGUAGAAAAUAUGAUUGAUUGAUUCAGUUUUUCUUCUACAGAGGUAACAUAUCUCGUUCGACUGUAGUCCUUUAAUUAUGAGUCUAUCGAGUGUUGGCAAUUUCUCUCACCUCAUCCGUCAAAGAAAAUUUCCUCCACUAAAAAAAAUAUUAAUGCAAUAAAAAAUUAACAUCACACAGGUAUAUUAACUGUGUACGUAAUUUUAAUUUAAUUUUCAUUAUAAUAUAACUGAUGAUAUAUUAUGUAAUUCUGAUAUAUCAUUCGAAAUGAAUUUUUUUACUUAGGGUUCCAAUAAUGGUAAAACAAAAUUUAAUUACAACUUUAAUCUAUAUUUAAAUGCACUUUGAAAAUGAAAAUAAAAAGGUAUGAAAUUUACAAUAAAAAUUAAAAAAUAAUGAAUAAAAUAAAAUAAAUAAUAACCACACGAUGAAAUGAAAUGAAAUGUUGUAUUUUUACAUGUAACUUAAUUACUUAUUCUUUUCAAUCUCAACCGUUCAUUAAUUAAAUUAUUCAAUUAAUUAUAAUCAUUUCUUUGUCACCGGAACUUCCACCGCCAUCGACGGUUCUUCCUUUGGCACGUCAAUUUCCGCCACCUCUUCCUUUGUUACCUCCACCUUCAUCUCUCCGACAACUUCCGCUACAUCCGCCACCUUUUCCUUCGGCACUUCAACGACAUUAGACGAUAUUUCUACAGUUUCCGCAUUCACCUUAACUGGUUCCGCCACCGUCUCCUCCCUCGUCGGCGCUACUUUUGGGGUUUCCACAGCCUUUGGCAUCUCCGGCACGAUAUCCUCCUCCUCUUCCUUAGUCAACUUUGCCUUCGGUGCAACAAUCAUCACCUCCGGCUCCUCCUCUGAUACCACAGCCUUCGGAACAAUUACCACCUCUUCCUCCUCUUCUGAUGAAACCACAGCCUUCGGUGGCAUCUCUGCCACUGCUAUUACAUGAGUCUCAACCAUUACCGAUGACUCCUUGACGGCUUCCGGAACUUUUUCCGUCGAUUUCUCAACCGGUGCUAAAACAUCGGCGACUUUCUCGAAGAUGAAUACAAUCGAUCUCGAUACCAACGUCGGCGAAUACUUCGUCGACGCAUCGUACACUUGUUUGGAUCCCGGAAACUCUAGAUUUUACGUAGAUCGAAAAUGAUCAUGCAUGGAUUUAUAAGAAUAAAAAAACUUCGUACGUACCUAUUUUGACGAGUUGUUCGAGGAGCUUCUUGAUAUCGUCGGCGUUAGAGUGAUUCUUCACCCAAUCUUCCGGCGCCGGAUUUCUCAGAGCGGUUUGGGUUUCUUCAGAACAAGCAUUGUAUAUCUUCAGAACCUUGGGUCGAAGUUCCUCCUUCUUUUCCUCGAUUUCCCUACUCACCUCCUCCUGUAAAAAAAACGCACACAGAGGUAAAAUUCAAAUUCCGUUUAUCAACCGCCGGUAAGACCGUAAAAGAAAGAGAGAGAGACCGACUUUGGAUCCAUCAAAGACCCUGCAUGCUGCAUCAGAACCUACUGCUCUUGACGACGACGAUCCUUUCUUCAUAUGGAAAGUAGUCCUGAUCUUCGGAAACACCUUUCCUUUCCAGAAACUCAUCUCGUCGGCGGCGGCGAUAAGAAGAGAAUGGAAAAAAGUCUCCGGUCGGUGAAGAAAUUGCAGAGGAAGAAGAGAAGGAUCGUGGAAUAAAAAGAAAAAUCUGAGAGAAAGAAGAUAAAUGAGUUGACAACCACGAAUAGGAAACGAAAUUGUAGUUCAUCUCUUAAAGAAAAUAACCUUAUAAUUACCAUUAUUUACAGAUAUACCCAACCUGAUUUAUCUGCAUUUUCAAAAAUCCCACUUCAAGGCUAAAAUCGUUAUUUUGUUAAAUAACCAAUUCACCCCAAUUUUUAAUUUUUUUUUUGACUAAUCCCAAGUCUCCUCUUUAAAUGUGUUGUGUCCAUUAAUAUUUAAUCUAAUGGUUAAAAUAAUGUACUGCAUAAAAUACUAACACAUGUACGACGUAAAAUAAUAUACUGCAAAAAACACUAACACAUGUACGACGAAAAGUCGAUAUAAUGGAUAAGAUUAAUUUGACGUAUUUUGAUCUCGCAUACCUGAUAAUUACUCCAUUAAUUAUAACUUAUUGGUGUGAAGAUUCAAAAUUGACGAUAAAUCCAUUUACGCAGAGAGAUUAUUACGAUAGUUAUAUAUAUUAAUUAAGGUUUUUAUAGGUUCAGUGUUCGAAUUGAAUCUCGUUGUUUACAUUCUUUUUUAAAAUUUUACUAUAAUUUAAUUAACCGAUGAUAUAUUAUGUGACUUUGAUAUAUAUAAUACUGAAUUGUAUAAAUAAAUCAGUCAAUAUGACAUUCAUGGAUGUUGUAUGACAAAUCAACUUGUUAUCUAGCUACAUCCAUCUAGCUAGCUAGCAAGACAUAUGUUGAAUAUAUCAGUUAGGUGGUGCAUGGGGUAUGUUAUUUUUGGAUGAGUGUUAAGCAUGAUUUAAUAGUUAAUUAAGAGUACUCAGGUGGAUGGCAUGAUAUUUAGGAUACUGAUGGUUGUAUCAGCAUUAUUGUUUUUAAGUUGUCGCGUAGUUAAAUAAAUCCGCGACGACAAUAAUGGCAGAAGUAAAGAAGUUCAUUUUGAUUAAUUAGGAAUAUCUUUAGUAGUCAGUACAAUGAUUAUGACACUGGCUAUAAGAAAACAGACCAAAAAUGAUAGAAUAUAGCGUUGAAAAAGCGAAGAUCGAGUUGGAAUAGCUAGUUAUUCUCACUUCUCAGAGAUCGACUGAGUUAAAUCUAUAUAUAUAUCAAUUAAACUGUAUAUAUAAUUUGUUUUUAGAAGAUCAAAGCAAGCAUUAUAAGAAAACAGACUCUUAACGACGGUCAAAAGUCGUCCCUAAUGACCAAAAACCGUCGCUGCGUCCCUAACCCUCUCGGAAAGUCGUCUUGCUAACUUUUCAAGAACAAACAUAAAAUCAGACAAAAAACCCUAAAAUUAUUUUGUCUGACAUGUGAAGAUCAAGAAUUGAAAGAAACUAGAAUUAACCCCCCCCCUCCACACCCAGUACAUUUCAUUCAUUAAUCAAAAUAUCGAUUCUUCAGUUCUCCAUCAUACUUUUUUUUGAUAACCGAUGGUACCUCUCGAUCUAUAAGAAGUAGAAAUGUUCAUCUUUGGCAUGAAUGUGAUAUAUCUUCGGGUACAUGUUUACACAACAAGAUUCGAAUUUCGAACCUUCAGAAACCUUAAUAAUUACUGUGAUCGUUUAACUAAUCUCCCUGGGUCCAUGCACGAAUCAACAUCUAACACCUGAUCAAGAUAUUUUUCGCCUGUAUUUAUAAAUUUUCCUACAAUUCUUGUGCAUGCACAAAUAUAUUUAUUCAUAUGCAUCUAGCCAUGCUUUGGUUGUAUCCCUAAUUUUGGAUCUCUCACCAAAUGGUCCUCAUGCACUCUCUCUAACCCCUCUAUGUUCUUCUACUCUUCAAUAUGCAAUAAAUUAUACCUUGAAAAGCUCAAUAUGGAUCUUUAAUGGUUGUCUUCAUGCAUAACUUAUCUCAUUAGUUUAAUGUCUUCAGUACAUACACAGAGAGAUUACUUCAAUUCUGAAAAUUCAGGAUUCAAUCAAUCAAGAAUUUUCGUUGUAUACGUAUUUUUAUUAAAUUUUUUACUGUGAUAUAACUGUUAAUAUAUUAUGCAGUUUCUAUGCCAUGAAUGGAAAAUGAUCAUGGAAUAUUCAAAGGUGUGAUUAAAUUUCUUUAUUUUGGAUUUUGGGUGGAUUUUAACAUUUUUAAUCUGUUUAAAUAGAUUUUGUUUUGUUUAAUACUUUAAUGGUAAUAAAAACAAAAACUCAGGUGUUCUACCAUAAACUGGUCCACCCACUUGUAUUUUCUAUUUUUCUACACAAUUUCAACUCCAAAAUUUGUUUUUUUCCCAUCAAGCAGUUUAGUAAAGUUGUUCUUGAGUCGCAUUACAUGCACGGAAUAUCAUAAAAUAUACGACUAUUUGCUUAAUUGCUUGUAUCGAAUUUCAGAAAUGGAUCGUCAGCCGUCAAACUCCGUCACUGCCGUAAACGGCGGAGGGAUUCGAGAUCCGACGAAAUGGGUAUUGAAGACGAUCAACUAUGGUAUUAUGAUAGUUGGUUCCGUCUGCUCCAGUCUCAUUACAAGAUUCUACUUCAACCACCAUGGAAGGAGCAGGUGGUUAUCCACGACGGUGCAAUCCAUCGGAUUCCCGCUUCUUCUCUUCCCGAUCUUCCUCUCCUGCAACCGUUCUUCUUCAUCUCCACCAGCUUUCUCUCUAUUCACUCCUAAAAUGAUCAUCCUCUGUAUCGUCAUCGGAUUCUGUUUGGGUGUGAACAAUUUCUUGUUCUCCCUAGGCAUCUCAUACCUCCCGAUGUCGACCAACGGAGUCCUUCUAUCGACGGCAGUCGGGUUCAAUCUUCUGACGUCGGUGGUGAUGGUGAAGCAAAAAGUGAGGCUGAACAACUUGAAUUGCGUCGUGCUUCUCACUUUGAGCUCCGUUCUGAUCGCCGUUGGGUCGAACAGUGAUAUGCCGAAAGGGGUGUCUAGGGUGGAAUUCUUCAUCGGAUUCUUCUCUGCUCUAGGCGCCGCCGGAAUGUUCGCUUUCUACUUGCCUAUAAUGGAAAUUGUUCUCCGGCAAGUUCACACAUACAGGAUGGUCAUGGAGAUGCAGAUGAUAAUGGAGGCUUCGGCGACGGUUUUCUCCCUUGUCGGAAUGGCGUGUAGCCACGGAUUCGGGGAAAUCAUGAGCGAAAGCUCGUCGGAGUUUGAUUUGGGAAAAUCGGCGUAUUGGUGGACUAUCGUGGCGACGAUUGUACUUUGGCAAUUUUGUUUCAUGUCGACGGCGGGGUUGGUUUUUUUAACGUCGGCGCUCAAUAGUGGGAUUUGUAUGACUGCGACAAUGGUACUUCAUGUCGUCUCCGGAGUUUUAUGUUACGGUGAUCAUUUAGACGGAGCGAAGGUUGUUUCGACUUUGAUGUCGACUUGGGCUCUUUUGACGUAUUUUUACGGGGAGUAUCGUUGGCAGAAAAAGGAACCAUCGCCGGAUCGCCAAGAGAAAGAGAUGGUCGGUGUUGGAGAAGUGUGAUUCAUGAACUAAUAAAUUAGCUUUUUUUCGUCUUUUUCCUUCUGUUUUUAAAUAAUUACAACAUUUUGUUUUUAUUUAUUUCUUUAUUGUCCUCAUCUCAUGUGAACUUAAAAAAUUUAGGUUUUUUUUUUUUUUUUUGCCUCAAAAUCACAUUUUGCAAAACUUCUUGUUGAUCAUGAUCAAGAAUUCAUGAUGAUCUAAUCGGGAUCUAAUGAUUAAAAGCUUGUUAAUGACAUCUGAGUUUUUCGACUUCUCAUGUACUGAAUUUUUACUGACAGGACGUCUUCAUGAAAGAUUACAUCUCUAGUAAUGAUUAUUUUUCCAUUUGAAAAAUUAUAACCAUAUCCUAGAAAAACACAUCUUUCUGAUCUAAAGGAGAAUUUUUGAGAUUUAUAUGGUCAUAGCACUACAAGAAAUCCGACCUUGUAUGGCGGGCUUUAGAUGGCGGGCUUUAGAUGGCGGAUUUCCGCCAUCUAAAGUGAUCCUCGGCGGAAAUCCGCCAUCUAAAGCCCGCCAUCUUGGACACNNNNNNNNNNNNNNNNNNNNNNNNNNNNNNNNNNNNNNNNNNNNNNNNNNNNNNNNNNNNNNNNNNNNNNNNNNNNNNNNNNNNNNNNNNNNNNNNNNNNAGGAAGCCCAUUGUUUGUUUCAUUAAAUUUAUCUUUCGUUCAUACUGUAGACAUUAAUCUUUCAUUCAUAUAUAACAAUUACAACAUAUAACAAGAAAUCAAUUACAAAUAAAAUCAAUAAAACAAUCAAAAUAACUUAAUGAAAACAACAUGCAUAAUCACAACAUAAUCAAAACUCUUAGUAAAUGAAAGAUCCAACUCCUAGUAAAUGAAAGAUCUAAUUCUAUCUAUCAACCUAAGAAUUUACACUAUGUUUGAAGGAAAUGCCACCAUUGAACAUGUAGGAAAUAUUACCGAGGUGUGUGGAAGUGGAGACCGGCGACGGAGACGUGACCGACGGGAGGAGACGACGACGAAGACGGGAGGAGGCGACGACGAAGACGGGAGGAGGCGACGACGAAGACGGGAGGAGGCGACGACGAUUCGGCAGGAGCGACUCUGUCGAUUACAGCAACCCAUAUAUAAACAUUACAUAAUCGAUCAUUACAUAUAAAAAUCGAUCCAUAUAUAAAAUCGAUCAUUAUAUAUAUAAACAUUACAGCAACCCAUUCAAUAAUCAUAAUCAUAAACAUAAAUCAAUAAACAUAAACAUAAUAAAUAAAUAAAUAAAUCAAUAAUCAAUAAUAAAAAAAAACAUAAACAUAAACAUAAUGGUCUGAAUUUUAAAUAAUGGUUGUGACUUGUGAAUUCAGACUAUGUAUUUUUUUUUGAAAGAUUUAAUUGAUUAUUUUUUGCGAAAACUUGGUGGGAUUACAUUGGUACUUUAACACCCGAGCUGAAAAUUGUGUGAGUCUAUCUCUAAAUGCGAGUGCAAUUGAAGCUCCUUAAUUUGAGUCUGUAUCUCAAAAGUAGAAACCCUCUUCAUUUGAAUUGAUAAAUUCUUUCAUAGAUCCAUACAAGGAAAUGAAAUAGGUUGAAGGUGACUAGUGAGAUGACUGAAUGACCUAGUGUUUGUAAAUACAAUAUGAAGCUUCAUGAAAGAACUGAAAAGCAAAGAGUUCUAGAAAAUGAUGCUUCGAUGAUAUUUUAUCCCAUGGAUUCACAUAUGCCGUAAAGAACUGAACUACAAUAGUGAGUUGCUGAUUAGCAUUUAAAAAUCGAUUUUUAACUACUACAUAAUAGAUUUACUUAGCAUUUAAAAAAAUCACAGUUGAACAUAAACAAAAAACCAUAAACAAAAAAAAAGAAAAUAAAUAACAAACCUUCAAUCAACGAAGUGGAGAUCGAAGUGGAGAUCACGGCGACAGACGACGACAGGCGACGACGGGGAGACAGGCAGCGGCGGGGAGACACUCGGCAGCAGGGAGACAGUCGGCGGCGCUUGGGAACAAAAUCAGAACAGACGCGUUCUGUUCUGAUUUGGGGUUUUUUAUAAACCCCAAAACUUACAUGGCGGAUUUCCGCCAUGUAAGUACACUUAAGUGCCGCCAGCACUUAAGUGAAAGUCCGCCCAAUCGAAAUUUGGGCGGGCUUUUUCCGCCCGAGUCCCCGAAGACUUAAGAUGGCGGAUUUCCGCCAUCUUAAGUCAAUUUAAUCGGGUAAUCGGGCUGGAAAUUGGGGGCGAUUCGAAAUUUUGGGCGGGAUAGUUUAGAUGGCGGAAAUCCGCCAUCUAAACACCGCCAUCGAAAAAAAUUUCGAACCGCCGUCGAGCCCAAUCCUUUCCUCGGCGGACUGAAAGAAUAGAUGGCGGACAUCCGCCAUCUAAACUAUUGAAGUAUUGAUGGCGGAAAUCCGCCAUCUAAAGGCCGUCAUACAAGGUCUUUUUUUUUGUAGUGUAGAUUAGAGAAACAUGUACAACCAAAAACCUUAAAAAAUUUAUAAUCUUGAGCUUUAUUAAAUAUUACUUCUUGGAGUGCAUUAACUGAACUGUUGGUUAAUAUAUGAUUAAUUAAAUAGGCUAAAUAUCUGAUGUGUCAAGCCUUAUAUGAGCCAUCGUGCGUCGACCCUCUCAACGUUUAGCUUUCUCCAUCGUAUGGUCAUACUUUUGUCAUACACUUUGUGUCGUCUUUGAACAACAUUCAGAAUGUAUUUUCAUUAAACUACUGUUUCUAAAAUUAGAUUUUGUCUUCUGUCUGCACCUCUAAAUAUGUUAAUGACAGAAGGAUUUAUUAAUUUAUUGUAGAAUUUUAGUUAGUCAUAAAAUUUUAUUACUAUUCAUAAGAUUAGAUGUCUCUAGUCCUACUAUCAUACUGUUCGACGAACUACUUACCAUCAAUCCCUGCUGACUUUCUUUGUGUCAUCACUUUUAAACAAGUUCAUUACAAAAUUAUUAAUUAUAUUGUUUAUUUAUAUUUUUUCAUUGUGUUUUAGUAUUAUUCAUAGUGUUUUUGUUUAGAUAAAUACUCUCUUGUCCUACGAUUACACUAUUAGCCGAACAACUAACCAUCAAUCAUUGUUCACUAUCCCAAAUCUUUGAAAUACCCAAAUUAGAUUUUCAUCAUUUCAUUUCUCACAACUUUAUUUUCAUCAUCUGAUUUCUUACAACUUUAUUUUCUUCAUUCCGUCAGACUUGUCUUUUCAAACUCGGUUUCUCCCAAGGUAUUUUCUCUUUUAAUCUCCGAUCUUCAUAUCCAACGACGUUGUUCAAUGGAGUAUUUGUGUGAUACACAUUGAUACGCUUCGUAUCAGGGGAAGGGAGACCAGAGCUUCUUGAAUCUCUUGGAUCUCUUGGACCUUAUUCCAUAAUAACGUGGUUUUAUAUAGCCUUAUAAAUACUAACAAAUCUGAAAACAAAUCAUAAAUUACUAAAUCAACAUGCACGGAAAGAAAUAAUAAACGUAGAUGGAAAUCAAAAAAUAAAUAAUUUAAUGUUAAAUGCAAUGUAGAGGAUCGAACGGAUCACACAUAGGGUGGCGCUUGUACUUUUCUUUCUUGUAAAUUUAAACAAUAACAUACCUUUUCUAAAACUUCGUCUUCUACCUCCAUCCUUUCCUAUAUAUAUAUCCCCCAACUACAUCUUACCUCGAUUUUCAUUACUCCAUAUGGCAACUUCACCGAUUUGCAUUUCUUCUGAUGAUUCUGAAGUAUCUAUGAUCAACUUGUCCGAUGAUAUAUACCUCAAAUAGAGUUUCAUCUGAUGUUUCAGAAAUUCCCCUUGUCAUCAUAUCUAGUGAUUCAUCACAUAUAAGUUUGGAAGAUAUUGAUUCAGGGAUCAUUCAUCCAUUUUUUCUUGAAUCAUUUUCAUCUGACCGUUUUUCUUCUUCAGUACCGACUUCUGAUUCCAGUCAUCCAGUCUCGGACUCUGGCUCAUCAAAUGUGUCCGCCCCUCGACUCUGACUAUAACUUCUUCUCUACCGUAUUAUGUUCCUAAAUCAGAAGAAGAAUGUAGAGAAGAUGGAAGCUAAGAAGAAUAUAGAGAAGAUGAAAGCUAUGCAUAUUCCAGCCCAUCUGUAAAUCACUACAACCUGCCCGAUGUUGUUAUUCCAGGCUUCAUCACUAAACCCUUAUCUGAAAACGAAGUUCAUAUGACUAAACAACUGUCUCGCACAACUCAUCCACUUUCCGAAGGUAUUCCUGGUUCCAACCAUCCACUCUCUCAUGCUAUUCCACAUCAUAACCAAAUGACAUACCAAUCUUCUUUAUUUAUCCAGUAGUACACACCUUACUCCUAUCAUGGUUCCGGUUCCAGUCUUUUACGAGAUCGAUUACCACACACAUUUCCAUUUCUGCAACUAGUGUUUACUACGGACUUCAUUAAUUUUUACACCGAACAAAGACUCCAAUCGAUUUCCAUUUGUCACAUUCAAGACUCCCUUUAGUUGUUUGACGAUGACAUUAUAGAUUUCCCUAUCUGGAAUUGAAACCAUGCUUAAUAUAUUGUCGCUAUGUUUCUAACUUAACGCUAGAAGAAAGAGCAAAUGAUAUAAUUUUGUUGAUGUUCUCUGAACUCAUAGUUUUCUUGAAGAGUUUGAAUAUGCCCAUACAUAUUUUAGGAUAUUGUAGAUUUUUGCAAAUCCCAUCAGUCACUAAAUUAAGACCCACUACAAAAAAAAGUAGGCAGUUAGGACGAGCAAAGUUAACGGAAUUUCCGUUACAAAUACUAUUUUUAACGGAAUUUCCGUUAACUUUGGUCCGUUACAAAAUUUCCGUUACAAAUACUUAAAUCCGUUACAAAAAUCCGUUACAAAUAUUCUCAACUUAAAGUUAACGGAACGAAAAAUCCGUUACAAAUUUUUUAGGUAUUUGUAACGGAAAUUCCGUUACAAAUACCUAAAAAUUCCAGAAUGCAUGAAUUACAUAAUACAUAUAAAUUCUUGUAAAUUUGAGUAUUAAUCAUAAUUCCUGUAAAUUUUAGAAUGCAUAUAUUUGUAAAUAUUUUUUCCUGUAAAAAUCAUAUAACAUUCAUAAUUUACAUUCAAUAUUAUUCACUAAAUUCAUUCAACAUUAAUAAUUAAAAUCAUCUAACAUUCAACAAAUAUAACAUCUUAUUCCUAACACAACAUUAAUUCAUGAUCUAAUAUCUAAAAUUGAAAGAGAAUUCAUAAGGAGCUGAACAAGAGGAGUUGGAGUCGGAACUUGAGGAGUAUUGCUAUCUUUCCCUUCUAGCACCAUCAUUGAAUCCUUAUUCCGGAACAGUUGACAAUUUAAUAUAGACUGAAAUAAAAAAUAAUUCUAAAUUAAGAAGAUUUAUUAGUAAAAACGUAUUUUAAAUUUGAAAAUCCAAUGUUUCUAAUCAAAUUAAAAGUAGAAUAUGCAUCUCUAUUACUAAAAUAAACAUGUCAAAUUUUUAAAAUGUAGAUAGUUAUAACUUGUAAAGAUAAACAGAACCUUUUAAGUAAACUCUUAACUUGGAUAUUCCUAUUAACUAAAGUACUAAACAAUAUCCCCCACAAGUAAAAAAUACCUGAUUUUGUUCAAAAUACCUGAUUCUGUUCACAAAAAAUUUGAAUAAGUAAAGAAUUAGUUAGUAUAUUUAAAAUACCUGAAACAGGAUCUUCCACACACUAUAUCAAUCUAAAAAAUAGACAUUUAUACAUAAACAUAAUUAACAUACAUUGACAUACAUUUUAUACAUAACUGAUGAACUCGGAAAAUACCUAGUGUGUCCCGUCCAUGAGAACCAGCUUCCUUUCGGAAACAUGUCGACGUUCCAGCAUACGCAUUGUGAGUUUGUGACAAUAAAUAUUUCAUAGACAUGGUGUUUUUUAUUUUGAAUUCUGAAAUAGCUAAUAUAUUGUAUAUACACACCUCUUGGGUACAUUAGAUGGAUAAAGUCGAUCACCAAGAUGGUAAGCACACAAUGGCUGUUCAGCAGUAGCAAUCAAAUAUUAAUCAUCUCCUUCUCCUGUGACCUGGUGAAACAUAGACAGUGAAGUUAGAGUCCAGAAGUGAAAUUAUUUAUUUACAUCUAAAACCAUGAAACCAAACUGAUUGAAAUAGAAAAAACACAGUUAACUGAAAACCUGAUUUAGUUUCAGACAUUCAGUAACCAUACACCUAAAAAACUUUGUUAGUGUUUUCAAUAAAAAAACAAAAUGGAUUCCUAAUCUAACUAAUUCCAUUAUCUAGUUAAUGUGUAUUGAACUAUAUUCACUGCAUUGUUAUUUUCAAUUAAUCAGAAAAGAAUGAUUAAGUACUUUGUAUAGUUCUUCAUCAAACAGAGAGAGUUAAGCAAACUUUGCCAUAAUAUCUUUCGUCAAAAAAAAUGGAGUUAAGAUGGCCUAGUAAUUUCGACUCUCUAAGAAAUUAAUCAAAAGCAAACUGUAUGAGAGGCAUGUUGAGACGAGCUCCAGCACCCUUCAAAUAGUAACCUCUUCCUCCAGCUACAUUAGCACCUAAAUGAGAGGGGAAACAUAAAUUCAAUAAAAAAAACAAACAAGAAAAUAAUAGGCACAGUAGGAAAUAAAUGAUAACAUGACCUAUCUAGCAUGAAGAAACAAGCAUAAUACACAAAGUCUACCUUUGAUCAAAUCUGCAAUGUCCAGUAACUCGACAAGCUCAUAAUUUUUCAGCUUCUCCUCUUUUCUCCAAAUGAUCGCACAACUGCAUUGUUUUCUUAUAAAUAAAAAACAAAUAAGCCUAAUUUGUAAAGUAAACAAAAAACGUUUUGCUUGACUGCAUUAGUGCAUGACAUAUAACUGAAAACAUACCAAUCACUCCAUGCCUCGGUCCACAUUUUUGGUUUGUAAGGUUGAUUUGGAGUAAAGGCGUCGCAAUAUACACCGUUGCAUGUAUUUAUCUAAAACAAUAAUAUUCCUAAGACAACAUUUAGAAGAAAAUUACAAGAGAAAUAGUCUUCAUAAAAAAUAUAGUUCACCACCGGAUCUGGGGCAUCCUCUUCCUUGCACAUGACCCAUGGAACACCUGUUUGCAUUCCAACAACCAUUUUCCCGUCCCAAUCCAUGUAACUAUGACCAGCAAAUCCAAAUGCCUUACUUUCUGGUCCAUACUCAUUUUCAAUCUGCACUUGUUAGACAAUGAAUGCAAUAAGAAACCAAAGUUUUUUAAAAUUUACAGAAGAAAAAAUCCUCAACGAAAAAAAGAAAUAUUUGAAGAACAGAAGAAGCAAUCAUGAUUCAUGCAUGCCUGUGAUAAGAUUAUGGAACCACCAUAUGGCUCAUAGAAACCCCCCUAUUGAAAUUGUUGAAAAUCAAACACACAGAUCCAAAGAAAAUAAAAAAUAAAAAGCAUAAAAAUAGAUACCCAUAAUUCCACUCUGCGCAAAUAUAAGAACCAAUGCGGAGAUGAGCAUAGAGCCCAGCUUUGUGGACAGUCUUUAAAAACCUCACAAGAUCAUAUCUCCCUUGGAAAUUAUACUGAAAUCAAAAACUGCCACUACAAAAAAUCAGCGCAGUUCUGGCGCCCAUCUCCCGGCGGCCAGGCCGCCGGUAGAUACUUUCGUCGGCCUGGCCGCCGGAAUNNNNNNNNNNNNNNNNNNNNNNNNNNNNNNNNNNNNNNNNNNNNNNNNNNNNNNNNNNNNNNNNNNNNNNNNNNNNNNNNNNNNNNNNNNNNNNNNNNNNNNCGCCAGCUCCAAUUCAACAACGGUCGGGAGAAAAAUUCCCGGCGGCCUGGCCGCUGGAUAAUUUUUCCCGCUUGUUUUUUUUAGUAGCCAGCGGCCUGGCCGCCAGAAAUUUUUGGAAAAUCCUAAAUUUACAACUUGCGCCGCCGUGGUCCCCCGUACAGUCAAACUCAGUCAAACUAAACUUAAGUAUUUCCCGGCGGCCUGAAUUUUUUAUAUAAGAAAAAAAUUUCCAGACUUUUCUCAUUUCUCCCAACGGUUUCCUCCUACUCCUCACUCUCCCAAACUCUCCAAACUCUCCCAAACUCUCCCAAACUUCUCCAAAGGUGUUCAAAGUUCUCCCCAAGGGCGUUUGUAACUUCUCCCCAAGGUAAUAAUCUCCAUUUUAUACUUCCUCUUCAUGUUCUCCAUUUCUACAUUGUCUACUUCAUGUUCUACUUCCUCAUCUUCUCCAUUUUAUAAAUUUUUAUCAUCUUUUCCUAUUCUUCUACAUUGUCUAUGUAUGUAUGUAUUUGUUGGUUUAUAUAUUGGGGUUAGAUGUUAGGUUGAUUUUGGGGGUUUGAUUUUGGGGUUUUUGAUAUUGGGGGUUUGAUUUUGGGGUUUUGAUUUAGGGGUUUUGAUUUAGGGUUUUUUAUUUAGGGGUUUUGAUUAGAUCUAUAUGAAAUUUAAUUUAUAAUUAGUAAUUUUGUUAUUAAGUUAAUAUGUAUCCUUAUUUACCAUUUUAUUGUUAUUGUUAUUGUUACUAUUUUGUUAUUGUUACUGUUAUUGUUUUGGGGUUUUGUUAUUGUUACUAUUUUAACACAUACAUAUGUAUCAUUAUUUACAUAAUUGUUACUGAAUUUUUUACAUACAUUGUGCAAGUUCUGAAUUUUUUAAUAAUUGUUACUGAAUUUUAUUUUAUUUUAAGUGUAUUGUUUUAUUUUAAGUGUUCUUUUUAAGUGAAUUAAGUUACUGAAAUUUUUAUUUUACUGAAUUUUAUUUUAAGUGUAUUGUUAUUUAUGUAUGUGUUAGGGUUUAGGGUUAGUUAUUUAUGUAUGUGUUAGGGUUUAGGGUUUAGUGUGUUGGUGUUAAUGUUUUAAAUGUUUUAAAUGGUGUUUGCUGGAAUUUUUAGUGUGCUGGAAUGUGUGCUGGAAUGUUUUAGUGUGCUGGAAUGUUUUAAAUGUUUAGUGUGCUGGAAUUUUUUUUAAGUUAUAUAUUUACUGGAAUUUAUGGUGUUUGCUGGAAUUAAUGUUUACUGGAAUUUAAGUUAUGUAGUGUUUAUGUAGUGUUUAUGUAAUUUUUAUGUAGUGUUUUUAUCUAUUUAUGUAGUGUUUUUAUGUACUGAUUUUUUUGUUAUCAUUAGUUCCAAUUUCCACUACUAAUUGUUUUGAUCUAUUUAGUUUUGAUCUAUUUUGUUUUAUCCAUUUAAAUAUUUAUUUUAUGUUUUAAAUUUUUAGUUAUGCUUGUGUAAUGUUUAAUUUUAGGUUACUAAUUUAUGUUACUAUUUAUGUACUUUUUUAGGUUGAAUCGGUGUUGAAUUUUUGUCUCCGAUCUCCGAUCCCCGCCGCGCCGAACUGUUUUCUCCGGACAUCUCCCUGCAUUGGUGUUGAAUUAGUGUUUGUUUUGAAGGUUUGUAAUAUGUACAAUUUAAUUAAGUUCAUUUUAUGUUGCGGUAUAUAGUUUAUGAUAUAUGUUAUGUGUUUUGUUGUGUUUUUAAUUUAGUGUUUAUGAAAUAGUUUAUGAUAUAUAUCUAGUGUUUUUAAUUUAGUGUUUAUAUCUACAUUAAUUUUUAUUGCCUCUACAAGGUUAAUAUUUUGCAAACAUAAGUUUGAUUUUGUUUCUAUUUAAGUAUUUAAGUAUUGAGGAUUUAAGUAUUUAGGGAUUUUAAGUUACUGUUUUUAUGUAGUUAUUUAGGGGUUUUGAGUUUAUUUAGGGGUUUUGUGUGUUGCUGGAAUUUUUGAUAUUGCUGGAAUUUAGGGGUUUAUUUAGGGGAUUGUGAUAUUGCUGGAAUUUUUGUGUGUUGCUGGAAUUUGUGUGUUGUUGCUGGAAUUUUUGUAGUUGCUGGAAUUUUAAUUGCGGAUUGUGAUAUGUUAUGUGUUGCUGGAAUUGUGGAUUGUAGUUGCUGGAAUUUUAAUUGCGGAUUGUGAUAUGUUAUGUGUUUGUGAUAUGUUUGUGAUAUAUAUGUUUGUGUUGUUAUGUGUUGAUAUGUUAUGCGGAUUGUGAUAUGUUAUGUGUUGAUAUUUUGUUGUAGGUAUUUGCGGAUAGUUGUAAUUAGCAUUUGCGGUCGAAAUUCAAGUUGCGCUUUAAUCGAUUGAUCAAUGUAAUAUUUUUUAUUUAUUUAUUCAUUUAUUAAUUAGUUAAUAUAAUUUGCAUGUUAAUUAAAUAAUUGAAAAAUGAAAUGCAUGUUCAUAAAUUGUUUGAAUUUAAAAUGAAUACAAAUUUUUUCAAAUGAAUGCUAUGAAAUCAUGAAUAAUUAAAUUUAAAUGCUAUGAAAUGAAUUUAAAUAAAUGCUAUGAAUUUAAAUGAAUGCUAUGAAAUGAAUUUAAAUGAAUGCUAUGAAAUGAAUUUAUGAAAUGCUAUGAAUUUAAAUGAAUGCUAUGAAUUUAAAUGAAUUUAUAUUUAAAUGAAUUUAUAUUUCAUUUAAAUGCUAUUUAAAUGAAAUGAAUUUAAAUGAAUGCUAUGAAAUGAAUUCAUAAAUUUAAAUGAAUGCUAUGAAAUGAAUGCUAUAAUUAAAUUUAAAUAAAUAAUUAAUUAAUUAAUAAUUAAAAAAAGUAACAGUCAGAUUUUGUAAGUGUGAUUGUUAGUUAGUUUUUCAAUAAUUGUUGAUUAAUCAAUUAUUAAUUAUUAAUUAAUUAUUUAUUUAAUUAACUAAUAAUUAAUAAUUAAUUAAGAAAAUAUUGGAAAAUCCAUAAAUCAGUUUUUAUAUUAAGAACUUGAUUUAAAAUCCAAUGUUGAAAACAAUUAUUUAAAAAUUAAAAUCAUUUAUUUAAUUAAUAAUUAAAUAAAUAAUUAUUUAAUUAAAUUUAAAUAAUUAAUNNNNNNNNNNNNNNNNNNNNNNNNNNNNNNNNNNNNNNNNNNNNNNNNNNNNNNNNNNNNNNNNNNNNNNNNNNNNNNNNNNNNNNNNNNNNNNNNNNNNUUAAUUCAACGUAUCCUACAUUUAUAUACUACAACCCAGCACUAAUAAUCAGUUAACUAACAACAGUUUAACUAAUUCUUAAUUCUUGUAUCCUUCUCAUACUCCUCCUCAAGACGAAGGUAGUAUCAUCGUACUGAGUCUUGAACCACUCCUGACCCAACCAUCAUAUCGAUUGCAAUUAUCAUCCAUUUGUAUAUAUCUUUAUGAUUGUUGAUUAAUUGGAUUGAUAGUAAGGAUAAAAAAGUCAGUGGGAUACAUACUUUUGCUCUUCUUUCAUUUUUCUGGGAAAACCUAUCCUAUCAAGCCAAUUGAACCCAUCACUAUUCUUUACUUUGUCAUCCUUCCUUUCUUGCUUUACACUCAGUAGUUCUCGAUCAACCUUCCUAAUGCUCUGUCGUUAUUGAUUAGUUGCUCUAAAGUAUCUUAAAGAGCCUAGAUCCCUGCACUUAAAUUUCUCACAGACAAUAUUUAUCAUAGUAUUCACAGUAUCAAUACAAUUCCCCGUAAAAAUCAGAUCAUCCACAUAUACAAGAAGCCAAACUUGUUUUGAGUUUUUAUUAAACGUAAAUAGUGAUGAGUCAGUAUUACUAUUGACAAAGCCGAUGUGUACUAAAAAUCUUGUUAAUUUUGCAUACCAAGUAUGGGGUGCUUGCUUAAGACCGUAUAACGUUUUCUUAAGAAAACAUACUUUUUGAGGAUACUUUGUAUCCUCAAAGCCUGGUGGUUGACGUAUUAUUAUGGUUUCAUUAAUAUCACCAUUUAAAAAAGCAUUACGAACAUCAAUUUGUCGUAAUUGCCAAUUUCUUGAGACUGCUAAAGCUAAUACACAUCUAACUGUUUCUGGUUUAACAACCGGACUAUAGGAGUAACUAUAGUCUACUCCUUCAUAUUGGUUAUACCCUUGUUGCUACUAGUCGUGCUUUCUAUCGUUCUACCGAACUAUCUGUAUUGCCUUUAAUUUUGUAUACCCAUCGACAUCCAAUUAAGUUUGAAUUCAAUGGUUUAUCAAUUAACAUCCAUGUUCCAUUUUCCUUUAAUGCCUUAAUUUCUUCAUCCAUGGCUGAAACCCAUUUACUCUCCGUACUAGCUUGUUUGUACGUUAUGGGUUCCUUUAAUUCAAUAUUCAUAGCCUCUACUAGAAGACAUGAUGGAGAUGGAUAUGGGGCAUAAAUUUUGUGCCUUACAUUUUGACGACGUUCUCUUGAUCCUCGUCGUAAAGCUCGGCUAGUUGAUGGUAAUGGGACUGUUGGUGGCUCAGUAGUAGUAGGUAUUACACCUCUAGAUCUUAUCUCGUCAUUAGAUCCUACUAAGUUUGGUGCAUUAACCUCAUUAGAUCGAGGACUACUUGAUCCUUGUUGAAUGUUGACUUGUGACUCAUUGAAUCUAUUCGAUUCUCCUAAUGAGGUAAUUACUUCAUGUGAUUCACUUAACCGUAAUACUUGUUGAUUAAUUGUCCCAAAUUGGAUUGAAUUUACCAAGUCAAAUGAAACAGGUUGAAAGUCAAUUGUUAUUUCAUUUUCUUGAUUUUCUGUUUUAUAUAAUUCCUGAUUUUUAUAUGGAAAAGUUGUUUCUAAGAAUUUUACAUGUCUUGAUAUAUAAAUUUUAUUGUUGGUAAAAUCCCAACACCUAUAUCCUUUUUGAUCUGAACAGUAUCCUAAGAAAAUGCAUUCACAAGAUCUAAGAUCUAAUUUUGAUUUUUGAGAAAGUAUUAGUGGAAAACUACUACAACCAAAAGUUUUAAGGAACUUAUAAUUUGGUUCCUUCUUAUAGAGAAUCUCAAACGGAGAUUUAUUUCCUAAUACUAGUGUAGGUAAAAGAUUGAUUGUAAAGACUGGUGUUGAUAAGGCGUCUUCCCAAAAAUUAUUUGGUAAGCCAGAUUUUGCUAGGAUGCAUCUUCCUGUUUGCAAAAUCGUUUUAUGCCUCCUUUCAACAAGUCCAUUUUGGGCAUAAGUGUAUGGACAAGAUUUAUAAUAUGUUAUUCCAUUACUUGUAGUAUAUUCUUUAAUUCUUGAGUUUAUAAAUUCUCUUCCAUUAUCAGUUUGUGUACACCUAAUUUGAGAAUUGAAAAACUUUUCAAUUUUUAUUCGAAAUUCUCUAAACUUUACAAAAAAUUCAGACUUUGUUUUAAUAGGAAUAAACCACAUAAAUCUUGAAUUUUCAUCUACAAUUAGGAUAAAGUAUAUAUUCCCAUAAUUUGAUGUUGUAGAUGCUGGUCCCCAUAAAUCAAUAUGGAGUCUCUCUAGUGGUUGACCUGCAUAUUUCGAUCUUCUUUAAAAUGGCAAUCUUUUGCAUUUUCCUAAUGGACAUGUAGAACAAUCUUGUAUAGAUUCCAUUUGUAUUUCUGUUUUCGAUUUAAUGACAUUCAUAGUUUGGGAUGAAGGAUGACACAAUCGGUUGUGCCACACCUCUGAUGUAUAAGCAUACCCUUGGUUAUUUUUGAUCCUGAUGUGGCACAAGCCUCCACGGCUAAUACCAGUCAGCACUGUCUUCCUCAUCUGUGAAUCAAUAAAAGAAAAAGAAUUUGAAGAAAUUCUAAAUUCAAGAUGAUAAUCAGAUGUCAAUUUCUGAAUUGAUAUAAGAUUUUUCCUUAAUUCAGGUACGCAUAAUGUCCUUCUAAGAUCAAAAACUCUAUCACCAAUUUUUAACUUAACAUUUCCAGUAUGAGUUACCUUUAAUAAUUUACCAUUACCUAUUAUUAUUGAAAAGUUACCUUGGUAUGGCUGAAUUUCAGUCACAGCGUCGGUCGUUGGCACCAUGUGAUGAGAAGCUCCGGAGUCCAAGCACCAUGUAUCAUCUAUCCGAGUCUUGGUGUAGUUAUUAGUAUCGACGACAGAACCGGCGAUGUAUGCAAAGUUUGCCUGGUCGUUGCAAUUUCGAGCAGAAUGUCCCAACUUAUAGAAAAUCUGACAUUUUACGGAAAGGUUCGCAACGGCUGGAAUGACCGGGUAAGUUGGAGGCGCAAUCGGAUUAUCGGGCAUGUAACGCCCCCUUCCUCUUGACCGAUUAAAUCGAUUUCAUCCGCGUCCUCCUCGACUUCGUCCCUUGGAAGAGUAGGCAGCAAACGUCGUCGCACUCGCACCAACAGUGGCUUCGUUUCGUUUCUUCACCGAUCUCUCUUCUUGAAUCAAGAGAUGAUACACUUGUGUAAACGUCGUCGAUUCUCGUAUAUGAAGAGAGGUGACGAAGCCAUCAUACUCCGGUUUUAACCCAUCAGUGACGGUGUUCACGAUGUCGAUGUCGUCAUACGGCCUUCCUGCAUUGGCGAGAACAUGAUACAAAUGUUUAAUUUUAUUCAAAUAAUCCGGCAUUGACUGAUUGAUUUCUUUCUUCAUAUGUCGCAAUUCAUCACGAAUUCCUUUUUGAAGCACAGGUACUGUUGGGACGAGUCGUUCCUCAAGUAUAAGCCUUGCACGCCUCCCGAGCAGUAGCACACUUCUGGAUUAACUGGAAACCAGUCGCACCUGUGGUGGUCUUAAUCCACCCAAAUACGAGUCUGUUACAACUCCGUCAGGUUUGAUACUCUGGAUUAUUUUCAGUCUUUUCCAACGAUUAUCUUCUCUGGGGGAAUUUUAUCCGAUUCAACCACAUCGGAUAAUCCAUUCAAAAAUAACAUAUCCUCGAACGUCGACUUCCAGAAUAAAUAAUCUCCUGGCACCAUCGUUGAUUUGAACCAGUGGCCGAUGUUGAAAGACAACGCACCAUUGGUGUCGGCAGAAGCAGCAACGGCGUGAAUCGGAGUCGCCAUCAACUUGUUCGAUGGAUGAAUCAAAGAGUUAAAUUGCAGUUCUUCUCAAUUCGCGACUGAUACCAAAUUAGAAAUCAAAACUAAAUCAAAACUAAUUCAAUUAUCAACGUAUCCUACAUUUGUAUACUACAACCCAACACUAAUAAUCAGUUAACUAAUUAAUUUAACUAACAACAGUUUAACUAAUUCUUAAUUCUUUUAUCCUUCUCAUAAUUAAGGAUAAAAUUAACAUGAUUAAAAUAUAAUUCUAUAUCGACAAUUUUGAUUCUACACUUUCAUCUGUUGGUCUGACCUAAACUAGGUCAUCUUCAUCGGCAAGUCAAGAUGGAUCUCAUUCGAACAACAAUUCAGUAGAACAAGAAGUCCGUUCUUUUGCUGAUGACCAUGAUGACUCAGGGAGGAGGAAGCUUAAAGGAAAGGCGAUCAUGAUUUAUAUAAAAAAAACAGAAGUCCUCCAUUCUGUAAUGAAGAUCAGAUCUCUGACAUUAGAAAGACGCGAAAAACAGAAAUAGGAGGUUGCGUCAAAAUUUGCAGAGAUUUUUAAAAAGGAGUCAAACUUUAAGAUUCCCAAAAAAGUGGUAAAGAAAAAGGCUAAAAUUGAUUAUACAAAAAUGCGUCGUAGUAGUCGGCUUUCAAACAAUAGUGCAACAUCUUCUGAUGAUUAAAUCUUAGGAAAAGUUGAAGAACAGGGAAUGAAGAUUUCGGAAAAACCUGAGAAAAAAAAUGAAUAACCGCUGCAAACUCCUUUGUCUUCCCAACUUUCAAUUUAAACAUUAGCCAAGAAUGUCCAACUCCCAUAAUGAAUGAUGAUGCUGAUGACCUCAGUUUUCUGUAUUGCAAUCCCCCGGACAAGCAAAAAUCUCUGAUCAAGGUAAAAAAAGAAAUGUUUGAACCUUGGGAAUUGAAGAGAGUUUUCGUUCCAUUUGCCCAAAGCUCUGGGACAAUAGACCUAACUGAUAUAGUUAAGUAUUUUAUUUCAGAAUUUUUUAUUAAUUAUUUCAUGAUUAUAAGCUGACUCUUGAACUAACAAUUCAGAUCAAGAGAUGCUCGAGCGUCCAAAUACUAAUGCAAAGAAGACUAGGUCUGUUGAGGAUCGAUAAUGUUGGUAAGAAGAAGAUGACUUCUGAAGAUGAAGGCAAUGAUAAAGAUGUUAAAGGUACGAGGUGGAAGAGGACACCCAAAUGAUAUUCAAGAAAAAAUUGAUUAGAAUUGCCAUAAAUUUUAACUGUAGUAAUCCUUCAAAUAACAGUGUGUUAGAAAAUGUUAUGUCUGUUUUAGAAUGGUACUAAAUAUUUAGCUACUUUAAUACUACGUUAUGCUAAAAGUAUUUGACAUCAUGCUAUUUAUUAUAAUGUAUCCUAUAAUAUGAUUUGUUCAACUGCUAUUAAGAUAUUAAAUACUGCUAAUCUGUGUUAGUUUUGUAGAAAUUUGUUUUAAAUAAGUAACUUUGUAUAGUUGAUUUUUAUAAUUGAUGAGGGUGAAACCCGACCAGUACUCCAAGACGCACUAGCAAGCGCCAAGCGGGGAACUCCGUGGGAAAUCGGACCGGAACUCAAGUGCGCAGAGCUCUGCUUCGCUAGGACUUCUUCCACUCCAAAUAACCUGCCUUUAAUGAGUGGGGGAUGCCUCCUAUUUAUAAGGAUUCUUAUAUGGGGGUAAUCUGGUCAUUUGGACAGUAACUGCCUAACUGAUCAGAUCGGGGCCCAAGGUCGACUUUUCAGAGAUCGACUUUCUUGGGAUCCAACUUUCCUGGGGAUCGACUUUGUUCAGAAGUCGAUCCCAGGGAAGUCGAUCCUUGGGAAAGUCGAUCUUCCUAGGAUUCGACUUGGGACCUCCCCAACCCUAGAAUAGGUACCUCAACUCAUCUUAGGCUAUCCGGAUUUCUAGUUGCUGGUAAGUUGUGACCGGGUUCGGGAUACUGUAUCACCAAUACUCCCCCCUCCUCUGCUUAUUAGAUAUUUUGGGAUACGUCUUUUAGUAUUUUGGUCUGUGUGUUGGAUCAUGUACUAUCAGUAUUCCCCCCUCUUUGCGUGCUGGGGUGUGGGCUAUUGAUGAUGUCCUGGGAUGCGAGAUCCUCUCUCACCAGUUCUCCCCCCUCUUUCUACGACCGCGAGGUUAUACCUAUACUUCCACGGAGGUUGUCACAUGCUUUCGCUAACUAUUGUCCGGUUUAUCCUAGCCGAAGUAACAAUACUCAUAAUGGCAGAGGAAAACUAUAUAGGAAUUAUUAGUCUAAGUAAUCAUAAUAGCAGAAGUGCACAAGAUAGUAGUGUAGUCAGUGAAUCAAUUGUUCGUCUAAUAAAUCAUAAUAGCAGAAGCGCACUAGAUAGUCGAGUAGUCGGCAGUGACGAAUGUAGGGGAGCUUCGUGGGGACUUGAGCCCCUCCCAAAAAAAAAAAAAAUAUAUACAUAUACCUAUACACUACAAAAAAAAGUAGGCAGUUAGGACGAGCAAAGUUAACGGAAUUUCCGUUACAAAUACUAUUUUUAACGGAAUUUCCGUUAACUUUGGUCCGUUACAAAAUUUCCGUUACAAAUACUUAAAUCCGUUACAAAAAUCCGUUACAAAUACUCUCAACUUAAAGUUAACGGAACGAAAGAUCCGUUACAAAUUUUUUAGGUAUUUGUAACCGAAAUUCCGUUACAAAUACCUAAAAAUUCCAGAAUGCAUGAAUUCCAUAAUACAUAUAAAUUCUUGUAAAUUUUAGUAUUAAUCAUAAUUCCUGUAAAUUUUAGAAUGCAUAUAUUUGUAAAUAUUUUUUCCUGUAAAAAUCAUAUAACAUUCAUAAUUUACAUUCAAUAUUAUUCACUAAAUUCAUUCAACAUUAAUAAUUAAAAUCAUCUAACAUUCAACAAAUAUAACAUCUUAUUCCUAACACAACAUUAAUUCAUGAUCUAAUAUCUAAAAUUGAAAGAGAAUUCAUAAAGAGCUGAACAAGAGGAGUUGGAGUCGGAACUUGAGGAGUAUUGCUAUCUUUCCCUUCUAGCACCAUCAUUGAAUCCUUAUUCCGGAACAGUUGACAAUUUAGUAUAGACUGAAAUAAAAAAUAAUUCUAAAUUAAGAAGAUUUAUUAGUAAAAACGUAUUUUAAAUUUGAAAAUCCAAUGUUUCUAAUCAAAUUAAAAGUAGAAUAUGCAUCUCUAUUACUAAAAUAAACAUGUCAAAUUUUUAAAAUGUAGAUAGUUAUAACUUGUAAAGAUAAACAGAACCUUUUAAGUAAACUCUUAACUUGGAUAUUCCUAUUAACUAAAGUACUAAACAAUAUCCCCCACAAGUAAAAAAUACCUGAUUUUGUUCAAAAUACCUGAUUCUGUUCACAAAAAAAUUGAAUAAGUAAAGAAUUAGUUAGUAUAUUUAAAAUACCUGAAACAGGAUCUUCCACACACUAUAUCAAUCUAAAAAAUAGACAUUUAUACAUAAACAUAAUUAACAUACAUUGACAUACAUUUUAUACAUAACUGAUGAACUCGGAAAAUACCUAGUGUGUCCCGUCCAUGAGAACCAGCUUCCUUUCGGAAACAUGUCGACGUUCCAGCAUACGCAUUGUGAGUUUGUGACAAUAAAUAUUUCAUAAACAUGGUGUUUUUUAUUUUGAAUUCUGAAAUAGCUAAUAUAUUGUAUAUACACACCUCUUGGGUACAUCAGAUGGAUAAAGUCGAUCACCAAGAUGGUAAGCACACAAUGGUUGUUCAACAGUAGCAAUCAAAUAUUAAUCAUCUCCUUCUCCUGUGACCUGGUGAAACAUAGACAGUGAAGUUAGAGUCCAGAAGUGAAAUUAUUUAUUUACAUCUAAAACCAUGAAACCAAACUGAUUGAAAUAGAAAAAACACAGUUAACUGAAAACCUGAUUUAGUUUCAGACAUUCAGUAACCAUACACCUAAAAAACUUUGUUAGUGUUUUCAAUAAAAAAACAAAAUGGAUUCCUAAUCUAACUAAUUCCAUUAUCUAGUUAAUGUGUAUUGAACUAUAUUCACUGCAUUGUUAUUUUCAAUUAAUCAGAAAAGAAUGAUUAAGUACUUUGUAUAGUUCUUCAUCAAACAGAGAGAGUUAAGCAAACUUUGCCAUAAUAUCUUUCGUCAAAAAAAAUGGAGUUAAGAUGGCCUAGUAAUUUCGACUCUCUAAGAAAUCAAAAGCAAACUGUAUGAGAGGCAUGUUGAGACGAGCUCCAGCACCCUUCAAAUAGUAACCUCUUCCUCCAGCUACAUUAGCACCUAAAUGAGAGGGGAAACAUAAAUUCAAUAAAAAAAAACAAGAAAAUAAUAGGCACAGUAGGAAAUAAAUGAUAACAUGACCUAUCUAGCAUGAAGAAACAAGCAUAAUACACAAAGUCUACCUUUGAUCAAAUCUGCAAUGUCCAGUAACUCGACAAGCUCAUAAUUUUUCAGCUUCUCCUCCACUCUCUUUUCUCCAAAUGAUCGCACAACUGCAUUGUUUUCUUAUAAAUAAAAAACAAAUAAGCCUAAUUUGUAAAGUAAACAAAAAACGUUUUGCUUGACUGCAUUAGUGCAUGACAUAUAACUGAAAACAUACCAACCACUCCAUGCCUCGGUCCACAUUUUUGGUUUGUAAGGUUGGUUUGGAGUAAAGGCGUCGCAAUAUACACCGUUGCAUGUAUUUAUCUAAAACAAUAAUAUUCCUGAGACAACAUUUAGAAGAAAAUUACAAGAGAAAUGGUCUUCAUAAAAAAUAUAGUUCACCACCGGAUCUGGGGCAUCCUCUUCCUUGCACAUGACCCAUGGAACACCUGUUUGCAUUCCAACAACCAUUUUCCCGUCCCAAUCCAUGUAACUAUGACCAGCAAACCCAAAUGCCUUACUUUCUGGUCCAUACUCAUUUUCAAUCUGCACUUGUUAGACAAUGAAUGCAAUAAGAAACCAAAGUUUUUUAAAAUUUACAGAAGAAAAAAUCCUCAACGAAAAAAAGAAAUAUUUGAAGAACAGAAGAAGCAAUCAUGAUUCAUGCAUGCCUGUGAUAAGAUUAUGGAACCACCCUAUGGCUCAUAGAAACCCCCCUAUUGAAAUUGUUGAAAAUCAAACACACAGAUCCAAAGAAAAUAAAAAAUAAAAAGCAUAAAAAUAGAUACCCAUAAUUCCACUCUGCGCAAAUAUAAGGACCAAUGCGGAGAUGAGCAUAGAGCCCAGCUUUGUGGACAGUCUUUAAAAACCUCACAAGAUCAUAUCUCCCUUGGAAAUUAUACUGAAAUCAGAAACUGCGAGUUAACAACAAUAAUAAUAACAGUAACAAUGUGAAAUCGACAUUUGGUUGAGCUUGAUUGGUACAUUGCCAGGAGAAGGCUCAUGUCCGUUCCAGAAUACAUAGGUCUGUAUGACAUCUACAUCUCCAUCUUUAGCUUUCUGAAUCAAACCCUCCCACAUCUGAUCGAACACAGGAAACAACAACAUCCACUGUGAUCCAUAAAGAUGGAAAAAUAAGAGCAACCCAAACCAAAGAGAAAAAGAAUGGGAACGUUGUCUGUCUUUUUAUCAUCUACAUAUCUCAGGAGUACUUCUGGGAUAAUGUAUGGAUCCCGAAAUGAGGAUCCUUCUUUGGCCAUUGAUGACAAUAGAUUUCGCAUCAUAUGUCGUUGUGCAUUCUAUUUCUGUCAAGAAGACUAGCAGCAGAAACCAAAGGAAGAAGAAGGAAAGUAAAGUCGAUGGUAAAAAUGCUUUGCCCAUUCUUCUCUCCGACCAACAAGAUCCGACACAAUUAAACCCCCAAUCCUGUUAGAGCGCUUGCUGCCUGAUACCUGGCCUGACUGCGGAGAAGGGGUGAAGAAAACCGGCGUAGUAUGGAGUCUGAGUUGUUAGUGUGGAGAAUCGUCCGUGGGUUGAGAUAUUGGGGGAAAUGAAAAAUGAGGGAAAUUGAUUUUGAGGAUAUGAUUGAAAAUGAAAUAGUAUUAUUUGGGGAAAUAGAAUAGGAGGGAAUAAAAAAAAAUUGGGGGAAACUAUUUUUUAGGGGGGAAAAUGAAACACUAUUUAAUAAUUAUAAUUAUAUCUAUUUGUAACGGAAUAUCCGUUACAAAUACUCUAAAAAUCCGUUACCAUAUAUAAGUCCAUCUUGAUAUUUAGUAUUUGUAACGGAAACAACAAAGUUAACGGAAAUUCCGUUACAAAUUCCGUUAACUUUACUUAUUAGUAUUUGUAACGGAGAUUCCGUUAACUUUGCUUCGUCCGAACUGCCUACUUUUUUUUGUAGUGCUAGUUGGAACACGCUUUUGUCUACAAUGACUUCUCCUGCAUCAUUUUCUACAUUGUUGUCGACUCCCAGAUCACCUGCAGCAUUGUCUACAUUGUUGUCGGCUCCAACAUCACCACCAAUGCCUACAUUACUGUUAGCUCUAUUAGAAUAUGAGAAGCUUAUCUUUAUCAUUAACAUUGAGUAUACUUAUAUUAUUUUACAUCAGAUUAGCCAUGUGAAGAAGAUUUGCGAUCCGUCCUCUAAUCUGGUAACAUGAAUUCCCAAGAAAAAUUGUAGUCCUCCUAGAUCUUUUAUGGCAAAUUCAUUGCUGAUUUUUGUUACAAACCGGUCUGUGAAUAUCUUUGAGGAAGAAAUAUGCAUUGAUGUCAUUGUGGAUGUACAUGAAGAGUGACUGGUAUGAUUUUGAUUCUGUAAAACCAAAAGCGAUGAUGAAAUCUCCCAGGCGAUGGAACCAUGCUCUUGGUGAUUGUCGUAAGCCAUAAAUUGAACGAAGAAGCUUGCAUACCGCAUUUGGUUUAUUAGGAUCUUUGUAACCCGACGACUGAUUCAUAUACACCUUCUCUUUCAAUAUGUCGUGUAAAAACGCAUUUGAGACAUCGAACUGACGCAACUUCCAUCCCCAGGUGACCACAAGACUCAAAAUAAUUUUCACCAUAGGAGGUUUUAUCAUGGGUGCGAACGUUUCUUCUACAUCGAAACCGUCUAAUUGGCGCAUUCCGUUAGCCACUAGUUGGGCUUUAAAACGGUCAAUAUUGCCAUUCUCGUCCAACUUUUUCCGAUCCGGAACACCCAUUUGCACGAUAAUACGUUGUAUGAUGGAUCUGAAGAUACAAGUUCUCACGUAUUGUUAUGAUGAAGAGCCAUUAUUUCACUAUCCAUUGCAUUUUUCCAUUGAUCAUUUGUGCUGGCUUCGGAAAAUCCUAUGUGGUAGAGACUUGAAGAGCGUAUUUCGGGUUACUUUUGACAAUCCUUGAUUCUGCAUGAGUCGUCAUGGUGUGCUCGUUUAUUUCUGGUGGUUCCAUGAAGGACUGAAUAGUUUCCACAACUCCUUCUUGUACUUCCGAUGGUUCCGGUUGGUUAGCCAAUACUUGAGGUUGUUCAACCGAUUUUUGAGGUUGGUUUGAUAAAAUGGAUGCUUUUGGUUCGACUAGAUUUUCUUCCAAAGUGUCAAUGACUUCUUGAAUUGAUUGUUGAUUUCUAUCUUUUUCAAUAACUGAUAUUGAAUUCUUCCAUGAUUUUAUUUGUUGUGUUUGAGUCUACUAUGUUUAGACUUUGGCCCAAAUUGAAUUUAUUUUCCAAAAAAACAUCCCUUGAGAUGAUUAAUUUUCUUGUUUUUGGAUUAAGCAUAUAUAACCUAUGUGUUCUUGAGGAUAAUCCACAAAUAUAUGUGGUGUGUAUCUCUCUGAAAAUUUGUGCCUCUGGAAUGGCUGGAGAUUUGGGUAAGCUACACAGCCGAAAAUCUUCAAGUUUCUAAUGUUUGAAGGUUUUCCAAAUAAUCGUUCGAACAGAAUACUUCCAUUCAGACAUUUUGUUGUCGUUCUGUUGUAUAAAAAAACUAUUUUCGAAGCUGUGUAAUUCCAGAAGCUCCGAGGUAACUUAACUCGAUCAAGUAAUGUUAGUGUCCCAUAGAUGAUAUAUCUAUGUCGGCGUUCCACAUUUCCUAUUUGUUGGUGUGCGUGUGGGGCAGGCACGUCUAUGUCUUAUUCCAAAAUUUUCCAAUAAUGGCUUUAACGCAAAGAAUUCACCCCUGUUGUCUGUCUAUAUCAUUUUAAUUUUUCGAUCGAGUUGAUUUUUAAUUAGAGUUUUGAACUUUGAAAAAAUAACACUAACAGAUGAUUUUGUAAAAAUGGGAAAUAACCAGUUGUAUCUACUAAAAUCUUCGACGAAGUUUAUGAAAUAUCGUUCUCCAUUUUCAGACAUUAUCAGUAGUGCUGGACCCCAUACGUCGGCAAAUAUAAGUUCAUGUGGCAUUGAUGAGGAUUUUUCAGGUAAUGAUUUGUAAGAAAGUCUGUGCAUUUUCCCAAUCAAACAAGACUUAAACAUUAUGGAGAUAGAAUGAAAAGUGCAGCUAUGGAAGACAUGUUUACUCUUUGUUUUACUUGUGAUAGGAAAAGAAAGCAAGUACGUAUUUGUGGCGAAGAUGAGAAGAAUCGUGUCCAUGUACAUCGAUCAAAACUAUUUGGGGAAAUUAAAGUUAACCAGAUUUCUGGUAUAUCCAUAAAAACUUAUCCAUUUAUCAACCCGAUUUGGUAACCUUAUCGAUUUGAACGGGUUAAUUUAAUAGGAUUCGAAUUAUUGAUCAACCCAUUUAUCAACCAUCCUAUCAUCAAGCCAUCAAGGUAUAUAGGUUAAUUCUUGUGUCGAUUUUCUUUAUCUCUCGAAAUAAUUAAUUACCGUUUAAAUUUUUACUGCUUUCUUGGUGGAUUGAUUUGCAGGUUAAAAUCAUAUGGUGGUGAUAAUAACAAUAAUAUUAUUAUUGUUAUAACUAAUGACAAUGACGAUAGCCGUGGUGUCAAUUCCUCUUUAGUGCAAUAAUUAUCUAUGGUCGUCUACGACGAGUACAUCAAAAAAGAGUAAGGGCUGAUGUGCAUCAUUUGUACAAUGGAUUUCGAAGAUAUAUACGGAACUUCCCCAGUUGUUACCCAAGUGCGAGCAUGCUUUCCACAGUCUAUGUAUCGAAGAGUGGCUUAAGAUCUGUACGACAUGUCCUGUUUGCUGAAGUCUUGUUGAAGAAACCGAAGUCGACCUCAUUCCUUACAUGAAUAUCACAGGCCAAGAACAACAUAUCUAAGUGGCAUGGAAUUUGUGUAAUGCAUGCAUUUCGAAGAUACAGAGCUUCCGAUCUCCGGUUGUUACCCAAGUGCGAGCAUGCUUUCAUAUAAGUAUACGUCGGCAGUGCAAACAAUUAAAGUUCCGUCUGGAGGUAAAUCGUGGGGAAACCUUCUGGUGUCAUUACAGUAAUCAUAAAUCAUAUUGUUUCGUCUUACAUUCUGGAGCUUACCUAGUCCGGCAGCAUCAAGAGUGGUCGUCCUCCAUAAUCCAGAUGUAGUAGAUCGACGCAAUGAUUUACCGUUGGAGAAGACGCAUGCAUUGAUCAUCUGGAAGUUCCGAUAAGAGGCAGUGAAAGGGUCCUGAGACCAGUCUAUCUUGACAAGACUACCUUUUAUUGCCUAGAUAUUACUGUUCCAUAGACUCAGGUUCCCGAGGAACUCAAAAUCUAUCUCGUCAUGGCUAUCUCCAUAGGGACGAAAGCUACAUAUACGGUAGGAGGAGGAGAGUAUGGAAGUAUGCAUAAUUUGAUCAAUGAUCAGAUAGAAAGAGGCAAAAAUGAACGUACAUAUAUAAUAACUGGUAACUGUUCCAGCUGAGUUGCCAGGAACAACUUUGAUUUGCAUGUCGAUUCUUCCUGUUUGGACUGAAAUUCUGAUCUGGAUAUUUUAUCGAGAGAAAGCUGUAGCAGUCCACCUCUGUCCAUAGUCUCACCUCUACUCCCGUCCCAUAUUAUUUUGACGUUGUUGAAGAAAUCAUCUGCCGCAGCAUGUGAGACGAGGACGAGAAGAUCUAUAAGAAGAAGAAGAUCACCAAGAUAUAUCCUCUUCCUCCUCUAGCUCCAUCUCUAGCUAAUUUUCGAUAUAUAUAUUUGGUAGAUCGACCUAUAUAUAUAUAGGCUAAAUAUCUGAUGUGCCGAGCCCUCCAUGAACCCCCCCCCCUAAAAUUUCAACUUUUACCAUCCUAUGGUCUCCCGUUUUUCAUCCACAUCACGUCAUCUUUGAACAACGACCGGCUAAAAUCUCAAGGCAGGCUGACAACAUUCAGAAUGAAUUUCCAUCAAACAAAUGCUUAUAAAAUUAGAUUUUGUCUUCUGUCUAUACCUUUUUAUUACGAUAUUGACAUAAGGAUUAAAUUUAUUGUAAAAUUUUGAUUAUUUAUAAUGUUUUAUUACUAUUCAUAAGAUUAGAUGUCUCUUGUCCUACCAUCUCACUGUACGUCGAACUACUCACCAUUAAUCACUGUUUACUUUCAUUGUGUUACCACCUUUAAAUACGUUAAUGACAAAACUAUUAAUUUUAUUAUUUAUUUAGGUUUUUUUAUAAUUAUGUUUUAGUACUAUUCAUUCUGUAAUUUUAGAUAAGUACUCACCUGUUCUACCAUGUCACUGUCCGUCGAACUACUCACGAUCCUUAUUAACAACGCUAACUAAGGGUACGGAAUGAACAAUACCAGCAAUGAACUACGGGCAUGAUGACAACGACAUUGGAGUUCGACAACCGUCAGAGAGAAGAGAAAAUAAAGGAGUAACGUACGAAUGGAUGACAACGUACUGUUCAUCCUAAAUUUUUUGGUGUAUCUUUUUAUGUUUUUCUAUUCCAUUAUUAUGUACCCUAGUAUUAGGCAGCAUGCAAGUAUUUAGAAAAUAUUACCUCAUUAAAUACUAAACUAUCAUUCCACGCAAAUUGGCACAUUUAGUGCAUCCUCUUUUCGGCACACCUGAUGUGUGACGUAAUUAAAUAUCACUACAAAAAAACAGGGCUACGCCCAUGGGCUAAUUAGCCACGGUUAGCAAAAGCGUCAUAUGUGUUUGUAUGAGAAGCGUCGUAUGAGUUUUCAAAAAUUAAAAAAAAAAUCAUUACUCAACCACUGACAUGAUUUAAUGUUUGACAACACACUGAAAUAAAUUAAUACAAAUUUUUUUAAAAUUCUCUGACAUACAUGCUUCUAGACAAUAGGUAGUACAUAGUUAUGAAACAAUGCAUAAUAUUAGUAUGUCAGCUAAUUAACUUCAACGGUCGGAAUACAUUCAAGAAGAUCCAACGACGCAUACUAAAUGACACAUACAACGCUUUGAAAUACGGCACACGAGAUGUGUGCCCAUUGGCACACGAGAUGUGUGCCCAUUAUAUAUUUAUAGUAUGUAUACUUAAUAAUGUGAACUUAAAUUUUUAGGUGAUUUUUUUUGUCUCGAAAUCUUUUCUUAUUUUGGUAUCAAAGAACUUCUACAUACAAAAUUUAAAAAUGUCUACCUUUACCUUCGAGUGAUAUAUGAAAAUCAUAUCAUUGAUUCGAAAAUUUAAUUAAAAUAUGAAGCGAAACUCGAGUUUUAGAGAAGUCAGAAACUUUAAUAUUUACUUGCUAUGAUUAGUUGAGUUAAUCUCUCGUGUAAUAUUCAUACAUUAUUUAUUUGUAAAUUCUCAUAAUUGGAAGUAACUUUUAAAAUCUACAUGCACUGGAAGAUUAUACCUUGAGAAGCUCAAUUUGGGUCUUUAAUGGUUGUUAAUGUCUUCUGUAUCUUCUGUACAUAUCGUAUUGAUGGUACCCCCAAGUUACCAGCCCAGGCCCGCGAAGAAGUCUAGAAGUGAGGCCCAGCAAAACGAAUAGAAGAAAGCCCAAGUCAUUCCGAGGACAUUAGCCCGUUCAGAUCAUCCGGGCGGUCCCAUCAGCCCACGAACAUUUGGCCCAGGCCCACGAAGAAGUUUAGAAACGAGGACCAACAAGACGAAUAGAAGAAAACCCAAGUCAUUCCGAGGUCACUGGCCCGUUCGGAUCGUCCGAGCGGCCCCAUCAGCCCCACGAACAUUCGGCCGACCAGGCCGGCUGGAAAGACCCGUCAGCUCGAGCAGUUAACAUCCCAAAGGUGGCGUCCCAAGUAUGUCGGACCCAUCAUGUCGGAUCCUAAUCCGAAAGCAUGGGACCCGGAGCCUGAUAGGAAAUUGUAUAAAUACCCCUAGGGGUGAAGUGUAAAGGGGGGGAUCACUUGUAAUAACAUUUGGAACAUACUUGUAAUAUCACUACAAGAAAACUGGGCUACGCCCACGGAAUUAGCCACGGCCAGCAGAAGCCGUGGCUAAUUUCUAACAAUUAACCACAGCUUUUUUAGCCGUGGCUAAGCCCGUGGCUAAUCUUUAUAUUUAGCCACGGAUUCAAAAAUCCGUGGCUAAUCCCGUGGCUAAUUUUCCCGGCAAAUUUCCCUCCAAUUUUUCAUUGAAUAUUUAGCCACGGCUCUUAAAAUCCGUGGCUAAAAUUUGCGGCAAAAUUUCCCUCCAAUUUCCACUGAAAUUUAGCCACGAAUUUGGCCACGGAUUUAGGAGCCGUGGCUAAUUUAUCUGUCAGUAAAUUAGCCACUGAUAUUAGCCACGGCAUUUAGCCCUGGCUAAUAAUGAUAAUAGGGUUAGGGUAAAUGUAAAUAAUUAGGGUUAGGGUUAAUGUAAAUCUAAAUAUUUAGGGUUAGGGUUAGGGUUAGGAUUAGGAUUAGGAUUAGGAUUAAUAGAAAUUAACAAAAAUUAGUAAAAAUAAGUAUAUAUACAUAUUUAGAUAGUGUUAGGGUUAGAAAUUAGGGUUAAAAGUAAGAGUUAGAAGUAGAAGUUAGGGUUAGAUUAUAGUUUUUUAGAUAUUAUAAAUUAUAAAAAAUUUAAAGUUAGAUUAUAAUUAGAUAAUUAUAAUAAUUUAAAUUAUAAAAAUUAUAAAUUGAAGUUAUUUUAGAUAUUUUAAAUUUUAAAGUUAAAAAAUAAAUUGAAAUUUGGUUAAAAGAAGAUUGGAAAAAAAGAUCCGAAAAAGCAUCAGAAAAUAGGACAAACAAUUCAGAUUACAUGCCAUACACGGGUGGAUCUUGUUCAGUUGCGGCCACUCAUGAAAGAAUGGUAAAAAAACAUUUCUUUCAUAUAUUUUACAUUUAUCAUUCUAAUUUUUUUGAGUAUAACAAUCAGAAUGAAGAAGCUGGUUAUGAAGUCGGUCACUGUGAGGUUUAUAAGAAAACACAUAGUUUGGCUAAGACAAACGACUGAGCCCAUCCAAAGGGAGGAUGCUUCAUUGUAAGAAAAUUCGUUAGAAAUGCUUCGUUUUAAGAUAUUUAAGUCAUAUUUUUUAUUUAUUAUUGAUUUUCAUUUUUAUAGGCUGACUAUAAUGAGCUUCAAAGAAAUGCUAUGAAAGCAGAAAAUUCUGAGAUCAACUCAUCUAAUGGAUCACACACACUCCCUGAUAAUUUAGAAUUAUGGGUCAAAGCUACUAACGGAAAAAACAAAGGUCGUGUGCUUGGAACCAGAGCAAGUGAUCCAAUGUCAUUACCAAUUCCUGAUAAUAUGGCGACUUCACAGAACACAACGACGAAUUAUAUAGAAAUUCAACAACAAAAAAGUAAAGAAGACUUUGAUCGGGCAGUUCAAGAGGCCAUUAGAAAACAGAUGUCGGAUAUACUAAAGGAACUAAGGGAAGACUUACGUCGAGAGACGAUUGAGGUAAUUAGCAUUUAUAUAUAAAUCAAUAUUUAUAUUUUCUUUCUAAUUUCAAUUUUUUUUUACAUAAGGGUCAGUCGAGCCAAGGACACGACAACAUAAUCACGCCUACUACAAGAGAUUCAAAUGUCCAAAAUGUUGGCAAAAAAGCGACUAAAAGUCCGACUAAAAGUGGGACGAAUAGCGCGACUAAGAGCAUGACAGACACUAACAAAUAGGUUCCUCUUUAUUUAUCUUUUCGUUUAGUUUUGUUUUAAAUGACAUGAAUUGUAUGAAAAUGAAUGGUUUAGAAUGAAUGGUUUAGUUUUGUUUUAAAUGAAUGGUUUAGAAUUCAUUCCUUUUCUUUUAUCUUUUGGAAUGGUAUAGAAUUGAAGAAUUGAAUGGAAUGUUUUGGAAUUGAUUGGUUCAUUGUUUUGCAUAAUUUUUAUGGAUAUUUGUGUAUGAAUGGAAUGUGUAUAAAUGAAAUGUGUAUGAAUGAAAUGUGUAUGAAUAUAUGUUUGAAUGCUUUUUUCAGGUUAUAUGAAUGUGUAAGACCUUCAAUAGGCGUCUUAUAAAAUGUAAAUAUUUCCUAUAAAUAUUUUAGAAAUUAGCCACGGCCUUUUGACAUUUAGCCACGGAUUUUGGCCGUGGCUAAUCCUUAACGAGCCGUGGCUAAAUCCUUGGCUAAUUAGACACGGAUUAUACCGUGGCUAAUUUUUUAACAUUAGCCACGGAUUUUGGCCGUGGCUAAAAUAAAUGGCCGUGGCUAAUAUUUAGCCACGGAAAACCAUUUCCGUGGCCAAAAAACAGUACCCACCAGACUUACAGCCACGGCAGCUCCCGUGGCUAAUUCCCGUGGCUAAAUCAAUUUAGCCACGGAUUUUGCCAUUUAGCCAGUGAACUUGGCCGUGGCUGUUUCCCUGUUUUCUUGUAGUGUACUUGUGAUUAUACUAGAGUAGAGGAGAUCGGCCACCUUUCUGAAGGGACGCGAUCACGUACGCACAUAAAGAGAUUACUUCAAUUAAUCACAAAUAGGGAUGAGCGGGUACAGGCCAGGAUGAGACGGGGAUCGUGUUCCUCAUCUUCGUACCCGGUUAUAUCCGAACUUAAAAAUCUUCCCCGUCCCCGUACCCGGCCAAUGAUCGGGUACGAGGCCAGGGAUACUCGAUCAAAUUAUUAAUUUUUUUAUAUUGAUUUUAAACAAUAAUGUAAAAUACUAAAUACUAAAUUAAAAAAUCAAAAGUCUGGAAUUUUAGUACAUAUGUAAAUAGUCCAAAUAGUUAAAAAUUAAAUAGUCAGUAAAAGAAAACAAUUGGGGGUGAGUGAGUGGUUGAUGAGUGAUUUAAGAAAAAAUAAAAAUCGGUUUAGGGUUUAGGGAUAUGGAGUUAAUUAAAGAUUUAAAGAAUAUUAAAAUGCCUGGGGGUUGAAUAUAAAUUUUUCAUGGCAGGUACAUUUUAAAUAUAAACUUAUGCAUUUAAUAUAUUAUAUAGAGUUAUUUAUAUAAAUUAUACUAUAUAAAUUACGUAUCCGAAGUGAAGAUUUUAAUCUUCAUCUUUGUACUCGAAAAUGGCCGAGGAUUUCAAUCGAAGACGGGAAUUUUUUUUUUAUUUCGGGUAAAAAAAUCCUCCUUAUACUUGUACCCGAGUCACCCCGGUACAAGGCGGGUAACGGGGCCGGAGAAUUCUCCUACCUUUAGUCACAAAUCACAAUAACUAUUGAAUUUUUUGAAAAUUCAAAAUUCAAUCAAUUUAGAGUAUUUUUAUUAAAUAAAUUUUUAACUGUGAUAUAAAUGUUGAUAUAUUAUUAACUUUCAUCAUAAAAAAAAUAAAAUAUCUUUUAUGCCAUGAAUGGAAAAUGAAAUCAUUUUGGAUUUUGGGUGAAUUUUAUUAUUUUUAAUCUGUUUAAAUAAAUUUUGUUUUGUUUAAUACUUUAAUGGUAAUAAAAACAAAAAGUCAAGUGUUCAACCUUAAACUGGUCCACCCACUUGUAUUUUCUAUUUUUUCUCCACAAUUUCAACUCCAAAAUUUGUUUUUUUCCCAUCGGACAGUUUAGUAAAGUUGUUCCUGAGACGCAUUACAUGCACAGAAUAUUAUAAAAUAUACGUCGAAUCCUCGUUUGCUUAAAUGCUUGUAUCGAAUUUCAGAAAUGGAUCGUCAGCCGUCAAACUCCAUCACUGCCGUAACCGGCGGAGAGAUUCGAGAUCCGUCGAAAUGGGUAUUGAAAACGAUCAAUUACGUUGUUAUGAUAGUCGGUUCCGUCUCCUCCAGUCUCAUUACAAGAUUCUACUUCAACCACCAUGGAAGCAGCAGGUGGUUAUCCACGACGGUGCAAUCCAUCGGAUUCCCACUUCUUCUCUUCCCGAUCUUCCUCUCCGGCAACCGUUCUUCUUCUUCUUCUCCGCCGGCUUUCUCUCUAUUCACUCCUAAAAUGAUCACCCUCUGCAUCAUCAUCGGACUCUUUUUGGGCGUGAAUAACUUUUUGUUCUCCCUAGGCAUCUCAUACCUCCCGAUGUCGACCAACGGAGUCCUUCUAUCGACGCAAGUCGGGUUCAAUCUUCUGACGUCGGUGGUGAUGGUGAAGCAAAAAGUGAGGCUGAACAACUUGAAUUGCGUCGUGCUUCUCACUUUGAGCUCCGUUCUGAUCGCCGUUGGGUCGAACAGUGAUAUGCCAAAAGGAGUGUCUAGGGUGGAAUUUUUCAUCGGAUUCUUCUCUGCUCUAGGCGCAGCCGGAAUGUUCGCUCUCUACUUGCCUAUAAUGGAAAUUGUUCUCCGGCAAGUUCACACAUACAGGAUGGUCAUGGAGAUGCAGGUGAUAAUGGAGGCUUCGGCGACGGUUUUCUCCCUUGUCGGAAUGGCGUGUAGCCACGGAUUCGGGGAAAUGAUGAGGGAAAGCUCAUCGGAGUUUGAUUUGGGAAAAUCGAAGUAUUGGUGGACUAUCGUGGCGACGAUUGUUCUUUGGCAAUUUUGUUUCAUGUCUACGGCUGGGUUGGUUUUCUUAACGUCGGCGCUCAAUAGUGGGAUUUGUAUGACUGCGACAAUGGUACUUCAUGUCGUCGCUGGAGUUUUGUGUUACGGUGAUCAUUUAGACGGAGCGAAGGUUGUUUCGACUUUGAUGUCGACUUGGGCUCUUUUGACGUAUUUUUACAGGGAGUAUCGUCGGCAGAAAAAGGAACCAUCGCCGGAUCGGCAAGAGAAAGAGAUGGUCGGUGUUGGAGAAGUGUGAUUCUCGAACUAAUAAAUUAGCUUUUUUUCGUCUUUUAAAUAAUUACAACAUUGUAUUUUAUUUAUUGUCCUCAUGACUCAUGUGAACUUAAAAAAUUUAGGUGAUUUUUUUUUAUCUCCAUUGAAUUAAUCUUUCCUGUAAAUUCUUAUAAUAGAAAGUAACUUUUAAAAUUUACUUGCACAUCAAGAUCGAAACAUCCGUUGUCAAAAAAAUCGAAACAUAUAAAAAUUAAAAUGGGAAGAAAAAAUUGAAACCAAAGUGGAAACAAAUUAAAGCAAGAUAAAACCUAAUUGGGAAGAAAUUAAGAAAGUAAAUCGGGAAGAAAAAAAGUAAAUUAGGAAGAAAUUAAAGCAUGCAUGAUCAAACCCAAUUGGAAAGAAAUUGAAAAGAAAUUUUGAUGUAGCAGAGCGUCCCCGACAUCCGACAAUAGGUGCAGAAAGUAUAUACAGCGCGAUAGGUCUGUCUCUCAUUUUAACGAACGAACCAAACACAAUGAAUGUUAAACGAAUCUGAUCAAACGUAAGAGUAAACUCGUUUAUUUAAACGAAAGUAUUCGAUUCGGUAGGCUCGAUUAACAUUUCUAGUAACGACAAACCCAAAAAUAUAGACAAAAUCUCAAGACUUGGGCCAAAGGCCCAACUACACGUCAAACACUCCUUGGCUCACAAGGGCAUGGGGCGUGCCAACAUAGGACGCGAUCCGUGACCAUAGCCUUAGGUUUGGUGGAUCUAACUAAGGGUUUGAAUCUAGUAGGUGAAAUGUGUCUUAGAUUUAUAAUUUGUAAUCAAUAGAUAAAUUUAUAAUCAAAACACCUAAAGAAAAUCAAUUAAUUUUAACUUCAUUGUCCAAUUCACAACCAUGUAAGUAAUUAAUUACCUUCCGAUCCGAGAUUGUGAAAGAAGAUGUAAAUAAAUUAUCAGUUGCGACUACUUCGGUAGAAAAAUCUUUUUUGACAAUGAAUCUUAUGAAAUUAAGUUUUCAUAAUUGUAUGGAUGAUGUUUGGUUGAAUGAUAUUUUAGUAACACAUGUUAUAUGUUAAGAAAGAUCUAUUUUCUAGUAUUUGUAAUAAUGAUAUCGGUAUCAAAAUAUGAUAUAUUGUCGAGAACAAUUGGAUUGAAAAAAAUAUAUUUUUAAAUUUUGUUAAAUGAUUUAAAAUUAAACUUUAAGAGAAAAAAAUUCAUGCAUUCGCCACUGCAUUCGAUCUCAUAUUUACACAACCACCACAACCCGCAAAUUCUCAAAUGUAAUGAAAUUUCAAAAACUUUAAUAAUUACCGUCAUCGAUUGAGUUAAUCACGGUAAUUGAGUUAAUAAUUACCGUGAUUAAUUAAGUUAAUUACUUGUGUUAUAUAGGUUUAGAUUUCAAAUCCACUUGUCCACUUGGUAGAUACCACAACUCGAGAUCUUAACCCAAUCGAACGGUCCAGAUCGUUUCCAAUUCAAAUCACAAUUUUCCCUCGCAUAAGACACUAACUGUCAGAAGUCAGAAUCCCCCUUUCUUCUCCCCCUUCUCCGGACCUACUCCUUGCGCGAGCAAGUAAACCCUAGAAAAACUUACGAAUCCGAUCGUUUCAAGCUUUCAGCUCAGCUUCGGGGUCGGAGAAGACGAGAAUGAAGGAAAGCAGGAGUCCGAGGAACGCGGAAGUGGCCGGCACUCCUCCGUCGAAACGAGUAGCGUUGGCCGAUAUUAGCAUUGCCGUCGGGAAGAAAACUAACAGUCUGUCUUCUUCACGGAUUAAAGGAAAAUAUGUAAACCUCAACUUUCUAUAAUUGAUUUCUAUGCAGGUCAUGAAUUUUUUUUUUUUUUUUUGGAAUUUGAUUGAUUUCUGUGAUAUGUAGUUCGGUACUUCUGUCAAAGCACCUUCGAUGAAAAAGAAGAAGACGACGUCUAUUUCACCACAUCUUGCUGAUAAGAUACUGCUCGAGAAAUCACUAAAUGGCGGCGGAUCUGUUGUCUUACCAUUAACAAAUAGUUUGAGUGAUGCUCAUUUAAUGGAAAAGAGAGCGCAUGAAUCUGGUUUUUUUUUUUAUGAUUUUAGUUUAUAUUCCAUCCAUAAUUUCUCUGAAAUGAAACCAUGUCGAUUUGGGAACUUUUCUCUCUUAACUUGUCUUUUUUUGCAGGUUAUACAUGGACGAGAGAUGUUAUUAUGGGAAUGGGAUCAAUUGGUGACAACUUUGGUAUCGAUAGAAAUCAUGAAGAUUCACAUUUGUGUGGUACUUCUUCAUGUGAUAUAUAUAAGCACUUGCGUCAAGCUGAGGUAAUCUAUAAUUGAUAAUUCUUUGUCUUAUUUUGUUUUGAAAUGGUAAAUGCUUGAUGCCUUAUACUAGCAUAAGAAGGUUUUAGCACCAAUGCACCAUACGAAAUGGUUACAGAUCUCAUUGUCUAUGUUUUUUUAGUACAUUUCAUUCAUUAACUAUGCAUUUUACCUAAAAUCCAUGUUUUUUUAUUCAGAUGUUUGAGCAUCAGUAGUUUUAUCUUGCCUUCAUUUUCUUAUCACAUCUCAUUUUUUGCGAAUGAUCGAUCUUUAAUGCAGAUGAAGAAACGACCUGCUGUAAACUUUAUGGAAGUUGUUCAGAAAGACAUAAAUGCAGGCAUGCGUGCAACUCUCAUAGACUGGCUAGUGGAGGUUAGUUUUGAAAUUUCUGUAUAAACAAGUAGUGUCAGUAGGCAUGUUGAGGAAAGCUGGAAAGGUGUAAAUUAUUUUUCCCUCCUAAAUAUCACUAUAUCAGGUUGCAGAGGAAUACAGAUUUGUUCCCGACACAUUAUAUUUGACAGUUAACUAUAUUGAUCGGUAUCUAUCUAGUAACGAAAUGAAUCGGAAACGGCUACAAUUGCUUGGAGUUGCUUGUAUGCUUAUUGCUUCGUAAGAACUAAUAUUUAAUCCCUCCUACACCAUAAUCGAUUAGCUUUCCUACUAUUCAUUUUCCUUUAUCGAUGGCAAAUGCUGUCAAUGUUUUCUGCAGAAAAUAUGAAGAAAUCUGUGCACCACAGGUGGAAAAAUUUUGCUUAGUAACUGAUAACACUUACUUCAGGGAGGAGGUCUGACAUUCUUCUUCUUUGUAAAUUCAUUCUCUACUUGGAUUAUGCUUCUUAUUUCACUCAUUUCUAAAACACCUAUAAACUAUACAGAUCUUGCAAAUGGAAGCUGAUGUGUUAAAAGAUUUGAAGUUCGAGAUGUCAGCUGCGACAAUUAAAAGUUUUUUAAGGUAUACUACAUUUUUCUUCAUUAUUUUUAAACACAUAAUGGGGCAAAAUAUUCUAUAUAUGAGCUGUGAAAUAGAUUUGCUAGAUUGUAUUUCUUUUUCCCUGCAGGAGAUUUGUCCGUGCUGCUGAAUCCGUUAAUCAGGUAGACUAUUUCACUUGUUAGCUACCUUGGAAUGUUGGUUUAACAUGGUUAUGGUCAAUUGUUUUCCUGACAGACUACAUCCAUUGAAUUUGAGUUUCUGGCAAACUACGCUGCUGAAUUGACAUUAGUCGAAUAUAAAUUUCUCUGCUAUGCUCCUUCAUUGGUUGCAGCUUCAGCUGUUUUUCUUGCAAUGUUUUUAUCAAAUCCUGUGAAGAAACCCUGGGUAUUUAUUUUCUAUACCCAACUCUUGAUUUUAUAUUCAUUAUGUUGGCUGAAUAUAAAUUCAUUGAUUCUGUUACUAGAAUGUUACUCUUGUACACUACACGUUGUAUAAACCAUCCGAGUUAUAUGAAUGUGUGAAAGCAAUGCACCUUCUAUUGCUAAACAGCUCUAAUGGUAGGCUACCUGCAAUCCAUGAAAAGUACAGUCGGAAUAAGGUAUAUUUUGUUUUUUCUAACCGUCUAUAUUCCCAUCCAUUGUCAAUGCCGUUACUGACCGUCAUUUUGGUUUAUUCAGUACAAGUUUGUUGCGGAGAAACACUGCCCUCCAACGAUACCUCAAGCGUUUUUCCAUGAUUGAAACAAGUAGAUAAUUAAUGUUGAUUGAUGUUUGGUUUGGAUCAAAAAGAUCAUGCUUGUGUAUAGGAUCAAAGAAACUUUUAUUAGCAAUUUGUAAAAAGAAAUCUUUUACAUCUUUAUCAUUAGCAUAUCAAUGUCGGGUUUAACCAAACGAACCUGAUUUGUCUCGUUUCAGGUGUAAGCUAAAUAACAUUACAAGUAAAAAUGAUCUGAUGAAGAAAUAAGAGAUCACAAGAUCAUGCUUAAACCUAAUAUAAAACUUUAGCACAAAACUUUAUUUGAAAGAUUUGCAGGUACGAGGAAUCAUGUUGCUUGGACAGUUCGCUUCCUACGCAACAUAAUUUCCAAAACAAUUGCAGCAAUUAGAAUGGAAGUAAGAUUGAAACCGUAUGCUACUUUCCAUGCUUGUCCGGCACUUCCUACUUGGAUUCCAAUCACUAUGUUCACUGAUGCAAGGAAUAAAGCAAGCCUUCCAAAACAAUGAUGAUACCAGUUCCAGUAAAGACGGUACUUGGACUCUUUAUCUGGUUUUGUAAAAAUUGCAGUCACCUGAUUGUUAUCAUGUCAAUUUGUGUGUUACUGAGAUUAACAGAUAACAAAUGUUUUUUUUCAGGUAAAAAUAAAUAAUUUCAAAGAUUCGAGAAAUCGAUUGACCUGAAGAAUGCCAAUCACGAAAACAAAGAUACCAAGGCCUCUGUGAACUUGAACAUUUGCAUGUAGUUUAUUAUAGAGAACACUGCCUAGAACAAUAGCUGAAGCACCCAUGAUGAAACCCAGAAAUUGAAUGCCUAGAUGAAGGUUAUACCACAAGGGAUCCGACUGCUUACAGUAUCUUGCUACAAUGGCACCUAUUGGCAGUAGGACACCCCACCCUGCUAUUGCCAACACUCCAUGGUUUCUCUUCAGAUUGUAUGGGUAAGAAGGUGAAGUUGAAAUGGGCGAAAAUUGUGUAUUUAUUUUGACAUCUACAAAUCAAGAAUUAAAUCUCCUUAAACUAUCAUGAAUACCAAUCAUAAAUAUUAAUGAGACAAACCUUGGGAGAAAUCAAAGUUCAUCGAUGUCAUGUCUUCGUGCAUGGUUAAUACUUUAUUUACUGGGAUUUUCGUACCAUACGCGAAUAACAAAGGUUUUGUUUGUACAGGAGCUUGGAACUUCAACUGAAAUGCCAUGUACAUAUUUUGCCCAAAAACAGAAACAACUGGUCGAGCAGCAUCAAUUAUUUUCAGAUCUCCUUGAUCUGGUUCGAUCAUGGACCUCAUCUUGCCUCCUAAAAAAUAUUGGUGGAUAUUUGGUUUUUUGUCUUCACCUAUCCAACCUAUCAUUGCACUUGAUCCAACCAUCAUUCCAGUCUCUGAAAAUCCCAUUCCAAUCCAUCCAUUUGUCGGUUUACUUGAUAGUAUUAUGCUCAAAACAUUGUCCCCAUUUAGAGAAUACUGUCAUAGAUAGAGAUGGAUGGAUACAAACUAAAUCACAAUCAUAAAUUCUAAAAAUAUUGUGCAGUUUAAUACAUACCCUGAGGAUGAAAUCUUUCCAGACUUGCUGACAUGUAAACCCAGAUGCAUUGAAGGAGGAUAGGGAGGAGAUGCUGAGAUCUGAGUUGCAUCCAUCAGAUUGAGCAUCAACAUAAAGAAAAAAUACACCGAAAAGAAGAACAUACAAAUUGAUUCCUCCAGAUGCGAUCAUAAUCACAGAGGUGAUUCGAUAUUGAUGUGUGUUUUGCUUAUAUUUAUUUUCUCUUCAAUGUUUCGAUCUUUCUUGUUGAAAAUCCUUGAAGAGUUGCAGGUGGUAUGUUACAAUCGCUUAUUUUCAAAACAAUAUACAAACUUGCAGUGUCAUCAAAGAAACCCUUAAAUACAUCAUCGAAACAAGGAAAUUCACAUACUCCACAAGAUCAAAAGAACUUUCGAUUGAAAAUAGAAAGGAUUUAUUUAGAAAAUUUAUAUUUACACAACGUUUUUACCAAAAAACAGAAAUUAUUGCUAUCACAUUAUUUAUUUUAUUAUUUCAUAAUUUUGAAUUUUAACUACAAAUGAUGAAAUCAAAUUGCUAUAGUUACCUAAAUAAAAUAAAACAUACUUAGAUCAUCAAAAUUAAACAUCCCACUAUGAGGUUUUGAAAUAAGAAAAUUGAAGAUGCUUCGAAGAGUACAAUUGGGUACUUGCUGUUUUUAUUUCGCAUUGGAAAAUUACUACAUUGUGUUUGAAUUAAAUUAUUUCCAGCUUGUAGUCUGUCUUUUCUGUCCAUUGUCCACAUGAAUGCAAACUACAAUCAAGAACAUACACGACAAUAUUUAGGAUUUCUGGUUUUAACUGAAAUUGACAAUGAUGAAAAUAAAGAGUAAACACAAAAAAACAGUACAUAAAAACAUAUCAACAAGUAAAUGACUAAAUUUAAACUCAAAGAUUUUGUUCCAGCCAUGAGAAGAUCUUAAAAAAAUGCAAUGUAGUUUGUAGUGGCACGACGGUAUCUGAAUUCUCAUCAUAGCAUAUAAAGAAUGAAGAAAAGUUCAUACCAUGUGUUUUUUCUUUCUUUAUUGCAAACCAUUAAGAACCAAUCUUGUUGUUAUCCUCAAAAACUAUUUUGUUUGUACUAUCUAAUGCUAAGUCAUUUCCAACAUGUAAUCUCUGUCCAUGAUGACUAUAUUGAGACUGACAACCUACAAUCAAGAACAUAGACAGCGGUAUUUAAAACAGUACUUUAAUAUUCAGCAAUUGAAAAUGAUGAAAAUGAAGGGUAACCACACUCAAAAAAGAUUAAAGUGCAAUGACUAAAUUUAAACCCUAAGAUUUUGUUCUAGUCAUGAGAACAUCUUAAAAAAUGCAAUGUAGUUGGUAAUGGCAUCUGAAAUCUGAUAGCAUAUAAAGAAUGAAGAAAGAAUUCAUACCUGGUGUUCUCUCUCUCUCUCUCUCUUUCAAACCAUUAAGAACCAAUCUUGUUAUCCUCAGGGAUACUCUCAAACAACUGUUUUCUGACAACAUCAUGCAAUUUCUCAAACAACUCCUUCUUGACCUCAUCAAAUGCUUCCUCAAAAUUCACCAACAAAUCCGUGGAAUUUUUAUUGUACAUAAACAAUCCAUAAUACAAGUCGAAGCUAUCCUUUCUAGUAUUCUCCACUAACGAAAGCAGAGUCUCAUAUCCUUUGGUUCCAAUUGGCGUAAUCGGAAGAUUGAGUCUGCUUAAAACCCUCCCCAACGUAUGUGUCAUGAACUGUGAAGAAGCAGCAUGUUUAUCAUGCUCCAUGCACGACAUCUCUACCAUCUUACAACCUUCUUUCUCAAAUAUCUCCAAGAAACGAUUGCACCUAUUGAUUCUGCUUUCCACAUCGCCAAUCCUAACCUUGUCGUAAACAAAUGGCAACCCUCCCCACCCAUCCUUACCACUCUCUGGACCGAACAUGGGAUGGGUACACAAUACAUCAAACUCCCUAGGAAGCGUUUGGAUGAAAAGAUUUCGUGGAAAUUCUUUAACCGAAAGUACAUCUACGAAGAGUGUGUUCCGACGGAGGCGGUGGAGAGGGAACGACUUGAUGACAGCUUCUGUGGAAAGAAUGGAUGUGCAAAGAAUAACUACAUCCGGAUGCUCUUCGCAAAGAUCGUGUGGGUCAGAGAAAAAUUUCACAUUGAGAGAAGUCGCAACAGAGGUGUGGUCAGUGCGAGAAUAUGCAAUAACAGAAUGCCCUUGUUGUAUGAAGGUCCGCGCAAGGAAUUGGCCAAAAUUUCCAAAUCCAACAAUAGCAAUCUUAAGCUUCAGGUCAAAGGAGGCAUCAGACGAAGAAAAUAAUUUCUCUAGAUUCCGCGACGAAGCGGUAGUUUUAGAAGAAGAAGAAUGUGAAGAGGAUAACUUAUGCUCAUAAUCAAAAGAUUGGGCAGCGUCAACUGAACAGAUAGACAUUGGCCUAUGGCGACCGUGGCAGUUGAGAUUACUUUGUCCACAUAAUUGGCGGUGGAAAACGUAAGGGAGAUGUUGUGACCGUUCGACGAUUGUAUUGAAAAGCGAAUAGGUGGAGGAAGUUGCGGUAGACAUAUAUGGUUGCCAACAACUAAUUUUCAAGAGUAAGUAAGAAAAAUCACCUACUAAACUAAAAACAGAGAUCGAAGGUCCAUGCCAACAGUGGUCAAGGAAGGAAGGAUGCCAGGAAUAGGUUCAAUGUAUAAUGUAAAACCCUAAAAAGGUUGUUUUUAUAAAUACACAGUAAAGAGACCUAUCUGCAAAUGACAAGAUAAAAAAAGGGUUUAUCUACAAAUAUUCCAGAAUUUAAAUAUCCUAAAAUAAAAAAUAUGAAUCUCAAAAUAAGAGAACCCCAUUCAUAUAAUGUUAAUGGUGAAUCGGUGGGUGAUGUAAUUGGUAAAUAAUCUUUAAAAUUAUUUCAAUUUUAUCAGAUCAAUUGAUUUAGUACAUAUAAAAACAACAAAAAGAAUCCCACAUGAGUUAACCUAAAUCUUUUUCUUUACCCUGGAUUAUGAGUCCUACUAUAUAAGAAGUUUCCAAUUGUACAUGUGUAAAAAAAUUGUUCCAAAAACCAAAAGACAUUAAAGAAAACGAAAAGGAUUUAGGAUUCUUUUGGAGUUUAGGAAUUUGAUCAUUGUAUGUUUACCAAACAGAAUUCAAAAAAAAUAUCACUUUCAAAAACCAAGAUUACUAUUUACUGAUGUAAAACUUUGCUUACUUGAAACUUUUUUUAUCACAGAUUUAGAAAUUAAGCAUCAAUCAGACAAAAUUAAACAUCAAUCAAACCAAAACAGAUCCGUUAUUUUAUUAACACACGAUACAUCUGGAAUCAGAAAAAAUCUCACGAAUCAGAAAAACAACAGCAGAACUGGUUUUACAACAGAUAGAAGAGAGAUUCAUACCAAUGUGGACUAAUAAGGUGAAUAAGAAAAUAACGAGAGCUCCUCUAAUCCGAUGAUGCGCCAAGAAUGAGCGGAAGAUAAAACCCCGAGAUGACGGCUUUUAGGGUGACACUCGCAAACUGUUGUAAACCCUAAUUUAUAAAUUAUAAUCAUAAUGGGCUAUGAGACAUGUUUUGAUCCAUGAAGCAAUUAGCGGGCCUAGUCUAACUUCUUUUGUAUAUAACUUUUAAAAAAUGGCAAAAAAAAAAAAUUAUUAUUAUGUAAAAUAUUAGGGGUAAGCAUACCCUCCCCGUGGCCCGUACCCUACUCCUCGCUAUUGUCAUUAAAUGGGUUCUCAAAUCGACAUUCUCGAUUCUCAAAUUUAGUUUACUUAAAGUUAUUAUCUCUUGACGAAGGUUGUGCAAAAAAUUACACUAUAGAAUGCUAUUGGAUGUUUGUCGUAACAUAUAUAGACGAAAAAAAUAAAAGAUACAGACAACACGUUAAUAUGCAUCUUGAGGUAGUCUUUAAGAAGGUCAUGCAUUAAAAACAUUAGUCUCUUUUUUAAUCCGGAGUGUUACAAGAAAAGUUAUUUUCACCAUUUGGAGACAUCUACGAUAAAAAUAUGGAAGACCAACUUUUAAUUGUGGCAGUACUGUAUCUAGUUAUAAUUUAAAAAUUACAAGUCCUGUAAAAACCCAGUUGGGUCCUUAGUGGAUCCGCCCUUGAUCAUUGAGUACCUCCCAUUGGUAUAUCACACUAUGUUCCCUGUUGCACGUAUGCAUCUUCUUGAAACUUGCCUCCCUAUAUCUGAUUUCCGUCGUUGUUAUGCAGAUUUUGAUCUUGACCUCCUUCGAGCAUAAUUUGUCCGUCUUGUACUUUUGGUUUCUUUCUUUCCACAACUCAAAUAGGAUGAUUCCGAAUAGAGUCCAAUGAAGUCCACAAUUCUUUGAGUCGACUGUGGUGUUGGCGAUCUCUGUUGUCGUCGUAGUAAAAUACUUGAUGUUAUGGAUAUUCGUGAUGUUCCCUACUGUCAUGAACCCCUCUUUUAGCAUCCAUCUCUCUGAUUCACAUUCGAAGAAGACAUAGUCUAUCGAUUUUGGAAUCUACCCGCACAGUGCACACUCUCCGGAUAUUGCCAUUCCCCUCUUAAUUAGUCGAUCCUUAGCUGGUAAUAGGUUGCACCAUCUAACUCUCCAUAACAACAACGAUAUCUUUUGCAUACCAGGUUUCCAAAUUCCUCCUACGUAGUCGUCCUACAGACGCUUGAUAUCCUUAGGGUAUUCGGCCCUCACGUUCGUUGUUGAUGGUAUCUUUCUACCUCCCUUCCAAAUGAGCACACUGUUUGCUCCACAAGGUUAGGCCUUUCAACCUUCUCUUUAGAAGGUUUCUACACUCACAUAUUGAAAAAAAUAUUUUACUCGAUCUCAGUCGCCACUUGCUUCUUCUUAAUUGAUCUUCUGUUCUUCUUUACUUAUAAUACUUCAGUUCUUUACUUAUACUUCAUGGGUGGACUGGUGCUUGAUGAAAAUCAGAAUGUCGUCGAAGUACAGACGACGAUGUUCCUCCCAAUCGGAAAAGGAAUAAGACUAGAUCCAGUAUAUAAAGGGGACGAAACGGUAGUGAGAGAUAGGGUUGUGUAUUCAAAAGUUAUCCUCCUCUAUUGGGGUUGUGCUCUUUUUAUAGUGACUGAAGGGUACUAUAGCCGAGCUAGUCCCUCGAGUUUUUUAGGAGAAUUGGGCAGCAUCGGUCUCAUAGACGGACUGGGCUGCGUCAAUAUUUUAAAAUGAAAAAUAAAUAAAUAAUUCAAUAUGUUGAAUUAAAUGAUUAUUAUUUUUGAACCGAUUGAAUUCUCGUGAAAUAAUAAAAAGAACAGUCUUCUGAAUCGUACCGUCAUUCAUUCCAAUUCUAAUAAUGUCUGCACAUGAGAGAUAAACUCAAAUCUUGAGAUAAAAAACAUAUAGAUAAGAUCUGAAUGGUCAAAAAUCUAGAUAUCUUGUUUUCAAUAUCUCAUAACUUAAAAAACACAUGUUCUAUAAUUAUAUAUGACUAACUUCAAGUGAGAUAUUGAAAAAAAGAUAUUUAAAUAUCAUUAGUAAAAGAUGUUGAUCUGACCUCGAGAUGUGAUCCGUAAAAGAUAAAAUUGACGGUAAUAUGAAUGUUAUCUCUUUCCAAUAUUCUAUUAGUGGUGUGUAUAUUUAUGGUAAAAAAAUCAUUGGUUGAGAAGGCCAAGGUCCAAAAAAAAUGGGAGCACUUUCUUCUCGAGUUCCACCUUAGUUUCUCCGAAAUUUUGUGUUUUCAUCUCGUACUUAUUUCUCAUGCAAUGCUAAGAUGACUCGUCGAGGGUUUAUUAUAGCCAUCGCAAGUUUCAUUGCAAGUAUCUUCCGUGGUGUCGGAAAGAGCAUGGGUGCACUUAUUGAGUCUCCUGAUCUAGCUGUGUGUAAAAAGAUUCAUACCCAAGGUGAAGUCGUCAUUGAAACCACAUGCUGCCCCCCAAAUAGGAAGAAGAUCGUGGACUUUGUUUUUGAGACUCCCAGUCGAAUCCGUGUCCGUCCAGCGGUUCAACACAUGACGGUCGAACACAUCGAAAAAUAUAAAGAAGCAACAAGGAGGAUGAAGGCGCUUGACAAAGAUGAUCCACGAAGCUUUGCACAACAAGCCAAUGUUCAUUAUGCUUACUGUGACGACGCGUACUCUGAAGUUAGUAACACAAAUGAACCGAGUCGAGCUUUUGCUUAUAUGACAUGUUAGUAAAAAUGAUUGAAUUUUACUAAGAUAUAUGACAUGUAUAAAAAAUAUGCAGAUGGGUUUACCUCAAAUGCCGUUAGAGGUUCACAAGUCAUGGUUGUUUUUCCCCUUCCACCGUUGGUACCUCUACUUCCACGAAAAGAUCCUUCGAAGUUUGAUUGAGGAUGACGAUUUCGUGCUACCUUUCUGGAACUACGACGAUCCGUCUAGCAUGACUCUCCCAUCGAUCUUCGACGAAAUAAACUCGCCUCUCUAUGACCAACUUCGAAACCAAGAUCUUUGUGGGUCUACUAAACUCAUAAACUUCCGUUCUUACCGUGAUGAUCCUCAACCACAACUGACAGAUACUGAGAUUAUCCAAAAUAACCUUCGAGUGAUGAGACUUCAAAUGGUGACCAAUUCCAAGACAACCCAACAAUUUUUUGGGGGAAAAUACAUAGUCGAUAGGCCACGUCCCAAUCACACUCCAGGAUCCUUGGAGAUGUUUCCACACAACAUCGUCCAUAGUUGGGUAGGAAGCAAAUCAACACCAAAGGGUGAGGAUAUGGGUAGUUUUCACACUGCAGCGAGAGAUCCAAUUUUCUAUGUCCACCACACGAACAUUGAUCGACUCUGGGGUGUUUGGAAAGAUAUAAACUGUAAAAAUAAAGACCCAGAUGAACUAGAGUUUCUAGAAGCAAGCUUCUUAUUUUACGACGAGAAAGCACAACUGACUAGGGUUACGAUCAAAGAUUGUCUUAACACUUCAGCAUUGGGUUAUAGAUACGAUAACGUACCGAUUCCAUGGUUGGACUUGGACAAGACCUGUGCACCAACUUUCAUCAAUAGAAGAGGAUCAAAUAAUUUGCGAAAAGUUAUUUUUCCAUUGGUUUUGAAAUCAAUGGAAAGCAUUACGAUUAGAAGAAGGAUGAACAACCGAAGUGAAGUUGAGAAAGAAUCACGUGAAGAGGUCGCAAUCAUUGAUGACAUCGAAUUGGACUACGAGGAAUCUGUGAUGUUCGAUGUUUAUAUCAAUCCAUCAGAUGCAGACAUCCGAACCGAUAUGUCAAACUUCUGCUCUUCUUUUAUGAAUGUGCCAAAUGGAGGGAGAAGUAUUAUUGAUGUAAAAACUAGAUUUGUCGUCGGACUUACUGAUCUUUUAGAUGGCAUUCAGGCCGACAACGAUGAAUAUAUUGUUAUCACGCUAGUCCCAAGGAAGGGAAAUAUUAAGAUUGGAGGUUUGUUCAUCGAUUUCUUAGACAGACAUAAUUUCUGAUUAAACAUGUAUUUUGUGUGCUUAAUUUAUGUUAAUCUGUUUUUUUUUUUUUAAACCAAUUCAAUUUUUGAAUCCCCAAAUUACAAAAAAAAAUUUAUCAAUCAAGUUAGCGUUAGAAAUAGGUUUGAAGGUUCAGGGUUCGAGUCUCGCUCUGUACAUAUUUUCAUUAUAAAGCAAUGAUUUAUGUAGUUCUUCACUUCUUAUAUAUCAUUCGAAAGUAGACAUUUAUAUAUCAUGUAAAAAAAUAUAACAAGUGAUGAAUCCUUACCUGACUAAAUGCUAAUUAAUCGAACUUGGUCAAGUAUGUAUAAAUUUGCAAAUAAAUAAAUAAAACAACCAAGUUAUAAAUAAAAUAGCUAAAUAAAAAAUAAAAUCUCUAAAAAAUUAGAAAUGUCUUAAUAAUUAAAUUAAUUAAUUAAUUACUAAUAUAUAAUAAUGAGGGUGGGAAACUGGGAACCUCACUUUUUUUCGACUGAUCGAUCCUAACCUAGUCGAUUCUAGGCUAGUCGAUCGUCGGACUUUUAAACACGUAAGCCUUACUAGUCGAUCGUCGGACUUUUAAACACGUAAGCCUUACUAGUCGAUCGUCGGAAUUUUAAACACGUAAGCCUUACUAGUCGAUCUACCGAAGACUUUGGAUCUUUAGUCACACGCUCCAUCCUUAACUGUUCUGGAAAUAAUCGAAUGAUCUAGAAAACGUAUCAAAUGAUGAAAUCGUUCCAUUAUUUAAAGACCUUAGGGAGGGAAAACGAGUCUUUCCACAUUGUUGUGGGGUUAGUCGGUCCCUUUCCAAUCGUUCGAUGAAUUGACCGACUGAGAGGGAUCGACUAGUAUCUUGGUCGGUCGGUGGACCAAUCGAAUGACUGAGUGGGAAUCGACUGGUCAUACCCUACUCAAGUGGGUUGACUCCUUCUCUUUUUGAUCCAUAUCCAAGGGUUGAUCAUCUAGUUUGGGUCCAGUCUCGGUCCAAGGCUUGUUCAUUAUAUUCGAUCUUCCACGAGCCUCAACCCAGUUACGGGUGUUUGAGGGUUCAAUCCUAGGUCGUACUCUCAGUAUGGAUUUGAUAAGAGUUUAGAUCGAAACCAGCAUAUGGCUAGAGUGUAGGAUCGCGGAGCACAGACGUGAUGAGAGGACGAAGAUCAACUUAGGGUUUUGAGAAAUCCAAACGGCACGAGUGGAGAGCAAAGCGAUUUUGUGCAAAAAAACAUGUAUUACAUUGAAUUGGAAAAGUUAAUUUAUACAACAAGAUCAUGGGCCAAUAAGUGAUGGGCCUGGACACUUAACACUAAAUAAUUAAGGAAUAAGUAAAGUAAAUAUAAUCUAAUUGAGAUGGUUUAACACCCCCCUUCAAGCUGGAGAAUGUAUAUCAUGCAUUCCCAGAUUGAGCAAUAGUCUCCUUAUUGACUCAAGAGUAGCAGGUUUUGUUAAAAUAUCUGCUAGCUGCAUGUUGGAUGAAACAUGUGAAAGAUCAAAUAACCCUGCCAAAAAAUGAUCCAUCGCUAAAUGAUAGUCAAUUUCUAUAUGUUUUGUUCUCUCAUAGAACAUGAGAUUAGAAGCAAUAUUGAUUGCUGCUUUGUUAUCACAUUUGAGAGUGGGUUUAGAAUUUAGAGAUACCUGUAAAUCUUUUAGAAAAUAAGUAAGCCAUAGAAUUUCACAAACAGUUGAAGUCAUUGACCUGUACUCACUUUCUACAGAUGAUUUGGAAAUGGUGGAUUGUUUCUUGGAUUUACAAGAUACAGAGGAUCCUCCAAUUAGAAUACAAAAACCUGUUCCAGAUCUUCUUGUGAUUGGGCAAUCUGCCCAAUCUGCAUCACAGUAUGCAUUGAUUGUAAUGGGUGCAUCCCUCCUGUAUAGAAUCCCUUUUCCAGGGGCAUUCUUAAUAUAUUUUAAAAUUUUGAUACAUGCUUGGAAGUGAGAUAUUUGAGGAUUGGCUAAGAAUUAACUUAGAAAACUAACAGCAUAAGCAAUAUCAGGUCUGGUUAUGGUUAAAUAUAAUAGCUUUCCAAUUAACCUUCUGAAAUUUGUUAUGUCUUUUAGAGGUUCAUCCUUUCUAUCAGAAUGUGGGUUGUGUCUAAUAGGAAUUGAGGAUGUGGAUGCCCCUAAUUGACCAAACUCAUGUAGUAUGUUCAAUGCAUACUUCCUCUGAGAUAUAAAGAUACCCUGUUUAGAUUGGGAGACCUCAAUGCCAAAAAAGUACUUGAGCUUACCUAAGUCUUUGAUAUGGAAUUUUUCAUGGAGGUGUCCCUUUAGUUUGUUAAUUUCACAUUCAUCAUCUUCUGAUAUUAUAAGAUCAUCCACAUAAAUCAACAAGCAAGUAUAUGAUGUUUUAGUAUUUUUAAAAAAUAAGGUGUAAUCAACAUGAGAUUGAGUAUAGCCAAAUGAUAUUAAUGCUUUUAUCAAUUUUUCAUACCAGUUUCUAUUGGUCUGUUUGAGGCCAUAGAGUAAUUUUUUUAAUUUGCACACUCUCUUGUCAUUGGAUGAUAACAUGCCGGGGGGGGCAUGUAUAUUUCCUUAGAUAGAUCACCAUGUAGGAAGGCAUUACUAACAUCCAUUUAAUAAGUAAACCAGUUUUUGAUGGAUGCAAUGACUAGUAAGGUCCUGACAUAGGUGAUUUUGGCAACAGGGGAGAAGGUCUCCUUGUAAUCAAACCCUUCAAUCUGAAUAUGACCUUUGACAAUUAAUCUUGCCUUAAGUCUCUAAAUUUCCCCAUUUGAUUUAUGUUUAAUCUUAUUUAUACACCCAUCUAGAUCCAAUUAUUUUUCUGUCUUCGGGUAUGUUGGCAAUGUCCCGAGUUUGGUUUAGUUCAAGGACAGCAAGAUCUUCAUUCAUAGCUUGCACCCAUAGUGGGUUUUUAGAUGCUUCUGAAAAUGAUUUGGGUUCAACAGAUGUGGAGAUUUUGUCUAGAAAGUCAACAUGAGAAGAACUAAGUUUCUUGUAUGUUAAGUAAUUAUGCAUGGGGUAUGAGGUGGCUUUAUUUAGACUUGCCUCUACUAGUGGCAAAGGAGCAAUAGUAAUCAUUUAGUCUCUUAGGUUUGAUAGUUGUUCUUUUUGUGCCCUCUGGAAGAAUGAGUUGAUUUGGAUUGAUGAAGGUGGUGAUUUCAUUUGAUAUUUCAGGGUUAUUGGUUUCAUUAGAGGAGUUAUCCUCAGACUCAAUUGAUUCAAUUUGUUGGCCAGAGGGUAUGUAGUCUGUGUCAUCAAAUGAGUGAUUUUCAUCAUCCAAAUUGUUGUAAUUUUGCAUUGUCUUAUGUUCAUGAGGUUUUAGUGUUGGAUCAUUUGGGAUAGGAUUACCUCUCUCUUGUAGUGGAAAUCUGUCCUCGUAAAAAAUGACAUCUCUACUUAUGAGAAUUUUGUUUUGGGAUAGAUGAAGCAGUAUAUAGCCCUUUUGUGUGGAGGAGUUGCCUAAAUAGAUACAUUUUUUUGCCCUUAGGGAGAAUUUAUUUUCUCUUACCAAGGUGGUUGCAAAACAGAGGCAGCCAAAGCUCCUCAUUCUCUCAUAAUGGGGUUUCCUUUCAUGGAGUAGUUCAUAGGGGGAUACUCCUUUUGUAGUCUUAGAGGGUAGCAUGUUUAUAAUGUAUAUGAAGUGUAGUAUUGAAUAGCCCCAUAGGUUUUGAUUGGUAGAGAACAUUCAAUAUGUGUUGGUGCUUCCUCUCCACAACCCCAUUCAGUUGGGGUGUGGGGGACAGCUUGAGAAGUGUAUGAUUCCUUUUAAAGAUAAGAAAUCAUUCAUUUCUCUUGAGAAAAAUUCACCCACUAGUAGAGCAUGUGAUUCCUCAUGGGUCACCAUUGAAUAGACUUUAUUUAGCUUGGGUAGUGCAUCAAGUGAGAGAGUGUGGGAUCUGACCUGCCUGAAUUGGUCAUUGAGUCCCAUCAGGAAUUUCCUUAUUUUUAGCUUAUCCUCUCUGUCAUUUAUUCUCCCAUUGACAUUGCAGGUACAAUUCCCACAAUCACAAUGGGGAAUUUCCCCAUAUGCAUCAAUCUCUCUCCAGAGGGUUUUCAGUUUGGUGAAGAAUGCAAACACAGAAUCAUUGUUUUGGAGGUGAGUAGGGCAUCACAGAAUCUGUGAUGCAAUUUCAAUAGAUACAGAUCCCCAAAUCCAUUGGUGGACUAUACCAUGACAGGUGUGUCAUGCUUCAUGUUCCUCUGAUUUGUUAUCAGAGGGUUCCCUCAUUGUCCCAAGGACAAAACCCAAUUUUCUCCUUGUGAGGAGGGCAGUAGUCAUUUCUUUGUUCCAAGGGUAGUAGUUGACACUACCUUGAAGAAUAUUUUUGAUAGGUAGAGGGCCCUGAUCAUUGUUUUUAAGAUAAUAGUGGGAAUUUGGGUUAAACAGGGGGUCUCCCAGGGGUUUCUUCUCUGCCAUUGUGUGAUAGGUUCUGUUGAUUAGGGUGAGAAGAGUGAAAACAGUAAGGUUGUAAUAUAAAUUAUCAUAAUUGAGUGAAAUUUCUGAAGAACAUGGCAUAGUAUUGAUACUUAGUGAAUUAAGUAGUUUACAUGACACAGAUAGUUUGUGGAAUGCCCACCAAUGCAUAAUCAUAAGAUACAGUUUAUAACAGAUGAUGAGAGUAGGUGAUCCAGUUUGGAUUUUGUAGCUCUAUCAUGCAAAUUCAUUUUAGAUUCAUAAAUUACAACAUACAUGUUUACUAUGAUAGUUUUCACAAAGACAUGUAGUGUCAUGUACUGAAAUGAAAUUUCAGUCAGUAUUAAUAGUCUGGGGAUGAGGCCGAGCCUCACCCACAGUGAGUCCAAGCAUCCAACAGUAAGUAGGACACUAGGGAAUAACUUCAAGACCAUCAAAUCAUGACUCAAUAUCAUCCUUUGCAUGUUAUGGUAUGACAAAAUGGGUUGCAUGCGAUCAUGAUGAUAAAUACUUGGAGUAGAAGAAAUGGCAGUGGAAAAAAUGGAAUAAAGCUUAAUAGUAACAAGUGUGGUUCAUCAGAUUUAGACAUGCAUAGAAAAUAUCGAACAUGCAAGUAUUUUUCAAUGAGAGAUGAGCAUAGUAAUAGAAGAGUAAAGUUGUAAAGGCAUUAAGGAUAACCACAAGGUCUUGUAAUGGAGUAGAAAGGUAGUCUGAAAAUCGUGCAGAUCGAGAGCGCCUUCGACUUAAGCGAUGGCCUGUAAAACAGCAGUAGUAGAAACACAUUAGAGACAUCACAGAGUGCUCACACUCUGAUACCAUGAUAAGAGUUUAGAUCGAAGUCAGCAUAUGGAUAGAGCGUAGGAUCGCGAAGCACAGACGUGAUGAGAGGGGGAAGAUCAACUUAGGGUUUUGAGAAACCCAAACAGCGCGAGUGGAGAGCAAAGCGAUUUUGUGCAAAAAACAUGUAUUACAUUGAAUUGGAAAAGUUAAUUUAUACAACAAGAUCAUGGGCCAAUAAGUGAUGGGCCUGGACACUUAACACUAAAUAAUUAAGGAAUAAGUAAAGUAAAUAUAAUCUAAUUGAAAUGGUUUAACAGGAUUUUGGUAUUACCAUAUAAUAAUAUAAUUAAUCAAGUUUCCCCUUGGGCCUGGCUACGUACUAUGAAAUGUCAUUGGAUGCUUGUCGUUGUGAAAAAUGCAAGAAUACAAAAUCACCCAUAAGGGUGUUUGUGUAAAUAAAGAAUAAGCUAAAUAUAUAAAUACUAAUGAGUGUGAUACUUUUUUUUUUAAAGGCGAUUUAUAUUAGAAAUAAAAUAAAGAGGUAACAGGACUAGAAUAAUAAGAAAAAAGACAGAUAAGCAAACAACUAAAAGUCAAUAGGAUGUGUGGAAUAGAUAUGGCUUGUUAAUCCUCAACUUGUAGGCCAGUAACCAAUAGCGAGGCUUCCUCCCAUCUUAUGAUAGCUGUAAUUUCCGAACUUAAGCUUUGCGAUUUCCUCUCCCACUCGCCGAUUUCCACAACCGACUCGCUGAUUCUCUUAGCAUCGCACUCGUCACAGCCUCGCUCGUAAACGACGACGACGAAAUUAACUCGACCAUUGACUUCCGGAAGGACUCCUCCUGGUGGAGCAGCAACGCUCACAAUUUGCUUUCACAAAAUCGCUCGCUAUUCUGCGGCUCACGCGGUGGAGCAACGGAAGGAAGGCAGCUGAAGGAUUUUAUCGUUCGCGGUCAGUUCAGGAGAGAAUCUUCUGUCGCUCGCGGAGAGUGGAUAUGUAGCUCGCGGAGAGCUGCUCUGUCACUCACGAGGGGACGAACUGUAGCUCGCGGUCGUGGAAGGUGCCCAGUCGAAGGUCGCGACCACAACUCCGGUGCUCGCUCGCAACACACAGUCCUCACUCGCGGCGGUCAGAGAUUUGCUCACUCACGUUAGAGGCCUUUGUUCCUUCGCUUGUUCGUCCUCAAACUUCCCUUCGCUCGCUUAAGAGGAGGCCGGAGGAGGUCGUCGGAGAAAAAGGAGGUUGCCGCUCGUUGUGUCUCUCUGCUCGCUGUCACUCUGUCGCUCACUCUGAGUGAACGAGCGAGCGAACUACCCUUCACUCGCUAGGUUGUCUGCAAGGAAAAAAAUCUGUGUUGGAGUGGGAGGAGAUCGUCGGAUUGUGAUACAUUUAAAACUAAGUUGUAUACUUACCUUUUUGUUAGUUUGAUUAAUGAAGAUAACCUCCAUUAUGUGUUAAUCUUCUUCCUUUAAUUAAUCAACUAAUACAACUUCUUUCUUCUAUCUUCUUCCACUCUUUCUUGAGUUAGUUAACUUCUUUUCCUAUCUUUUUCUCCUAUCUUCUUCUCCUAUGUUCUUCUCCCAUCUUCAUCUUCUUCUUUUCCUCCUAUCUUCUUCAUCUUCGAUCUACUCUUCUUCUUUUAUUCAAAUCACCCUAAAAAAUUGAUCCUACUAAAAUCUCUACAGUCGUGACAUAUAUAAACAGAGAAAAAUAAAAUAUAAAGAUAACACAUUAGUCUUUAAAAUUUUUAUUAAGGACAUCAGUUAUUUUUUUGAACCAAAGUGUUACAAGAAAAGUUGUUGUCACCCUUUGGAAACAUCUGUGAUGAAAGUAUAGGAGACCAACCUUUUAAAACAUCGUAUUUAAUUUUAUAUAACUAGUUUAAAUAGUUAAUUGGAAAGAUAAAUUCUUUUCUCAUUUUUUUACUUUUAUUUAUAUUUUUAUUCUCUAUCUUUUUAUAAUUUGAGUACUGUAUUACUAAUUACUGACUUUAUUUUUUAAUAAAAUUUAAUCGUAUUCGAAAAAAUUAAAAGUCAGACAAACGAAAUUAUUUAGCCCGGACCGUUUUCCGGCCCCAACCCAAACCUAAAUUGGAUUUGUAAUUAGGUUCGGUCCAAACUCAAACAUGGAACCAUGUGGGGUCAGUCAGUUACGGGAUUCAUGGACACGUGGUAUAAGGGAAUAGGUGAGAUCAACUAGUAUAUGACACGUGGAAUUGAAAAAAAAUAUAUUUAUGAUAGCUUCUUCCCACCAUUCAUCCCUAAUCCUCCAAAUCUGUUCUAUCUCACUCAUGGCACUGUGCUUCCCUGUGUCCUUGCACCACCUUCCCAAUCCGCUGUCUCCGUCGUUACCGCCGCCCGUGUUCAAUUCCGUCGCGGUCUUCUCUUUCCCGAUCUCGACUCAUCCUCUGAAAAAUCAACAAUCCAGAUCAAGAAAACUGCAAAUCGGAUGCGGUUUAGACACAGGCGGUGCUCGAUUGGGGAUUUUGGAUGGAGACUUACUGCGAAGAGUGUCGAGUUCUAAGGAUGCGGAGGAAGUUAUCAAGUUGAUUGAGGAAGGAACGAGUAGUAGUAGCGGUGGUGUUGUGGGUGUGGAUGAUUGUUGUGUGAUUAUCGAGGCGGCUUUUGACAGGGGGAAUCCUGAUUUGGCACUUUCGGUGUAUUCCGCCAUGCGUUCGACGAUUGGCCGAGGUGAAAUGAAGCAUUUUGUCUUUUUUUUUAUGUUUGUUUUUUCUUCUUCUUCCAGUUGGGGAUUUGUUAAUCAUGUUGAGAUUAAUUUAACAAAACAGAAAAAAUUGAGAAUGGAAUGUCUGUGGAGAAAUGGAGGUUGGAUCAACCAGACCUUCGUAUUCAUUCAUUACUUAUCCAAAGACUCGCUGAGUGUCUGAGAGUUUCAGAUGCAAAUAAAAUGAUUGGUUACAUAUCUCGAGUUGGUGUUUCGCCGGGAGAGGAGGUAAUUCACUCUCCCUCUUUCUGUCUUUCAUUCAAGUUUUGUUUUUGCUUAUGCGGAUUUCACUGAUGAUCUAAGUUUCUUUAUUUCGUGCAUAGGUUUCUUUUGGAAAGAUUAUUAGAUGCCCUGCUUGCAUGAUAGCCAUAGUAGUUGCACAACCUCAACAUGGUAUCCAAGUAUGUUCACUUAUUAUCUAAAAAAUGUACUUGAUUAGAAAUUUAAUAACACGGACCGUAUGAAUUUCCCUCUCUUCUAGGCUGCAUCAUGUUCUAAGUGUCGCCACAAGUAUGAGCUCGUUUCUGGGGAGAUAGUCAGCAUCGAAUCGGAAGAAUUAAGGUCAGUUCAUAUUUUUCAAUUUCUCACUCAUUUAGACAUUUGGUAAAACUGUUUUUUUACGUAGAAAAACAAAAUCCAUCCUUCGUUAGAAUUCUAAAGAAAAUAAAAGCUAUUUGGCAAAGAAUUUGAAGGAGGUUUUGAUUAUGCGAUAUUUUUCUGCUCUUCUCUAAGGAUGUGCUACUGCCGAACGCAGCCUGGAUAUCUCAACAUGGGAAAAAGGAUUGAGGUUGUUGCAGAUAACCAAGGAUAAUAUCCCGGCCGCAAUUCACUCCAUUGUGGUAAGUGCCUAAGUGGUAACUAUUUAUUGUAAGCAUAUUUUAUACUAUUACACAUUUAUUUAGUGUGUACGUGCUUCCCAUUUCAGGUUCGUACUCCAACAGGCACAGCACGAACCCACAGAUUUUCAACCAAGACAGUUGAUCUUCCUGCUCAAGAAGGAGAACGAGUGACUAUUGCUUUAGCAACCACAUCCGAUGUCUCUAGAGAGAUUGGUCCGAUCAGAUUCAAUGCAAGGUCUCCUCAGUUCAACCCCGGCCAACCAUUAUGUUUAACCAAUCACGUCAAUGGUCAGGAAUCGCAGUUGCUAAGACCGCCUAAAAAGGAUGGGAAUUCCUUUUUAUUUAUUCGAUCAAUAAUGUUUCCUGCUCUUGCUGUUCUUGCCAGUGGAGAUGUUGCAUCUGAAUUCGUCGAUCUUAGCAUUCCCAGGCUUGUUGCAAUCACUGCCGUUUCAUUGGUUGCUUUUGGUACGGCAGCAAAUCGUUUCGUUGUUCCGCAGUUGAAUAGGGUAAUUCUUGCGCUAUGAAACUCUGCGCUAUGCUAUAAAUAGGGGGUCCUAGCUAGGGGUUGGUUUUUGGUAAUUGAGAGUGACCUAGACUUGAGGGAGACCGUCGUCAAUAAUUUAAAGGUUUUUGGUUCUUUGAUGAUAUUUUAGUUUUUUAGUAAUGUAAAUUUUAUUUAAUGAUAUUUUAGUUUUUUAGUAAUGUAAAUUUUAUUUAAUGAUAUUUUAGUUUUUUAGUAAUGUAAAUUUUAUUUAAUGAUAUUUUAGUUUUUUCGUUGAUACUUCAGCUUCCCCAGAAAAUUGUGGAUUUAGUUGCCAUCAAGCAGCAACUUCUAUCCCAGUACGAUAUCUUGCAAAUUCGCAUAAGAGAUCUGAUUCAAGCUUCGGAAAAGGAGGUAACAUACUGACAUGUCAUCCUCGAUAUUAUUUGUUGAAAACAAAUCCUAUAAAAUAUGAUUUUAUUUCUUCGAUGCGGUGUUUCUUUGUUAAGGUUUGGAUGUUAGCUCGGAUGUGCCAGUUGGAAAAGAAAAUUGUAGCCGUUGGAGAACCAUCUUACCGGUAAAACCCCUAGAAUUUUAUAACUUAAAAAUACGGUAAAUACCAAAGAUUAUUAUUAUAGAGCUAGGAUCAUGUGCUUCUAGAGUUCUAGGUACGCCCACCUGAUCUCAGUGGUCAAAAAUUAAUCUAAUGGUCCACCUGAAAAAUAAAAUGAACGGAUGUGGUCGGAACGCACCCAAUCUGUCCGCUCCAGAACCGUUCUCUAUUAUUAUAAGAAAUCAUAAAGAUGGCAUAAAUAUUGUAUCACUUUAUUUUACAGUGCAAGAAGAAACAGAAUUCGAAGGGUGUGCGAGAGUUUAGAAAGCUCACUUGUGUCACGUAUCGAGCUACUUGAGAGUUUUGCAAGAGUGUGUAUUCUAAAAUUUGUAAUUACCCAUUUGUUCAUUAAGCUUUGGUACCCAAAAAAAUGAAAAAAAAUCAUAUACAUUUGAAAUGAUUUAUAAUUGCAGAUUUCUUCGAUGAUCGAAAUCGAGGUUGAAAUGGACUCAGACGUACUUGCUGCCGAAGCAGAGAGCAAUGCAGUAAGAAUCCUCACAUACCCAGAUUGAUGUUUAAUACCUCUCGUUGCUAUCAUUUGCAAUCCUUACUGUUUUCUGUCCAUUAUUCACAGGAGAGGAUAUCUGAACAGAUUGAGCAGAUUAUGGAGAUUGAAAACCUAGAAGAGGUAAUAACAAGAUCAUAAACAUAUGAGAUGAAUUCCCUGUUUAUAUAUAAUUUGUUUUACACAGACAUGGAAAAUACAAGCUGAGGCAAAUGAUGAAGUGGAGAGACUUCUAAGCUCUCAACCAUUAUGACCAGAGCAUAAACCCUAAAAUUUACAAGGUAAUGCAGAUAUGCAAUUGUUCAUUACUGUAUUUUUCCAUAAUUUUUUUUACUUAUUUUGUUUAAUAUUUACUAAACACACAAAACACAGAUAAUUUCAACAGUUUUUUGUACUCUUAGCUUCAAGUAAAGUUGUAGUAUAGAUACAAUUCAUACAAAAUUCAAAUACAUGAUGUUAUAAUUCAGUAAUGAAAAUUUAGGACCAGCUUCAGGUGUUAUAAUUGUGUUGUAAUGAUCUGAACCGUCCAUUUUUCACCUUUGACUGAUUUUUUUUAAUAAAUAGAUGACACCAAUGGAUGAUCGAUCAUUUAACGGUCAUGAUGAAACAUAACACAAUUAUAACACUUUGAAAAUUUAAUUAAAAUACACAGGGAUUCGAAUCUUGGAUCCUUGGAAGUUGGAACUUUAAUAGUAAUUGUGAGUUAAUCUUCAUACUACAAUAUUUUAGUAUAGUAAAAGUAGCACUGUAGCAGUAUGGAAAUGAUUAAAAUGAAAUAGUUAGGUCAAAAUUCAUACUACAUUAUAAAAUCUUAAUAACUGAAUAAAUAAAUUAUUAAUAUAUUAUUAAUAUAUAAUUAAUAAUAUAUAACUGAGAUAUGGAUUUUGAGAUAUUCUCAAUCCUGUGGUUAAUUUUAAAUCCAAUGAUUCAAAUAUCUCAAACUAUUUUAUUUAAACUAUUUCAUCGUUCUAUAUAAUUUAAUUUUUGGAAGUAAUGUAAAAUUACAAAUCUUAUUUAUUACUAAUUAUAUUCAUUUCCCCUUAAGGCCUUAAGCCCUUAACCAAUAGAUUAUUACAUAACAAUGACAUUUGUCAUUAAUGAAUAUCCGAGAAAAAAAUUAAAUUCAACGUGGAGUGUCAGUGGGUUUCAUGGCUACGUGGUGUAAGUGGAUAGAUGAGAUCAAUUAGUUAAUGACAUGUGGAAUAGAAAAAAAAAAUUAAAUUCAACGUGGGGUCAGUUGGUUACGUGGUAUGAGUGGGAUAAGUGAAGAUCAACUAGUUAAUGACACGUGGAAUGGAAAAAAUACUAUUUAUAAUAUUAAAGUCUCCUUUUACAAAUACAUGAUUCUCCGAUGGUUUAUUUGCAAAAAAUAAAAAAGUCUUCUAUCAUCAUGGAUUAAACCAAAAAAAACACCAAUCAUAUUAAUUGACUUACAAGAAACUAAGAACCGACCUUGACCUAUGAUAGAUUGACCUAUUAUAUAUAUAGAUUGAUAGCCAUAGAUUCAUUAAUAAAUUUAAUUUUAAAUAAUAUUAGGAAAGAUUAGUUUAACUAAUCACGAUAACGAUUAAGGUUUUUGAGAGUCUAGUGUCUAAAUCUCGUUGUGUAUGUAUUUUCAUUAUGAUGUACCCGGUGAUAUAUUAUGUAACUUUGGUAUCGAAAGAAAAAAUUUAGCUUGUUAAAUUGUAAUGGCUAGUAUCCAGAGUCCUCAAGGGUUAAAUACUUUUCGGGGUAUUGAUGAUAUAUUAGAUGAAUUCUAAUUUCUAAGUGUGUAUGUAAGUACCAGAGUCAGCGAAUGGAGACUGGGACGAUUGAAUUAGGGAUCAUCUGGUUGUUAAUUUAGGGACAAUACUCCAACUAGAUAGGAUGUGCAACACUACUGGAUAAGAUAGUUGAGCUGAGAAUUACAUGAUCUAAAUCUCGAAAAUAAACAGAUAAUCACAACUUAAUCUAGUUUUAAAAUAUGAUGCUUAUUCCUACACAACUUGCGGAAAAAGAAUUUGAAUAAUUCGUUAAAAUUUCUAAUUCGAGUCUCGUUGUGUAAUUAAUGAUAUAUCACCUGAAGGUAGACAUUUCUACUUGUAAAAAUAUACCUAUCAAAAAAAAUAAAAAUUCACAGAAUAUAUCAUCAGAUGAAUUUAAAACCAAGGUUCAACUAGUCGCAAUAACAAUUAAGGUUGCUAAGGGAGUGAGGGUCCAUGGUUUUAAUUUUCAUUUCACCACGAUAUAACUAGUGAAUCAAUGAUAUAUUAUUACGUGACUCUGAUAUGUAAGUCUUUUCUUUUUUAUAAGAAAGUAUUUUUCAUUAUAAAAAAAAAAGUUUGAUAGAUUUUGAAAAAUGUAAGGUAAAAAUAAAAAAUGUCAAUUGGUUAUAAAUAAAUAUACAAUAAUUAUUAGUAAUUACGUAUCGGUAUUGGCCGUUAUAGAGUUGGGGAGGAUAUAAAUGUAAUAAUAAAAACCCAUACGUCUUUUUCUGAAAAGAAUCUUCGGAGAUCAUCGUUUCCGUGCACCGCGUGACUAACAUAACUGCUACUAUAUAAAUCAUGGCUCUCUGUCAUUCUCCACACAACAAAACUGAACACAAAACAGAGUUUCUCUCUCUCUCUCUAGCUCUCUUUUUCAUCUCUCUUUCUCUCUCUCUCUCUCUCGAGAUUUCUGUUUUGGUCUUGUUUGGAGGAAUGGAAGGAGCGAUCACGGCGACGGGGUCCGUGAGGAAGAUACUGGUGACAGGAGGUGCGGGGUACAUCGGUAGCCACACGGUGUUGCAGCUUCUUACGGCUGGAUUCAGAGUUUUUGUGAUUGAUAACCUCGAUAACUCCUCCAUCGUGGCCGUUGAUCGUGUUGCGAAGCUCGCUGGAGAAGACCUCGCUCGGAACUUGCAGUUUCGUCAGGUACGGAAAUCCGAUCGGAAAAUAAAAUUUGGAAUGGGAAGGAAGGGUUUUGGACCUUUUUGGUAAUAGUAGGGGUUGAUUACUUGGUUUUGCACCGUUUGCUUUUCGUUUCCCGAAGAUUCAGGUUUUUUUUUGUGGUUGUUUACUGUUAUUGUUGAUGACGUGUCGUCUGUGUGUGGAUUUGGAUGGAAUUUGAGAGAAAGACAAGGGGUUCAAUUGAAAUAUGGGGUUUCUUUUUUUUCUUCCUCCAAUUGUUUUGGUCUUUAGUCUUUACUUUGUCAUGCGUUAUUUGACUAUUUAAUUUUCCAUAAGUGGAUUCUGACUUGUUCUUGCAUAUAUUAUUUCAUUAAUCAACUUUUUAAUCCCUUACUUAAUGGCUAAUACCAAGAUUUUUGAGUGGAAUCCCUAACAAAUUUCCCACAAACUAUUGUGACAAUUCAAUAGUUGGUUGCAAAAUAGGUCAUGGAAACUAGAAAGUCUUUUUUUUUUGUAGUAAAAGUUUUUGGAACCUAAAUCUCUCUAAUCACAAAAUAACACUAGUUUGUGCCUUUGUGGUGGGUUAAAAUGAAACCAUCUGAAUCAAUCCCUAUCGGAUUUGGAGGACUAAAGGACAUAGAUGAUUGAUUAUUUAGGAAGAUUUUUUAUUAUUAUUUUUUUUUUUGCAGAUUGAUCUCUGUGAUAGAGAAUCUCUGGAGGAAGUUUUUGCUUUGAAUAGGUAAUUUAAUUAUGGGAUUUUUACAGAGCCUUAAACCAGAUACUUACUGUUAGUUACUACCAUUAGAUAAUUUAUAUUUGAUUCCAGUUUUCAUGCGGUCAUUCACUUUGCUGGACUGAAGGCUGUUGGGGAAAGUAUGCACAAGCCAUUGCAUUACUACAAUAACAAUAUCAUCAGCACUAUAAACCUCUUAGAAGUCAUGGCUGCCCAUGGAUGUAAGAAACUUGUAUUUUCAUCGUCUGCUACUGUUUAUGGAUGGCCAAAGGAAGUCCCUUGCACUGAAGAGUUCCCAAUCUCUGCAAUGAAUCCUUAUGGAAGAACAAAGGUAUGCAUUAUUUAUCAUCAAGUAUGUCCUUUUUUUGGUUAAUAAUUGCAUGUACCCUCAUCACUGCUUAUCACUGUUAAUGUAGCUUAUUAUAGAGGAGAUUUGCCAAGAUGUUUAUAGUUCAGAUACCGAAUGGAAGAUUAUAUUGCUUCGAUACUUCAACCCAGUUGGAUCUCACCCCAGCGGUCUCAUAGGCGAAGAUCCUCGUGGAAUUCCAAACAAUCUUAUGCCUUUUGUACAACAAGUUGCCGUCGGCAGAAGACCUGUUUUGAAGAUAUAUGGAACUGAUUACUCCACUGAGGAUGGCACUGGGGUGAGGGAUUACAUCCAUGUUAUGGAUCUGUCCGAUGGGCAUAUCGCUGCCCUGAAGAAGCUAUUCGACAAUGACAAAAUAGGUAGUGUAUGUUACAUUUUUUAAAAUUCUGAAUUGUAAACCAACUGAUGGUUGUUAGUUACAACAGGAUGUGAGGUAUAUAAUUUAGGAACUGGGAAAGGAACAUCUGUAUUGGAAAUGGUUUCUGCUUUUGAAAAGGCUUCUGGAAAGGUAUAUUGAAAUUCACCUAAAUUGCUUUAAGCGGAAGUUGAAUGAAUUUUUGUAAAGAAUACUCAUUUUUUCUUGUUCAGAAAAUCCCCAUAGUUUUUGACAACCGACGACCUGGUGACGCAGAGAUCGUUUAUGCAUCAACCGCCAAAGCAGAGAGGGAGCUAAACUGGAAGUAAAUAAACAGUAUAUAGAUUAUAGAAUAGUCAAUUUUUAUCUGUAUAAUGUAUCUACCUACCUAUUUGUUGUAACAAUGUGAUUAAUUGAUGUAUGCAGACCUAAGUACGGCGUGGACGAGAUGUGCCGUGAUCUGUGGAAUUGGGCAAUUAAGAAUCCAUGUGGUUACACCUCAUCUGAAUUCUCUUCGGAGGUCGAUUCAUCAGAACCAGGAUCCGACAACAAGUCCACCAAUUCCACUGAUUCCAUUGAUUGAGGAAAAACUCAUCUGCAACAUCAGAAUAGAAGAAAGAAAGAUAGGGAAUUUGUGUUAGACUGGGCAAUAACAAUGGUGUCCACCAUUCCAUGCUAUCACCAAUAAUUAAAAAAUAGUGUGGUUAUUUAAUAAUUAUAAAUGUAUUUUGAUUAUCCACUAAUCAUUAGUUAAUGAAUGACCUUUUGUCCCUUUGUUUUAUCCAUUACAUACUAAAUUACAGAGCGAGCUGUCGUACUUUGUUUUUCCUCUAUGUAAUUAGGAUAUUUUUUUUAUUGUAAUGGAUGAUACAUUUUUACAAGUGAUUUAAUAGUUACCGUGACUAGUUGAACUAAUCUUCCCGUUUAUAUAAUGAAAAUUUAAAUUGCUUUAAAAAAAGUGCAAAUUUCAUAGAUCAAGGUAGGUUUUUUUUAAUAACGGAAGAUACCUUCCUACAAAUAAAAAGACCUAAUUCUGGAUAAUAUACCAGACCUAUAUAACAUAUCACUGGUUACAUCUAGGGGUUUGAUCGGAGACGGAGAAAUACCCAGAUCCAAAAAUCCUCCCCGUCCCCGCUGGCCAAAUGACCGGGGACAUCCGGCCAAAAUUCUGAUUUUUUUAAACAUUAUCUUCUUAUUCUUCUGAGUUCUGACAAUUAAUAAUGUAAAAUACUGAAUUAAAAAACUAAAAGUCUGAAAUUAAAUAGUUAAAAAUUAAAACUAGUUGAUAAUAAAGAAAAUAUUAAAAAUAGGUUCAAAAUAUCCCAAAUCACCAAAUGUAAAUAGAUAAUAAUAAUUAAUCUUUUCAACGUCAUCAACUUUUUCACUCUAACAAAAAGAUCAUUGUCAUGGUAGUAACAAAGAUCAAUCAGGCUCAUAGUUUUUAUGUUCGAAAUAAUCAAAUUUUAUUUUUUUGUUCGAUGUCUACAAAAUAAAUUUGAAAUUACACAAUUUACUAAUAAAAUUUGAAAUUAUCUUAGUUAAAUCGUGGUAAAAAUAAAUUAAAUUACAUACACAAUGAAAAUAAAACCCUGAACCUUCAAUAACUUUAAUAGUUAUUAAGUUAAUAUCAAUAUUAAUGUGGGACCAUGGGAAGUUGAAUCCAUAUGUAACUGACUUAACUUCCAUUAGUUAAUAAAUAUGAUUAUUCAACGACACAACUAAAGGUGAGAACGGGCCCCGGCUCUGUCCCGUUCCGCGUUCCGGUGGUAACCGGGGACGGGGCAGAUAUUAUGUCCCGUUUUUUCAUUUUUGCCCCGUUGCCCCGGGCAUAUUCCGAGGCGGGUCUCGGGGCAAGGUAAACCCCGGGCGGGUCGCCCCGUUUUUUUUAAAAAAUAAUUUUUAAUUUUUUUAUUAAUUUAAAUUAUAAUAUAUUAGAUAUAUAAUUUUGAAAAUUAUUUUUUUUAAAAAUUAAGGUAAAAAGUUUACACAUUUUAAAUUUAAUUUUUUUUAUAAUUCAAUUGGGUCGCUCCGGAUCCGCCCCGUUCCGCACCCCGGUCACCGGGACCGGGGCGGGUCUCGGGAAGGAAGAUAGAAUAUAUGACCCACCCCGUUCCGUCCCGUUCUCUCUCCUAGACACAACAUAAUAAGUCCAUCCAUUAAAAAUAUUAUAAAACUAACAAGAUUAUUAAUUAUUAAUCUAUAUUAAAUGCUGUCAGGAUAAAAAAUCCAGAUGGAUUACAACCGUUUAUUUAAUAGCUGACUAAAUGAACGGUCGAUUUGGCAAGAGCGUAGGGACCGCACCUGAUGCUAAUUAAAAGAUUUCCAAAUUUAAACUCUCCUCCCAUCCCAUGACCCAUCCACCUUCUCUUCUCCAUGAAUGGGGAAAAAUGGGGUGGUGGAAUUCUUCCUUAGAUAACGCCCGUGAGUUUAGUUCGAUCUUCAAAAUACUCUCCGAUCUCCAUCCUUGUAGAUUUUCCCUCUCCUCCUUGUAGAUUUUCUUCUUCUUCUUCUCCAUGUGAUGAUUUUGGGUUCGUUUCUUAUCGAUUUUAGGAUUGGAUCGUUUGUUUUUUGUAAUUUAAUGGUGAUUGAUUGGUUUUGAAGGUGUUUUUGAUUAUUUCUCGUCGAUGAAAAUGUAUGUAACCAUGAUCGUUGUUGGAAGAGAUGAUUGAUUGGCCUGCUUGCUGCAUUUGAAGCCAGAGCAGUCAUGUCUGAGAAGGAAAGCAAUGAAGGAACUUCGUCUCCUUCUCAGGUCACUUUUGAUUAAAAUAAAAACUCCCCCUUUUUUAUUUUGGUAUGGGUGGAAAUCGUUUAAAACAAGUAUAUGAAUGGUGAUUUGUGAAGCUAAAUUUUAUACUCAUGAUUUCAACUUUUAGAUUUUUUUUUUCAAUUCAAAGAAACUUUUGAUGGUUUGGAAGUGUGAUAAUAAGACUGUAAAACCUCUAGGUAAAAUAUAAUAAUGAUGGAAUCUCCAUUUUGAUGUUAAUUUCAAGACCUGAAAUCUUCAUUUUGAAUCAAACAAAAAUUCUACUAACUUCACUUCAGAGUUCAGAUUAAAACCACUACAAUGUAGUUUUCCUUGAAAUUUAAAUUUCCAACAGCUAAGACAAAAAUAAACUUAGUUAAAAAAAUAUAUAAUUUUCUUGUAGUAAUUAAUAUAUCCAAGUUUAUUAAGCAUUAGUAUUUUUGCAUCUUAAAUUGCAUUCAUAUGAGAGAAAAUAGCAUCAUCUUUCAAUGCAGAACACUUCUAGAGAGAUAUCUGCCAAUGGUAUGUGCGUAAAGGCUUCUGAUGUCGAAGCAAAGCUUGAUGAUGGCAACAUCGAAGAAGCAGAAUCCUUUUUAAAAGAAGGUCUUUCUGUGAACCAAGAGGUACUUUCUCAGUUUCUAUGCCUUGGAAUUAUAUUAUCUUCCUAAUGCCCAUGAUCUAUUUGUUAUUUCUUUAGCAACUUUUAUUUUAAAAUCUGAAUCCGAUACUUUGAACUUUGAACAAUACAUGUUGAUUUUCUAUAUAUGUUAUAGGAAGCAAGGGCUCUUCUUGGUGGGGUAGAAUAUCAGAGAGGCAAUGCAGAAAGUGCUCUACGUAUGUUUGAUGAAAUAGAUUUUCAAGCUACUAUAGAACGUCUAAAGCCAUCUCUUCUAGAAGUUUUUACCAAAAAAAGUCGACCUCAAGGUGAAUCUGAUCCUAUACAGAAUGCUGCCAGCCUCAUGCUUGAAGGGUUGUACUUUAAAUCAUUAUCUCAUAAAAAACUAGAAAAAACAGAUGGUAUGUAAGUACUGUUCUUGCACAACCAUUGUCUGCAUUUGAAUCCAUCUUCGAAUUUGAAAGCAUUGUUAUCUUUACUUUGUUUCAGAGGCUGUUCAAGAAUGCAAACUUAUUCUUGAUGUUGUUGAAAAGAUAUUCCAGAAUGGCAUACCAGAUGUCACGGUUGACAAAAAGUUACAAGAAACCAUCAACAAGGCUGUUGAGCUCCUUCCAGAACUCUACAAGCAGGCUGGACAAUAUCAUGAAGCUAUUUCUUCUUAUAGAUGUGCUCUUUUAAAUCAAUGGAACCUUAACGAUGAUUGUUGCACAAGGAUACAAAAACAAUUUUCGAUUUUUUUGCUGUUUGGAGGUGUGGAUAAUAUCGAUCCACCUAGUCCGUCAGUUCAUGUUGAUGGCUCCUUUGUUCCAAAAAAUAAUCUGGAGGAGGCAAUUCUACUUCUAUUGGUUGUUCUAAGAAAAUGUCAUCUUAGUAAGGCUAAAUGGGAUCCUUCAGUAAUGGAGAUUUUAACAUUUGCUCUGACUAUAUGCGGUCAAUCUUCUAUGUUAGCUCGUCAAAUUGAAGAGCUUUUGCCUGGAUUAUAUCCACGUUAUUCUAGAUGGAGUACUUUGGCUAUAUGUUACAGUGAGACAUGGAAUAAUAAAGCUUCAUUGAAUCUUUUAAGAAAAUCUUUGAAUAAAAAUGAAAAUCCUAAUGAUCUUCUAGCACUGUUGCUAGCUUCCAAGAUCUGCAGUGAAGAUUGUUUUCUCGCUGAAGAAGGGGUGGAAUAUGCAAGAAGAGCUAUAUCAAAUGCUCAAGGCAUGUAUGAACAUUUAAAGGGUGUUGGUCUUCGAUUCUUGGGCAUUUGUCUUGGUAAACAGGCAAAACUUGCUUCGUCAGAUCAGGAAAGAUCUCAUUUGCAGAGAGAAGCCUUAAAAUCUCUAGACGAGGCAAUUGCACUUGAAUUCCACAACCCAGAUUUAAUUUUCGAUCUUGCCAUUGAAUAUGCAGAACACCGUAAUAUGAUUUCCGCACUGCGAUACGCAAAGAAAUUCAUAGAUGUCACGGGUGGAUCUGUAUUAAAAGGAUGGAAAUUGCUUGCUUUGAUCUUAUCUGCCCAAAAUAGGUAUUUGGAGGCUGAGGUUGUUACAGAUGCAGCUUUAGACGAGACUGUAAAAUGGGAGCAAGGACCAUUGCUAAGAAUCAAAGCUAAACUAAAAGCAGCCCGGUCUCUUCCCAUGGACUCGGUCGAAACAUAUCGAUUUCUUCUUGCUCUAAUUCAAGCCCAAAGGAAAUCUGUUGGUUCUUUUCGUACCGAUUCCCAGGUCAGUUUUUCAUUUGAAAACUGUAUGCAUGCAUUAUUUAUAGUGGCCAAAUCAAAUAUGACUCCUCCACAUUGAAAUGACCUCUUUUAAAAUCAGAUUGAGGAUGAUAAAACAAGUGAAUUUGAAGUAUGGCAUGGUCUUGCAAAUUUGUAUUCUAGCUUGUCACAUUGGAAAGAUACCGAAGUGUGUUUGGAAAAAGCUAAGGCAUUAAAACCUUAUUCAGGCGCUGUAUUGCACACUGAAGGUAGUAAUUACAGAAAAGUUGAAAUUCUUAAUGUCUGUUUCACACACUUAAAGCAUUGGAUGUUUUCGGUCUUCAAAUAUUUUGAAAAGCGUCAUGUUAUUUAGAAAUUUAGACAAUUAAUCUUAUCAUCCUUUCGUGGUUUCAAAAUUUGUUUGAGAAUUGCUCAGUGGUAUGAGAUGGUCAAUUUGAAAAUCCACACCUUUUGUGGUUUUGAACAGGAUCCAUGUAUGAAGCUCAAGGAAAAAUUCAAGAAGCACUAACUACCUACUGCAAUGCAUUAUUGUUGGAUCCAGAUCAGGUAUGCUGCAAGGUCUCUGUUGGUGCAUUGAUGUCGAAAAAGGGUUCAAAAUCCUCUUCCAUUGCAUGGGGCUUCCUUUCAGAUGCUUUAAGACUUGAGCCCACAAACCGUAAUGCUUGGUACCAUCUAGGUAUGAUUCAUAGAGAUUGUGGAAGGUUGUUUGAUGCAGCAGAGUGUUUCCAAGCUGCGUCGAUGCUAGAUGAAACAGAACCCAUUGAAAAUUUCUGCUCUCUUUAGCUCUUUUUCCAAAUUCCGAGGUGAUUAAUGACACUCUCACUAUCGUUUCUCCUUGUUUAUGGCCAAUUGAUUUGUUUCUUCAGUGUGGCCUGUGGUGGGAUCAUUUUUCUGUAAAAUUUAUAGAGAAAAAUUCAGGGGGGCAUAUGAGGAGGUUCUUUUGGAUCAAGGGCGUCACUAAAUUCAGACGAUCGAUCCAGAAGAUAUGAUAUGACUGAUAUGAAGAUGGAUUAUAAAAUCUUCAUAUUCUUGUUCAGUUCUUCUCCUCCCCCAUAAGAUUUUACUUCAAUAUAUAUAUUAGUAACAUGAUGUUUUUGUUGUUUGUGAUAAAAGGUGCAAAUUAUUGUAAACAUCGUUGAUAUAAUUAAUCAAAGAUCUCUUCACAAUCACUCCAUCUCAUGUCUUGGGUUUGACUAAACAAAACAGAACAAGUUCAUGAGAUUGGUAUUGUUUGUGUCUCAAACCUAUUACUCAUUUGAUUCCUUAAUCAUUUUCAUUAUUAUCAGGUUUUUGCAGUCAUAAAAUACAAAUGAAAUAUAGAACUCAUCUUAUUUUUUUGGUUUUGGUUCAGUAUUCAAUCAGUUUCUUCCCAACACAUAGAACUCAUGCUAUAUUUUGGUUUGAUUGGGUGGGAAUUGAGACAUUCUAAAAGGAGAAGUUAAUGGGAUCAGAAGGGACUGGAAUAUUCAAACUCUAUUUUGCAAAAAAUCCAAAAAUUAAUUAUAUUUUCACUACAAAAAAAAUCAACCUAUUACAGAAAAAGUCCAAUGUUUUAUUAAGAAUUACAAAUAAGCUUGAAAUGUUACAAAGAAGUUCAAAUAUAUUUUGAGAGUUACAAAUAAAUCCUUGAAAUUUUAUAAAAAUAACCCGUAAUUAGAGAUGUAAUUGGUUCCAAGUCUAAAAUUAACCCUUUUAGGUGUUUCGACUUUGGUUCGGAUCCUAAGGUGCCGGUCCAGUAAGGGAUCUGGGGUAUAUAUAUAUGGGUAAGUGUUAAAACUAACUACCUAAGAUGGCUUGGUGGUCAAAAGUAACCACCAAGCCUAGUCAUUAGGUGGUUGGGGUGUGUUAGAAAGUAAAUUUUCCUAAUUUGCCCUUCAUUAGUAAAUUAUGUUGGGUUUACCCAUACCCGAUAACCCGUUACAAUGACCCGACAAACCCGAUCUUCUUAUUUUCUUCUGCCCCAAUCCCUUCUUUUUUUCUUUUACCGUCUCUCUCGAUCUUAGGAAGGACGUAAAUUUCCUCUGUGAAAAGAACGGGCAAAAAUCUUUCUCAAAGUUUCGUGACGAAUCGUAGUGCCGUGGGAAGUGAAAUAAUAUUUUAGAUUACGCUUGUGUUUCGGCCACACCGGUUUACCAUCGAAAAAGGAGUACAGGUCGCGACCGUGCAGGGUGGUGGUGUUUCUGUGGUGUGGAAAAAAGUCAGGGACGCCGCAACGGGGUAUCACCAUCUGUCCAACCGUGGCAUGAUCAAGAAUACCAUUGGAGUUGAGAUGGAAGAAUUUUUGGUAUACCAAAACUGCAGAAAUAAAUGCAGCGUCAAUUUUAUCGUCGAAACUGGUGGUGGAAUCGGGAAGGUAGUCGAAAGCAUUAAUGUAUUUCUUAAUAGAAGAAACACGGGAAGAGGUGGAGAUGUUCCAUGGAUUAUGAGUUAAUGCCGGGAUGGUGAUCACAGAUAAAGGAGGGGGGAGGACGAUGGGUACAUUUUUUUGUCCGUUAUUGACAAUGACACAGCAUAGAAAAUUUAAUUAAUUUUCAAGGGUAAAAUGAUCAUAAAAAAUGUAGGUUGUUAGUUUUAACUCCAAAGCUACAAUUUUCCUAUAUAUAUUAUGAGUCAAUUUCCCGUAAGAUCUUACUAUUUGAAAACUAAUAAAAACUUUAAUCAUAACCUUCCAUCACAAUUCAUCACUUCAAAUUUUUCCAAUAUGCAAUUUUAUUUAUUAUUCGAGAUAUGUGUCAUAUUUAAUAUUAAAUUAUUUAAUCAUUUGAUAAAAAUUAGAUGGCUAGAUGUGAAUUUUUUAUUUAAUUCUUAAAUAAUGAGGUUAUUAGAUUUCUAUAUUCUAGAUGUGCAUUAAUCAUUAAAUUUAGAUUUCUAUAUUAGUUAAAUAUAAAAAAGAUUAGGUUAAGUAAUUUUUUUAAAGCUAGGUUAAGUAAUUGUAUUUUGAUUAAAAAUGAAAUUGUUAAAUCUACUACCAUUGAUUUAAAUAUCAAUGAGGUUGUCGAGUUUCAAGAAAGAAAGUGAUUGGAGAUCUAGAGGUGUUGAAUUUAAUUGCUUUUAAAAAAAUGUUGAUUGGAGCGACGGAUGUAAAUGGGCCGGGUCUGGACUGGCUGAUUUGGAUCCGGACCCAUGAAGUUGGUCUGGAUUUAGAAGGUAAAUAUAUGGACCCAUAUUCAUAAAAAAUCCGAGUCUGGGCUUGUCCAAAUUAGUAAAACAUAAAAUAAAAAUUUAGUUAAAAAUAUUAUGUAAUAAUCUAUGUUUUUAAAUAUUUAAUUAAUUAUAAGUCAAUUAGUCUAUGUUCUCAUUCUCUUCUACCUCGUACUUUUCAUCAACUAUUUCAUGUCACAAUAAUCUAAGGUUGAAACUCUAAAAAUUGAAGAUAACAUAGGUUAAAACUCUAAGGAUCUUUGGGUAUUUUUAUAAUUAAAUCUUAAAGUUAAAUAAUAUAGGUUAAGAAAAUAUACAAUUCAUAUUUUGGCCGUUGGAUUUGAAAUAAACAAUCAGAUGUGAAAUUUCUAAAUUUUAAUUAAUUUUUGUCAUUAGUAUCUGUAUAGGUUUAUAGGUGUUUUAAUUGUUGGUUUUUCUGUCCUGUCCUGUCCUGUCCUGUCGGUGUCCGUUGGUGUUGGUUAGAAUUUGGGUUUCUUCUUCUUCUCCGUUUCUUCUAAUUGGGGUUUCAAGGUUCCGGCAGCGAUAAACACCAACUGCGACGAUUUUUUUAUAGGAUUACUUUGCACUCGAUUCCUCCGUUGUUUUUAUUACUCCGGGUUUCCAGGAAUUAGGUGUUUUUAUUCCUCCAUUGUUGUUGAUUAGGUGUUUUUAUUACUCAGGUAACCCCGUAUGGUAGCGUAACAACGUCUAGAUGCCAUACUCCGACGAAGAUAUCUUCUCCAGUCCUACACAACACCCCAGUGGAUAGGUCUGGCGUUCUGGUUCCACCCAAGCCCAACAUUGAUCUUUCGGAACUCAAUGGCUGCCAUUUCAACCUCAGUGCGCCAUUCGAUACUGCGAUGGGUGGUAAUUGGACGUCGAAAGAAGACGAAAUAUCUAAGGACCUGUGCCAUUUCGAGCGGUUAGAGGUGGAGGAUAAUGGGAGGAGGAAUAGCUUUGCCAAAUCAAGUGCCUCGACCUAUCCAAGAGUUAUAUAUUUACGGCCCGUAUCAGCUGCGAAGGGUUCGCAUGCGAACAUCGAGCGAUCCGGGCCCUUCAAAAACUUUAAUGAGAAUCUACGGUCCGGGCCCUUCAAAAACUUUAAUGAAAAGUCCAACGCGUUGUUUAAGAAAUAUUGGAAACCGGUGUCACCGGGUAAAAAAUUAAUUAAAACCUGCUACAAAGUAGAUAUAGAUCGAGUAGGAAAAAAUGCAACCAUAGCUUUACGAGUGUCACUUCGAAACUCUGCAAAAUACCUAUCACAUCAUCUCACUUUCAUAGCAUUACAGACCCUAAACUUGUUCAUUUCGCAACCGUUUGCUGUCGAAGAAGAACCCGGAGAAACCCUAGCGGAUUGAGCAGUCGCGUUCGUUGAGGAAGGUACUUAUUUUUGUUUCCUAUUUAAACGGUUAUUCUCGCCGUUUCAAUGUGUCUCCGGUUAGAUGUAUUGUUGGGUUCUACUAAACUCUGUUUUGAAGAAGGUCUACAUAGGGUGGGUUUUGGGUUUUAGAGAACUCGUUGAGAAGGUUUGUUCUUAGAGAAGAAGCCAUCGUUUCAAAUGAUUUGAAUCCCUGUGUACAUUGUUCUAUAUAAUCUCCACAUUGAUUCUUGUAAACAUUAUUUCCACUGAACUCUGUUUUCAACAAUGGUGGGUUUUAGGGUAUUUAGAAGUCUGUGGAAGAUUUUUUCUUUUUUUUUGCAGAAGAAGGUACGUUUAUAAAUGUUUUUUAUUACUUUGUACCUUCGAUUUCCACAUUGUAGGUUUCCACAUUGCUUGUUUUAUAUAUUUGUUGAACAAAAAAAUUUGUUGAGUUUUCAGUGAUUUACUAAAUUUUUUAAACAAAAAAAAUGUCUACGUCCACCGAUUCUAGUGAUCUCCGAUCGUCUCAAAUUCAAUUAACACAACCAAGAAGAGACGAAAUCGGGGAUGCCAACGGUUUAAAAUUCUAUCUUAAAAUUUAAUUUUUGGGAAGAAAUACAAUUGUCAAAUGCUGUAACAACAUGCUUUGACUAUGAAUGAAAGCAUCAAUAACUGAAUUUGUUUUUAGGGGACAUUGACAUCGAAUUCACCAUAGCAGACGUUGAUAGAGUAGUGUCAAGUUUGUUAUCCGAUAUCAAUUCUGAUUUUCUCACAAUGCCUUCUGAGAAUCGAAAGCGUAAAUGUAAGCAAUGCAAUAGUUAUCAAAUAAUUGAUUUAUUAAAUUUUUUAUACUACAUUAAUAUUUGAAAUUAUUGGUUUUAAUGAUAUCAGCAAAGGGGACACAAUCUGAGGGGCUGAAAAAGAAGAAGGAAGAUAAAACAUCAUUUGACAGCACAAGUGUAGGUUCAAGCAUGUGCAAGGAUAAGACUCACACUAGUAAUGCUGCUUCACUGGGGGUGAAGGCUAAAAGGGAAAGGAUUGAGGAUAAUUUGCAUAUCAGUAAGUAUUUUUAAGUCAAAUUAUUUAAGCAAUUUUAAUCAGUAUUAAGAAGUAUCUAUUACUUUCAGUAAAUAACCUGAUCAGACAUCGAUCCGGUAUCCCAACAUAUGUCGAUGCUGUCUGCUAGAGUAAAAUGAAAUUCACCAGAUCGAUAAUGCUGAAAAUGAAAGAAACCUGCUUUGGACAAUUCCCGAUAAAGUCCAGACUUUUGGAUGAUUUGGUAGGGGCUUAUGUGGGAAACUACUGUUUCCAGAUCAAAGGCAAAAGAAUAGAGGUGUCUGUCAAAGAAAUUGGUGAUAUACUGGGGGUUCCGUGUUCUGGACUGCCUAUCAACAUGAAGGCUAAGGCCAAACCUUCUAGUGAAUGGGCCAAUAGGUAUCCAUCUUUAGAUCUGGAUCUGAAGAGAGAUGUGGUAGGGAGUACAAUUUGUUCGAUUUUGGAUAAGAAGAAGGAAAUGGAUGAUGAAGAUAAGGAUGAUGUAGUUAGACUGUGGAUAAUUUAUUUAUUUAUAACAAUUUUAGGAUGUAAAAAUAGCUAUAGGAUUGGAAAGAAAAUAUUGGAUUAUGUUGAUAAUUUAGGUUUUCUGGAGGAGUACAACUGGGCAACCUAUAUCAGGGAUGUUCUGUUUCUUAAAAUGGAAACAUGUCGUAAUAGUGUCCUCCAUCGGCGAGUGAUAAAUUGUGGAUCGAAAGAGUAUUUGGAUGGAUGUAUCCUUGUGCUGAUGGUAUGUAAUUCUUUUACAUAAUAUACUGAAUUACUAUAUAUUUUUGUUUUAAUAAUUGAUGUUCAUUAGGUAUGGCUGUACAAACACACCAUGAUUGCCAAACCCGACGACGUCUACAUUGAUUUUGAUCCUUACUUCAAAAAAUGGGACGGUGAGGUUAUUCUACUAAGGCCAACAUUGGCUGACUUGAGGCCCUGUGAGGUAAACUAAUAUUCGGUUAAUGUAUCUUAGUUAGAUAGUAAUGCUAAUAAUUUUGGUAUAGGUUUUCACAAAUGACAUUCCCUUGAACAAACGAAUGUCACUAAUGAAUGAGAUGGACGUUGAGUCCUCAAAAGAAGAAAAUUACAAUUCGGAUGCUGGUAAUGAUAAUUCAGAAUCGAGGGAAAAAACUGAUUCAAGCGAUUCAAAUGAAGAGAACAAGAAGAAGAAAAUGAUUGCACAGGGGAAGAAACCAGUGAUAGAAGAGAAGAACCAGAAAAAUAAGAAGAAUACUACCAAUGAGAAUAAUGCUGCUAAAUUAUUGAGGGAUGCUAUUAGCAGUAUUGAUAAAGAACGACCAAGGGUAUUGGUGAAGAAGAAAUCAAGUAAGAAAAAAAAAGAUUUGCAAUCUCCAAUACGUCGAAGUUCUAGACUAUCGAGCGGUAAAUCGGAUAGUACGAGUACUUUAAAAACGGCGGACAAAUAUGUAGAGAAAUUCAGAAUAGCAAGAAAAAGUAAGAAAGUUUGAUUCAACAAUGAAAAUUCAGUUGAAAACGAAGGUAAAUUUUUUUUUCUGAAUUUCAAAUGGAUGAUUACAAGAGUAUUCUGUUUAGAGUGAAAUAUUUAUAAUUGUUGGUGCAGGUCUAGAAAAAAUUGCUGAGAAAAAGACUUCAGAUGAUGGGAAAGAAGAAAAAGAUGAUGCCAAUGAAAAAGCCGAUGGGAUUAAAUCAAGUGAUGAUGUACAAAAUGCUGCUAGUCCUAAUGGUAUACAAAAUGCAGAUUAUGUACAUUAUGCUGAUGAUGUAAAUAAUGAAGAUGAUGUACAUAAUGAAGAUGGUGGUAAUGACGAAGAUGCAACUAAUGAUUUUGUGAAAGACAAUGAGGUAGAUGCGGAAGAAUCUCCUGAAGAAGGUUGAGAGAAUCCUAAGGAUGCUUCAAAGACAGUUCUGGAUGAUGCUGAGAGGCAAAGCGUUGAUGAUGAUACAAAGACUAUGAAUGUUACUACUGUGACAGUUGAUGUUGUUAUAGUUGAUGCGAAGGCCGAGGAGGAGGUCGUUCAAGCUGUUGAAAUAGUUAACUCAGGUUUAUAAUUAUGUAUUAAGUGUUAUUUCGUCUAGACAUAAUGAUAAUUAUUGAUGAUAUUAAUUAAUAGUUGAAAUUUGAUUUACAGGAUCACGAUCUUUAGAUGCGGAUAAAUCAAAUGAAGUAAUUAAAGAUGUAAAUUUUGUGGCAGCUGGAAUUGAUGGUAAUUAAUAAAAUUGUUGAAUUUUAUUAAUUUUUUGAAUAAUUAUGAAUAGUACCAUAUUGAGUAAAAUCAAACUUAAUGCUAUUAUUUAUAAUGCAGAUGAUUUUGGAGUUGACGAAGCACGAAAUCUGCUACCAGUAAACUCGCGGGGUUGCGAGCAGCGGCGUAUCCAGGUUUCCUCGGUAGGGGGGGCAAGAUUCGUCGAAGGCGAAAAUUUUUUUCUACUAAUUUUAAAACUUAUAAAAAUUUUAGCAUAAUAUAUUCAUAAAAUCGAUUAUAAAAACCUAUAAAAAUUUAAUACAUUCAUUCCAUAAUUAAUAUUCAAUACAUUAAUUAAUAUUCAAAUUAAAAAUAAAUACAUUCAUUCAAUUAACAAUAAAAAUUUGAAAUACAUUUUACAUUACUUUAAUUUCCUACGAUGAGGACACAUAUCAUUAAAUAUUUUUAAAAUGACUUCGUUGUCUAUAAUUUUAAAAAUAUCUUUUUCAAUUAAUAUAUGUUACUAAACAAUCAUUACAUUACUUCAAUAUUCUAUCAAUUCUAAAAAUAAUAAUAAAAGCAACAGAACAUUGACAAAUGACGAUCUUUUAAGCUUUCCACAAUUGACAAAUCCCUAACCCGCAAACUUAGUCAACCUAAAAAAAAUAAGAAGGAAAUGAUUUAUAAAUAGAAAGAAGAAGAAUAUCAAAGAAAAUAAGAACAAUUUAUAAACAAGGCGGAUAAGAUUAGCCAUUAAUCCAUUAUACUGAUGUUGACAAUCUGAUUUUAUCAAACCAAUCAUUAAUUGCAGUGUGUAAAUUAAUGUCAUUUAUAUGCUUCUGUAUCCAUGAUCAAACCCUGUUCAGAACUUGGGUUGCUGCUCAAUGUUAUAGUGCUAUAAGAUCGUUGAGCUUACAUUCCUUUUUUUUGCUAAUUACUUUACUUAAAUUCCCCUGUUAACUUAAUUACCAUUCAAACGGGAUUUAUAUGUAUAAAAUUAGGAAAAAAUUUGCCCCUCCUAAAAGUUGAAAAAAAAUUGAGGACCUAUAUGUAAUAAUUUGUCCCUUUAAAAGUUGAAGAAGGGGAGAAAAGAUUUGUAAAACGUAGGGAUAGAAUAUAUAAAAUAAAGUAUUGUGAAAUUUAUAUAUUAAUCAUUAAAAAAUAUUAAUAUAUUGUGAAAAUUACAUUUAACACCCUAAAAAAAUUAUUACAUAUAUAUCCUCAAAUUUUUUUCCAAUUUUUAGGGGGGGCAAUUGCCCUCCCUUGCCCCUGGUUGCGAGGAGGGCCGGAGGCUUUAGAGUCCACGACGCGCGCUCUACGUCAAUGUACCUGCAGAAGUGGAGGGGAAUCGGCGACUCUCUUGGGAGUAGGCGAUUCGAGCUCCUUGGAUUGCUCUGGUGUAGUGUGGUCAAGUGGCAAUGACUUGGGAGUAGAGGACCCCCAAGGACCCCUUUUAUAGGGUCUUGGGGGACGUUUCCCCGUUCAUUAACGUGGGGUCCACUCUAUUAUGGUGCCCAAUUAAGGGUGCCAUAAUAACGUGGGCCCUCCCAAGUAACGGUUGGGAAUCGGCGAUUCAGGUAUGGGAGUCGUCGAUUUAGAGGUGGAGUCGCCGACUUCCCAUGAGCCAGGUUGGCAGUCUACCAAAACUGACCACGAGGUCUAGAGUCGGCGAUUCACCCCUGGAAUCGACGACUUGGUAGUCCCAGUCGGCGAUUCCCAGGUGUUGCCUUGAGUACUUGACGUAGACACUUCAUCUGCAUUUGUGGAACUCUCCGGGGGUCCGGCAUAAAGCGACGGAACCCUAGUCUUUGUUGAAGGGCGUUGUUGGGAAUGACUGACGUAAUCAGGCAUGUCUCACCAGGAGUGAAGACUAAUGAUGAUAAUAAUGGUUCGAAUGCUGCAUUGAAUGAAAACUUCACUCCACCCUCUUUCAGUCUAGGAUUAUUUGGAUCACAGACUCCAUCUGAGGGAGUACCGAUAAAUUUUGAGGUAUUGAAGGUACCAUCUAAGCCUCUUAAGAUAAUUUCUGAGCCAAUUAAUGUACAUCCUAAGGAUGCUAAGGUAAGUACUGAGGCAGUUAAGGAUAAAUCUGAGGAGGUCGUGGUUAUUUGUGAGGGUGUCCAUGUAACCUAUGAGGCCAAUGUGGAGACGAAGUCAUUGUCAUCCUAUGUGGGCAAAGGAAAAGGAUGUACUGAUUACCCAACACUUAUAAAGGUAAAAGAAGAACUACAUGAAGCUUGGGAACUAAAAAUCAAGGACAACGUGCAAAAACUUGGUGACCCGAAAGCAAGUUCAUCUAAGAAGGUGGAUUUUACAGUAGAAGGUAUGGUAAUAAUUUUUUUUGUUAAUUACACUUAUUUUCGAAGCCUAAAUUAAUCGAUUCUUCUGCCAUUAUCAUGUAGAUAAUCCAAGUACAACUGAGGCAAACAAAUCAAUCAGUAAGACUUAUGGAAAAGGUAAGAAGAUGAAAAUAAUGACCAAAGAGGCCCCGAGGAAUUCGUAGAUAAAUGAUUAUGUUUUAUCCUAUUUAUGAAAAACAUUUCUUUAUUAACAACAUUUGAUUUAAAGUUGUUUUCCCAAAACAAACAUCAACCAAUGUAUUUUUCAACAUCUUUCGAUAUGAUAAUCAACUAUUGAAUAGUUUUCAUGAAAUGUGAGUUUGUUUUACAUAGUGUAAAGUACGUAGUGAACGACUAAAUGCUAUAAUAUGAAUUGAAAAUGUUGGGAUACGAUAUAGUAAUGGUAAGUUAAAUUUUGAAUUAUUUUGGAAACAUUGCUACUUGGUUAAAUACUUUCUAAUAACAUAUUUCCACAGAUCUUCGUGAUUUCGUAAAAUUACUAACUUAUCUAUCAUCACAAGAGGAUCCUGUAUUCCUGGAAGAAGCGUGUGUUCUUGCUGAUAAAGCUAAAUUAUUUUUAGAGAAGGGACCUUAAUAAAGGUGUCUUGAAAAGGACUAGGGAAUGGAAUGCCAGAGAGAAAGAGGCCAAGGAAAAUGAGACAACACCUAUAAAAAAAAAAUUGUUACUACUAUCAUAAACACCGACGACGACCUAGACAAUGUCCCAAUUUCAUCUAGACAACAUGUCCAGCCUGUUAGACAGAAACCAAGCUCUAUGGUAAAACGGUUAAAAGAUCGACAUGUAAGGAAAGGAAAUCCGUAUUAUCGAACUAAUGUACAUGUACUUACAUAAAAUGCUAUUUGACAAUAUAAGUGAGCCAAAUAAGAAGAAAACAUGACCUCAUAUUGAAGGAUCAGGUAGACCAGAAUAAAUUGACCCGACGAAAACUAGCAAAAGAUGAGCAUGUCGAAUUGAAGAAGCUAAUAGAGAGGGCUGCAGUAGAGGGGAUGCUCACCAUAGACAACGUGUCGUGCGAUUCAGCGUCUUUAAUAUCUAUUAUUGCCCACAUGCCGGUGAAGGGACCGGUAAGAAUUACUUUGAGAGAAUUAACCUAUUCCGGUAAUGUUUGCAUGCUUCAACGUACUACGGUACAGUGUGUUUCAAUGUUUAUACAGGUGAUGAAGAAGAAGAUUAUUUGUGACUAUAUGCGUCCUGGAGUAGUCAAAUUCUUGCACCCCAUCCAAAUGGUAAGUGUUCCGAUACAUUUGAACUUCAAAUAUUAUGAACGAAAACAUAAAUCAUGAAAAAAUGUGCAGAAAAAAUGUCAUGGUAAGGCUCCCAAUAAACAAUUAACUGAUAAAGAAUGACGGACUUUGAAGAAUAACCUUGAUGGGGAUGAUGACGACUGGACAAAAAUCGAGAAAGUAUUGGUGCCCAUUGAGAGAUAAGGAGUAUUAUGGCAUUUAAUAUAUCUAUCGAUAUGCACGAAAACUUUCUACCACUACUCUCCGUUUCGCAAAUUGGAGUCAUUAAACAAACAAUUUGCAGACUGCGUGAGUUUUGAACCUUAGUAGGUAUAUAAGUCUUUCAUGGGUAAUCUGAAAAAAUAAUCAACUCUUCAAUGCAGGUCCAAUGGUUGAAUCACUACAUCAUGAACGUGUAUUCCGACCAUCACAAAUCUCAUUGGCUAACAACACCGGUGGAAGAUUUUCCUCAAACAUCAUUCAAGAUGACUCCAGACAUCGGAGUAUAUGUUCUCAUGGCAAUGAAUUAUAUAGUCAUGGGGGACACCGUGCUAUGGAGUAGAAAAAAUGUGGAUCAAAUGACUGACAAAAUCGUAUAUGAUAUUCUUCGUGCUGCUCUUUUAGAUGUUAAAUGCUACUUAUAUUACAAGCAAAGAGCUUAGAUUGUGUCUGUUAGGAUAUUAUGUAUUGUGUUUAUUACAGGUGAAUUAGUAAAUGGUACAUGUAUUAGUAUAUGUUAUAUCAUUAACUAAUUAAUUUAAUAACAUUAUGAAACACUGAAAAAGCAUUAAUUAUAAGUAUGUUGGAAUAUGUAGACCAUACAAAUAAUGCCAGUACAAGAAAUGGGAGUAGCAUUCAGCCCAUUCAUUUACAACAUUACCAAGUAAUAAUAACAUUAGUAUAUAGGAAACAAUCAGUAAUGAUACAUUGACCCAUGAUCAUUAACCACACACAUAAUAGCAUUACAAGCAUUCGUUUGCAAAAUUACCAAGUAGUAAUAGCAUUAGUAGGUAGAUUAACACCAUUAAGGAUAACUUGACCUAUGUUUCAUAAAGCACAGACAUAAUAGCAUUAGAAAAAGUCGUACUAGCAUCCCCGACCAUUCGUGUAAUAGCAUUACGAAUAGUGGUAGUAGCAUCACGUCCUUUCGUUUUCAACAUUAUCAAGUAAUAAUAGCAUUACUUAGUAGGUUACAAGAAGUGAGGAUACGUUGGCCUAUGUUUCAUUGACCACUCAUAUAAUAACAUUACGAAGAGUGGUAGUAGCAUCAAGUCCUUUCGUUUUUAAUAUUACCAAAUAAUAAUAGUAUUAGUAGGUAGGUGACAAGCAGUGAGGAUACGUUGACCCAUGUUCACUGAACACACACUUAAUAGUAAUAGAAACAAUCGUAGUAGCAUCUCGACCGUUGAUUUGUAACAUGACCGAAUAUUAAUAACAUUAGUAGGAAGGUUGUAAGCAGUGAGGAUACCUUGGCCUAUGUUCAGUGAGCACACACAAAAUAGCAUUACAAGCAGUCGUAGUAGCAUCUCGGCCUUUCAUUUUCAACAUUACCAAGUAAUAAGAGCAUUAGUAGGUAGGUGACAAGUAGUGAGGAUACGUUGACCUAUGUUCAUUGAGCACACACUUAAUAGCAUUAGAAACAAUCGUAGUAGCAUCCCGACCGUUGAUUUGCAACAUGACCGAGUAUUAAUAGCAUUAGUAGGAAGAUUGCAAGCAGUGAGGAUACCUUGGUCUAUAUUCAGUGAGCACACACAAAAUAGCAUUACAAGCAGUCGUAGUAGCAUCCCGGCCUUUCGUUUUCAACAUUACCAAGUAAUAAUAACAUUAGUAGGUAAGUGACAAGCAGUGAGGAUACGUUGGCCUAUGUUAGUAGCAUCAAGUACUUUCGUUGUGAACAUUACCAAGUAAUAAUAACAUUAGUAGAUAGGUUGCAAACAGUAAGGAUACCUAGGCCUAUGUUCAUUGAGCACACACAUAAUAGCAUUACGAGCAGUCGUAGUAGAAUCCAGACCUUUCGUUCUUAACAUUACCAAGUAAUAAUAGCAUUAGUAGGUAGGUGACAAGCAGUGAAGAUACGUUGGCCUAUGUUUCAUUGACCACCUACAUAAUAGCAUUACGAACAGUGGUAGUAGCAUCACGUCCUUUCGUUUUCAACAUUACCAAGUAAUAAUAACAUUCGUAGGUAGGUUGCAAACAGUUAGGAUUCCUUGGCUUAUGUUCAUUGAGCACAAACAUAAUAGGAUUAGAAGCAGUCGUAGUAUGAUCCCGGCCAUUAGUUUUCUACAUUACCAAAUAAUAAUAGCAUUAGUAGGUAGGUAACUAGCAGUGAGGAUACCUUGACCGUUCAUCUGUAACAUUACCAAGUAAUAAUAGCAUUAGUAGGUAUGUUACAAGCAGUAAGGAUACAUUGACCUAUAUGUUCAUUAGACACACACUAAAUAUGUUGGCCUAUGUUAAUUGGGUAAAAACAUAAUGGCAUUACAAUCACUCGUGAAAGCAUCUAUUGCAUUACAAAAAAUUUGUUUCGAUGAUUACGUAAGAAACAAAAUGUCAUUACAAAUAGUCAUAGCAACAUCUACCUUCUUGGUUGACUUCUUUGAGGCAUCUACUUUGGUACAUUAGGGUCACGAUAAAUUUCUUCAGCACUCUUUAUUCUCUCUGAAUCUAUUUUUGUGGGACGGUCACUCUUACCACUCCCUUUGGUUUUCGCUUUCGCUGGUAUGCCAAAUUUAUCGAUGUUGCUCUUGGUGGCUUGCAUCUAGUAAUUGAUGUUCGUGUUUUCUUAGGGACAUCAGUGAUUUUAAUCAAUCUGUCCAAAGCUUAAUUACCAAAAUCCAUAAGAAUGUCAAAUUGUCGUUCUCCUAGGCGAGCGUAAGUCAUUAAUGUCCGCGAAAGUAAAAUGUAAGAGGACAAUGGAUUUUGGGAUCCGGCUUGUAGAGAUUGAAGCGUUGGGGUCUUCUGAUGUUUCGUCCAUCUAGACAUUUUAAAGAAUUCAGGUAAUUCAGAAGCGUCAUUCACAAUCAAAAAAUGUAUAAUAUGACGACAUGGAACACCACUAUACUCAAAUCUGUGACAACUACAUCUUGGUAUGUUUGAGUCUUUCUUGAGGGUCAACUUAUGAACUACCUUCUGCUUUUCUAAAGAUAGAACUGGGAGGAAUAGUAAUCCCUAAUAUAAGAAAUGAACAAUAGGUAAAAAAAAAUACACACAAAUAAAAUUGCUAAUACAGUGGGCAUGUAAGUAAUUAUACCUCAGUCGAAGCGUCCGUCGGUGAAAGUACAUGAUAAAAAAAACUUUUCUGCAUUUCCUCUUGAAAUAAAAGAAACAUAGCAGUCGUAAAAAAUUUCAAGGCAUCAACCUCAAUUUCCAUAGAUGUAAUAUACUUUGGAUGCCAAAAGGUGUCUUUAUGAUCGUCUAGAUUCUCAGUCUCUCGGAUUGAAUUUAUCAUAUUAUCAUAACGACGAACAAAUUGAAAAAGUAAAUUUUUGGCAGUAACCCUAGUUUUGAGAAAUGAAUUUAUAUCCUCGCUCCUUUGGGUUGAAUGCAUACCGACGAAAAAAUGCUCGUACAUCAAACAUGGAACCCACGACUUUCGAAUAUCAUAUAAAUUCUUCAACCAAACGUUCGACAUCAGGUGAUUGUUGGUCAGCCAUAAAGCCCAAGCUUCCUCAAAAUCAUCGGGAGUUCCGAAAUAUUUAAUAAUUUGAUAAAAUAAAUUCAAGGCAUUGGUAUCGCGACAAAUAGUGGGCACUUUAGUAGACAACUUAUUCGUGAUAUGCCAUCGGCAUAGUCGGUGAAAUGUUGAAAGAAAAGCAAUUGCAAUCGCACCCUUCAUAGCAAGAUCUUGAUCAACAAUUAUAGAUUUCGGAACAAUCCCCAUGCACUCAACGAAGAUUUUAAACAAUCAGGUGAACACAUCGACAUUCUCGUUACUAAUAUGAAAAGAACAUGUGGUUAUUCAUUUGGAUAUAAAAACAUACAUUAUGAUAUAAGAAAAUAGCAUUCAUAGUUCGACAAUAACCAUUAACAAAAUGAUGUGUUACCUCAAGAAUGCACUUUCGAAAAUAACAGUCUUCCUAUAAUGAUUGACUCCACAGAACAUUCCAAAUAUCAAAGAAUAAACAUUCGUCUUAUAAGUGGUGUCAAAUGUAACUGCAUCUCCGAAUAACUUAAAAUGUUGAAUCAUUACGGAAUCAACCCAAAACACAUGUUUAAGUCUACCACUAGAAUCCUUGACAAUGGAAUAAAAGAAAUCUGGUUGUACAGACUUCUUCAGUUCGAAUUACUCGACCAGUAAAUCAACGUCAUAAUUCUUCAGAUCGACACGAUCGUCACUUGCCUAAUUUAGAAGGAUGUAAUAGGUCAACUGUCCCUUCUUUUGAAUACAACAAUCGUCUCAUAACUAAAAAUUUUUUACCAUCAUCCUUACUGGUUUUAUAGUUCGUAGAACCCAAACGAACGGAGAAACCCAUUUUCGACGCAUAAUCAUAAUAUUGAUCAAGAACAUCAGAAUAUGAGCAAUAAAAUUGACCGACAGUGGGUGGUGAAUUCAAUUUAACAUUGUUUAAAGAAGAAUUGGUAUCAGUGGGUUGUUUGGAAAUGAAAAAAUUAGGGGAAACAUUGACGGAAGAUGUAAUGACAUUAAAUUGUCCAGUUAAAUCAUUAUUUUCAGAAGAAAUAGGAGAACGCAGAUUGUCUAAUGGAAUGUCAUGGUUAUGAUGAAAAACAUAAUUUGCAUUAGGCAUAACUGAGAAAUCAUUGAUUCUUGAACAUUGUACAUUACCAUGGGUUUUAUUAGGAUUACAAUCAGAUGAUUUUUCUAUUAAAAUAGAGUAAAAAUCGAGACUUACAUUACACUGAGGUCUAGAACGUUGCGUGGGUGGAAUCAAUGGUUGGACAUGGAAUGGACGAUAUGGAGGUGGUGUGAUAUAUAUAGAGAAGGAAUUAGGAGAGAAAUGAAUGGUGUUUUGGGGGUCAAUGUUAGGUUGUUGUAAGGGUGAUGAUUGAUCAAUAACAUUUAAUGAAUUUAGAGACAUACCUUGAUGUUAUGAAUAAAUAUGACCAAAGAAGAAGAAGACUAAAAACCGAUUCCUACAUUGAGGGGAGAAAAUGAGAUGAAGAUGUAGUGCUAUGUGAAAAACUUGAGAUGGUAAGAAGGUUGAAGAUGGGUAAAGAAUAAAAUGGAAGAAGAUGAAAGAUAAGAAGAUAGAAGCCUAACACGAUUUGACAUUUUUUUAAAAUUUUAACAUUAACAAUAAAAAAACAAACAUUACAUAACUAGAGUAUUAGCACGGUCGACACAAAAAUCAACAAUAGUACGAUGGAGACAUAAAGGUGGUAGUAGAUGUUUGAAGGAUGUGAAGGUUAUUUAAUGGUGAAAAGAUGGUAAGAAGAAAACAAAAGGGUAAGACAAAAACAAGAAAAAUAGAAGGUAGGUGGAAGGAAGAAAAAAAAAAAAAAAAAAACAAGAUGCAACCCACGUGAUUGCAAAUUUUUUUCACCGGUUAGAAAAACGACAGAAUUCAUACGCAAAAAUAAACGGCUGCGAUGCCGUCGCAUUGUCAGAGAAUGCGAAGGCAUUCGCAGCUGAUUUAUUUUGUAUAUGUUUAUCUUCAAUUUUUCAUCCAAGAUUUUUAUCUACAUCCAUUUUAUUUUCGAGGGAAAUAUGGAUAGUAGGAUAAUAGUAUUUAUUGUAGGAUAAUAUCUUCAAUAUUUCCUUUCGGCUAUAUGGAUAGUAGGAUGGAUAAUCAAGACUUUUGUAAUUACCUGGUUGUGUCUUGGUCUUGCGUUCCAGCAGAAAUUCUGUUUCAUCUAUUGGAAUUUUAUAUCUUUUUCAUCUAUUGAAAUUUCAUCAGAAAUUGUGUUUCCAAUAUUGAAAUCAAGUUCUAUUGGGUAUUUUCCAUAUCAAAUUCUAUUGGAAUCAAACAAGUUCUAUUGGAAUCAAGCAAGUUCUAUUGGGUUCUGUUGGGUAUUUUCCAUAUCUUGUAGACACAGAUCUAAUAAUGGCUGCUUCUUGGUAGACACCAGAUGCUGUGGCUUUCAUGCUAAACACAUAGUACUUGAAUAGUUAGUGUCAGCAUGAAAGAGGAAUAUCUUAAAAGGAUACAAUUUCAAUUGGAGGUCAAUCAGAAUGAAAAUGCAGAAAACGGAGGAGAAGGACAAGGAAAACAGAACGCAAAAUCGACACCGAAAAUAAAGAAGAAAUACAAGUAAAACAUAACAUAAAAGUCGUAUAAAAAAUAACAGAACUGAACAUAAACUCGAAACUAAAUAACAAAUGACAACCGGAACUAAACCCACAAGCUCAACAGAUGGAGGUAAAACAACUGAGAACCAACAAGCACCCUAAAUUGAACAGAACAGAAAAUGAAAACAAAGGAAACAUAUUAACCUACCUACACUCACUAACUUGAUAGAGGGAGAAGGUAACUCCGUCUGGUAUGUUCGGGUAGAGGGUUUCUAGUGUGUUUGGCUUUUGGGUAGGUUAGGCUUUUGAGGUGUGUUUGGCUUUUGGGAGUGUUAAGGGAGCUGUUUUGGGUUAAGGUGUGUUUGGUUAUUGGGUAUGUUAGGGAAGGGGUUUUGGUGAAUGAGGAUUUCCGCUGAUGGUUUUAGUAUGGAAGAGAAGGGUAGAAAGAUGGAAGAUGGGGAUGGAGGAAGACGGUAGAACGGUUGUCUUGGUUUGAUGGUAUAAAAAUCAAUGAAAUAUAUGGUUUUAUAUAGGCACAAAAUUAAGAUGAUGUGACAAGACACCAAGGUUGAAAAGAUAGGUAAAAUAUUCGAAAUCUAAGACAAAAAGGGUAGAUUGAUUAAGAUAGUUUAAAGGAAUUAUUAGGUUAUAAUUACUUUUGCUAAUUAUUUGCGCAUGUAUGCACAUGCUCACCUGAUGUGCAAUCAGAAAAUAUAAUAUGUAUUUUUAUAAUUAAAACCCUAAACUAUAUUGUUGGUACCGAGACUCGUUCAAACGGACCACGGACCAGACAGGCCACAAGCCUCCCUUGCCAGAUCAACGGACCAGGGCUAGCGGAGGAUCAGGGGGCCCAUGGAAGAUUUCUAUAAAUAUCUCCUCUGGUCCAAAAGAGGAAGCCGGGGGUUGAUAAUUAUUAGGAGGAAUACUAAAGAGUUGUGUGUGUGAGCCCCCUAGCGCGAGCUCACAUACCAUCAUAUAUUAAUAUAUUAUAUAAUAUCUGUUAUAAUUUCUGGGUCCAGGCGAGUGAGGUCUGAACCUGGCCCGAAUCUCUGGGAAUUAGCCCCAUUAAUACCUCUAAUGCAACAAUCUUGAAGAAUGAAAAUUGAUUUUAUUUGUAGAGAUUGUUCAUGUUAUUUAGAUCUGAAUGUAUUAUCAUUUAAUUUUAUGGUCAAAAGACAGAGUACGAGGGCGAGGACAACAUGUAUUUUUAUGGUCGGGGAAUUCCAAUCCCCACCUAGUGACACCCUUAGACACAGGUUUAACAUUUAAGUCUUAUCUAUAAAAUAUUAAAAUCUCAACCUAACCUGAAGGCUUCUGGUCGAGCCAAGUCUAGGUAAGGCAAAGCCGACCCAAACCCUAAAUUCCAUCACAAAUAGUAAUAACAGACGAAAGUUCCGUCAUGUAAAGUCUGUCAUAAUAAGUUAAUCACGGCGAUAAGAGAAGAUAUGAGCAUGCACGGCGAUACAGAAAUGGUCAGGCGAUACAGAUGAAGAAUUUGGAAUUAUGAUUAUCAGGAUUCAAGAUGAUUAGGGUUAACCAACAUUCUAUUAUUUAGAGAUUAGUGAUUCAUUCCUUCCAUCCUCACCGUCCAUCUAAGGCGAGUGAAGACUGAAGAACCACAAUCCUGACCGUUGGACCAACUACCUUCUCUCAAGGGAUUAGGGGAAAAGAAGGAAGGAAGAAAAAGGACCAAAUAUGUAAUAAAAUCGAAACCUGAGGGUUAAAUAAAUAAAUCCACAUUUAAUAUUUGACAUAACAAUUAUAUUCCAUAUUUACCCUCCUCGCAUCCCUCUUUCUCUUAUUUCAUUCACACACACCUUCGGGAUUUUCUCUCUCUUCGUAUUUCGACUUUCGUUCGACCUCCGGAAGAUAAAAACCCGACUCCUUUUCCCUCCCACCCCCUUUCUCCCCGCUGCUGUCGUCCGGCGAGUCCCCGGAGCUCCCGUUCGUCAUAAAACACUGAGAUCGGACGGUUUAGACCUCUCUGUGUUUUGAACGGAUCUGGUUGGAGUUGCGGUUCCUCGAUUUCCGGAGGUAUGGUGGUGUUUUGAUUCUUUUGGUUCGCAUUGGUUUGU